CAGAUUCCUGCUCCCAUAGGACAAAAAAGGACCCCUUCGAUUCCCAUCUUCUCUGCCACCUCCAUUGGCCACCGCUCAAGUGUUAUGUCAGCAAUAACACAAGUGAUCUGCUCAUCAUCAUUCGAGCGGUUGACUUUCUCAAUUAAAUCCUUCAAAUGACCCGGCAUGACUCUUGAACUACUUUCUGUUAUCUUGAGCAAGUUUUUCCGAUCGUCCCCUGGAUCCAGACCAUCUGGGAUAGAGACUAGCCCUAUCCCACUCUGAGCCUCAGCCUCAUGUGGGAGUGCAGCCAGCAGUUUAGCAUGUAUGAAGUCAGAGUUAACAAAGGUGACCUUGAUCCCGUGAUCAGAAAUCCGGUGUGCAAGCCUCAUAAGAGGAGCAACAUAUCCUUGCGCUGGGAGUGGUAUAAUCAGCACAUGAGGUCGCCUGCCCAUGGUCCUUGCUAACUUGCCAACACUUCCACCCUUCUCUUUGCUCUGAUCCCAAGCUUCACUAAUAUUGAUACUAUUUUAUUUGCCUAAGCCCUCCUUGGAACUGCAUUUAUGAAUUUUAUACCUAUUGUCCUCCUAAUUGAGGUGCAAAACUUUUUUCCCUUUCAAAAAACAAAGGGAAUAUGAAGUCCUUGCUAGCUUUUUUAACAAUGAAAACUAGUGGAAGUUCACCGACACUGUAGGGACCCCUCCCCCUGAUGACACGUGGCACACAUUUCUAUCCGGAUUAGCCCCAUCCGGAUUUUCCCAAGAGGACACAUGGCACGCUUCUCCUAUCCGGACUCCCUCAGGAGAGGCACACGACACUCGUAAACAUCACAUCCGGACGACCGACAUAGCCUAUCCGGAUAUGUUUGUCCGGAUCAUUGACUAAAGUAAGUAAGUCUUACUACGUCAUUCCGACAGCUUGCCACGACCCACGUUUCGCCAUCUGCAGAGUGAAAAGACAGGAAUGAUGGCAAGUCACUUCCCACGAUCUCUGACAGCUGCGGCGCCUCCCACGAUUUCUGUCAGCCGCCUGUAGGGUGAUGAUGGCCUUGCCACCACCUAGAGGCAUCAUGACAAGCCAAAAUAUCUCCCUAUCAUUAAAGAGGGAGACAGAGCUUCUGAUACUAUAUAUAUGGACCUUCACACAAGGAGGAAGGUAAGCUUGCGAUACCUAGUAAAAAGCCAACUAAUUAUUCUCUCUAACCAUGGUUGACAAAACCAUCGGAGGGUGUGUCCGAACACCCUGUCCGGACGCCUUUUGCAGGAACGACUGAACCAGGACUCUAUAUUGGUUGAGAUCGUGCGUCCAUUCAUUUGGCAACUACGUGGAUCACCAGGGACGCGAGGCCUCAACAUUGGCGCCGUCUGUGGGAAUUUAUUGAUUCAGUCACCGACAAAUAUGACCACACCUUCUAGAAGCCGCUCGUCUAGUAGGGGAGAGGAAGAUAACUCUGAAUGGCGCCAAGCCAUUAAGAGAAGACAGUUAGCGAGCGAACGACAACUACAAGCUCUCCUCCAGGAGACAGAAAGACUAAGAGAAGAGAACGCUGUGUUGCGUAUAUAGGCUUCAUCGACGGGGCCUCCCCGUCGUCAGCGUUCAAGAGGCCAGGUAGCAAACUCAAGGCCAGACCCAGAGUCAAUAUACCCUGGGACAGCGGGAGCCAUCCCAGAAACAGGCAAUGUUAGACCACAUGAGCCACACACGCCCCUGCACCGAGCUCCCCAUGAGGAAAGCUUAGACUCUACUCAUUUUUCAGCAAAAAGACAACGCGAUAGAAGAUCCCAGUUGUCAAACUCAAUGCGCGCAAGACUAGGCCCACAAGAGCCUGGAAGGCCAAGGCCGCCAGUAGCCACAACCUGGGCAGCACACCCUGACCCUAUGGUCACCCCCAUGGUGCAGAACGUUCUCCCGCACCAUGACCCUAUGGUCACCCCUAUGGUGCAGAACGUUCACUCGCACCUAGCGGUACGACAAGCUGGGAGAAACCUCCCAAACGAGCCACCCAUUGGCUCCAUCAGCAAAAGGUUGGACGACAUGCUCUCCACGCCUUUCUGCUCUCAUAUCAUUCAUUACGAGCCCCCAAGGGGAUUCCUUGUGCCAAAAUUCUCCACAUACGAUGGCUCCAGCGACCCCUUCGAUCAUAUCAUGCAUUAUCGACAGCUCAUGACUCUCGAUAUAGGCAACGACGCGCUGCUAUGCAAAGUAUUCCCCGCCAGCCUACAAGGGUAGGCCCUCUCAUGGUUUCACCGCCUACCUCCCAGCUCUGUUGAUAAUUUCAGAGACCUAUUGGAAGCCUUCGUGGGACAAUACUUAUGCUCCGCUCGACAUAAGCAGAACAUCAACACUCUGCAAAACAUAAAAAUGCAGGAUAACGAAUCCUUAAGGGAGUUCGUGAAGCGGUUUGGUCAGGCCGUACUACAGGUAGAGGCUUACAGCAUGAAUGCUGUCCUGCAGAUCUUCAAGCAAAGUAUCUGUCCAGGCACCCCAUUUUUUGAAUCACUCGCUAAAAAGCCUCCUACGACGAUGGACGACUUGUUUCGGCGUGCGAGCAAAUACUCAAUGCUCGAAGAUGACGUGCGAGCAGCCACCCAACAAGUCUUGGUUGUCGGAUAGGCAUCCAGAAGUGGCACGAAAAGAAGUGCCAAACUUCCGGACCGGCCAAGGCCGUCCGAUCGAAGGCAGGAAGGGCCAAGUCGCCCGGAAAGGCCGUCCCUCACACCCCUUUCCAUAUCCUAUGAGAAGCUUCUCCCUAUGAUCCAAGACAUGUCCGACUUCAGGUGGCCUAGAUCCAUCGGAACGGACCCAUCCAAAAGGGAUCAUAGUAAAAAAUGUGCCUUCCAUAAGGAGCAUGGUCACACAACGGAGACAUGCAGGUGCCUCCAUUAUUUGGUCGAAAGGCUCAUAAGGGCGGGACAUUUAAAGCAAUACCUCCGCUCAGAUACCGGAGAUAGAGAUGCUUCCCGAAAUCACAACUCUGGAGCCCCUAGGGCCCUAGCCGCCCCCAAAGCCGUUAUAAACUAUAUUAACGGAGGCCCAUCUGACGAGGAGUACGACUCCAAACGAAAGAGACAAAAGUUGUUGCGGGCAGCAUCAGUGCGCGAGCGUGUCAACUCCAUCCGGCCUGGGAUAACUGGGGGGGCCCUCGCCCCAUAGAUGGGACAAUCAUUUUCCCACCAGUAGACCCCACCUGGAUAUUGCAGCCGCAACGCAACGCCCUCAUCCUGUCCCUAAAGAUAGGAGACUUCGACGUGAGACGCAUCCUGGUUGACCCAGGCAGCUCGGCCGAUCUUGUGCAAGCAUCGGUCAUUAGCCACAUGGGGCACAGUCUCACAGGCCUCGAAAACCCUGGGCGAAUCCUGUCCGGAUUCAACAGGGCGUCAACUACUUCCUUGGGAGACAUUGUAUUGCCGGUCCAAGCUGGCCCAGUCACUCUCAACGUACAAUUUUCGGUGGUACAAGAUUUAUCACCCUUCAAUGUCAUCUUGGGGCGCACAUGGCUGCACUACAUGAAAGCCAUCCCCUCUACAUAUCAUCAAAUGGUAAGUUUCCUUACCAAGGAUGGGCAAAUUGACCUAUACGGCAGCUAGUUAGCCGCUCGCCAAUGCUACCAGAUAGCACGAGAAGCAGGGACCAGCCAGGAGGAUGCAUCCCUCCCUGAGUCCAGCCAUGCACGUGACCAAUAGCAAUUAUUGAGUUCGGCGGUCAAAGAUCCCCCGACAGCGGAUCCCUUGCAAACGAUCCAAAUUUCAGAAGAAGGUACUCACCUUACGAAUAUCAGUUCCCUUCUAACACCAGAAGAGACCCGGAACAUGCAGAACGCCCUUAGACAAAACCAUGACGUCUUCGCAUGGGCACAUUCUGAUAUGAAGGGAAUUCAUAUCUCCAUUACCUCUCAUAGGCUUAACGUCUUGCCAAUAGCCAGACCUAUCCGGCAGAGGGUUAGACGUUUUCACCCAGACAUACAAAAAAUUAUCCGGAAUGAGAUUGACAAGUUGCUAGAAGCCGGAUUCAUCAGGGAAGUGCAUUACCCGGACUGGUUGGCAAAUGUAGUGGUGGUACCAAAAAAAAAAGGCAAAUGACGGGUAUGCGUCGACUACACCAACCUCAAUAAUGCAUGCCCAAAAGACAGUUUCCCUUUGUCACGGAUAGAUCAAAUUGUGGACUCCACUGCUGGGCAAGGGAUGCUCUCCUUCUUGGACGCCUUCUCCGGAUACCACCAAAUCCCCAUGUCCCCGGCUGACGAAGAAAAGACAGCCUUCAUAGCACCACAUGGUCUCUAUUGCUACAAAGUCAUGCCAUUCGGACUCAAAAACGCUGGCGCCACUUAUCAGAGACUGAUGACGAAGAUCUUCAAACCUCUGGUCGGCCGCACAGUAGAGGUAUAUAUUGACGAUAUCGUGGUUAAAAGCAAAACCCGAGAGGAACAUGUCCUCCACUUGCAAGAAGUCUUCCACCUCUUAAGGAAGUAUGACAUGAAGUUGAAUCAUUCUAAAUGCGCCUUUGGCGUAAGUGCUGGCAAAUUCCUGGGAUUUAUGGUCAGCCAAAGGGGGAUAGAGGUCAGCCCAGACCAAGUCAAGGCAGUCAUGGAAACACCACCCCCCAGGAGCAAAAAGGAAUUACAGCGCCUCACAGGCAAGCUUGUCGCGCUAGGGCGUUUUAUAGCCCGCUUCACUGAUGAACUGCGACCCUUCUUCUUAACAAUACGAAAAGUAGGAGCAAACGGAUGGAUAGACAGCUGUCAAAGCGCUUUUGAAAAAAAUUAAACAUUGCCUCAUGCAACCGCCCAUCCUGAGCAGUCCCCUCCCUGAAGAAAAACUGUAUAUGUAUCUGGCUGUAUCGGAGUGGGCAAUUAGCACUGUUCUAUUCCACUGCCCCUCACCCAAGGAGCAGAAACCUAUCUACUACAUUAGUAGAGCAUUGGCGUACGUAGAAACCAAGUAUUCAAAGAUGGAGCUAACGGCCUUAGCUCUUUGAAGUGCCGCCCAGAAGCUCCGCCCCUACUUCCAAGCCCACCCGGUGGUCGUGCUAACUGACCAGCCCCUUCGCAACAUUCUACACAAGCCAGACUUAACCGGAAGAAUGCUUCAAUGGGCCAUAGAGUUAAGCGAAUAUGGAAUCGAGUUCCAACCCAGGCUGUCCAUGAAAGGCCAAGUUAUGGCUGACUUCGUGCUGGAAUACUCCCGAAGGCCUAUCCAGCGCAAGGAACCAAGUGAAAAAGAGUGGUGGACUUUGCGGGUCGAUGGAGCCUCACGAUCAUCAGGAUCCGGAGUAGGACUCCUACUGCAAUCACCAACAGGAGAACAUCUGGAGCAAGCCAUCAGGCCGGGGUUCUCCGCCUCUAGCAAUGAAGCGGAAUAUGAGGCCAUCCUAUCCGGAUUGGACCUCGCACUGGCUCUAUCCGUCUCCAAGCUCCGGGUUUAUAGUGACUCCCAACUCGUGGUAAGGCACGUUCAGAAGGAAUACGAAGCUAAGGAUGCAUGCAUGGCGCGAUAUCUGACUAAAGUAAAGGACACCUUACAACGAUUCACUGAAUGGACGAUCGAAAAAAUCAAACGAACUGAAAAUGGAUGUGCCGACGCCCUAGCAGGCAUAGCUGCCUCCCUCCCCAUCAAAGAAGCCAUAUUGUUGCCUAUACAUGUGUAAGCCAACCCUUCCGUCGCGGAAACCUCCAUUUGCAAUACCAUUGAGGCAAACCAAGUAGACGGCCAAGAGUGGACAGAAGACAUUAUAAGGUACCUCCAGACAGACACUCUGCCUGAAGAGCCCAAGCAGGCACAUAAGCUCAGGGUGCAAGUCGCCCGUUUCACCCUGAUUGGGGGGCACUUGUACAAGCGAUCCUUCACAGGUCCCUAUCUCCGGUGCCUUAACCACUUAGAGGCCCUGUAUGUAUUAGCUGAAUUGCACGAGGGAGUAUGUGGAAAUCAUUCUGGAGGUUGAUCUCUGGCACACAGGGCCCAUUCGCAAGGAUAUUACUGGACCAUGAUGAAGAAGGAUGCGGUAGCCUAUGUCAAAAAAUGUGACAAAUGCCCAAGGCAUGCCCCCAUACCACAUGUGCCGUCGGAGACAUUGAAGCCAAUUUCAGGCCCCUGGCCCUUCGCGCAGUGGGGCAUGGACAUAGUAGGACCCCUACCAACCGCACCCGCUCAAAAGAAAUUCCUGCUUGUCGCCACGGAUUACUUCAGUAAAUGGGGGGAAGCUGAAGCAUACGUUAACAUCAAAGACAAAGAUGUCACCAAGUUCGUGUGGAAGAACAUCAUCUGCUGCUUCGGAAUCCCCCAAACCAUUAUAGCCGACAACGGUCCACAGUUUGAUAGCAUCGCUUUGCGGAAUUUCUGUUCGGAACUAAACAUCCGGAAUUCAUACUCCACACCGCGUUAUCCUCAAAGUAAUGGGCAAGCAGAGGCCACAAACAAGACCCUAAUAACUGUCCUAAAAAAGAGGCUCGAGCAAGCCAAAGGAAAGUGGGUGGAAGAGCUACCCGGUGUCCUGUGGGCUUAUCGAACCACACCCGGACGUCCAACAGGAAACGCUCCCUUCGCCCUCGCAUACGGUAUGGACGCAAUCAUUCCUACUGAAAUAGGGCUACCCACUAUCCGGACCGAGGUAGGAAGGCAAGAUGAUGCAAAUGUGGAGUUAGGCAGAAACUUGGACUAGGCAGACGAAGUAAGAGAAACUGCAUCCAUCCGGAUGGCGGAUUAUCAACAAAGGGCAUCUGCUCACUAUAAUCGCAAAGCAAGGCCCAUAAGUUUCAAAACUGGAACGCUGGUCCUUAGGAAGGUUUUGGAAAAUACUGCAAAGAUAGGAGCGAGAAAAUUUUAAGUCAAUUGGGAAGACCCCUAUAUAGUAUCUAAGACAAGUGAAAGUGGAGCCUAUCAUCUACAGAAGCUAAACGGAACCCCAUUGCUCCGACCAUGGAAUGUAUCUAAUCUAAAGCAGUAUUACCAAUGAAAGAAAAAUAGAGGUACAAAUAUGAAUAAGUAUGUUUUAUUAGAACUUGUGAAAAUUGUAUACAAAAGUUCUCUGGACUACAAAAUACAGAGAGAAGAUAGCAGUAAAAUUACAAAAAGAAAAGCUCUCAUUGGGAAGGCUUGCCGCGCAGCUUCUCCUCCUCAGCCGGGGGAAUCGAAGGGACGUCCCGCUUAAUACCAUGUUUCUUCAUACAACAAUGGUAGCCAAAGAAGUACAUUUCGUCUACCUGCUUCUGGCAGUCCGCUUCGAGUUCCUCCCUUUCCACAGCAAACUCAGCCUCCAACUCUUCUUUUUGCACUGAUAAACGCGACUGCAAAUCCUCUCUCUGCUUUUUCUCGAUUGACACAUCUGUCCGGAGUCGCCUCACUUCUCCCCUCAGCUGGGCCAUCUCGUCCUCCGCCUCAUGCAGGCGGGCGUUUGUAGAUUCCUCCCGACUCUUUGCCUCAGCUAGCUCUAUCCGGAGAGCCUCGUUGUCAUCCUAGGCAGCGGAUAAACUGGCUUCGGCCUGCUCCAAUCUCAAGCGCAGUUCCUCUUCACUGUCUUUGCGCUGGGAGACGAAGGCCUUCAUAUAAUCGGCAGUCCGCAGCAGGUCCGAAAAAAGAUCGCGUUGUUGAGCCAUGCCACGAAUACCGCUCACCAGCUACAGAAAAACCUACAAACAAGAAGUGCAAAGUUACAACCCAUGUGACAAACACAUCAAUAUGGCAGGAAAAAUCAAGAAGUAAACUAUACCAUUUCCGCCGCUUCAAACAUUUUUGCUGAAUGCACAUCAACAUUUGAGCCGGGUGGAAUCCGUUUCAGCAUCUCUCCCAACUCCGCAUAGCUGAAAGGGCUAGCGGAGAUGCAAGCCGCAUCAUCAACUAGACUUCCCCCUGACAAAACAGUAGGGUGUGACUCCUCUCUCAGGUCCGGGGCCCCAUCAUUCUCGGCCAGCUGGGUCUCUCCGGGUGAACCCUCAUCCAGGACUAGCACCGGGGAGGUUGGGUUUUCUUCUGCCAUCUCAGUCUCACUCCCCUCAUGAUGAUUCUCCUGGACGGAUGAGCAGCUGACUUCGAUGGUUUCCAGAAAACGAUCCUGAAGCCGCCCGAUGAGGCCAAACUUUAAGUCGCGGGCCGGACGAGACCUCCUUGUAGCUGGCCCCUUCACCGGUACAAAGGCAAGGGAGCUUGGCUCAUAAGGAGGCAAACCCUAACUUGCAGCCCCCGUUUCUUCCAUUGGCAGUGCCGUAGGAGGCUACGUUUCAAUACAAGAGGCCCCGGCUACAUCCGCGUCCGGAUGGGGAGAGCCGGGCUGAUUUACUGAAGUCGCUUCCUCAGCCAGAAGAGCCAGCCGUCCAGCCGCUGGCAUUGAAGGCCCCGAAUGGUUUAGACCCGCGAGACAUCCGGAGCCGCUUGAAACAGAGGGCAAGACGGAGGGAUCUGGCGUUCUUAUUGUUACUCCCUUUACAUAAGUUGGAGGUGGUAUCACCACUUCCUUUGGGGGAGUUGGAAGUUUUAUUUCUUUCCCCUUAUUGAGAACCUUCUUCUUCUUUUUCGCUGGGGCGCCAGCAGGUGGAGAGGACGCGGGACAUUUAUUACCAGGAGCCUUCCGCAAAAGUCCUUCUUGCCUUUUCUCUUCCCGUUUGUUGAGACGGGCUUUGCGUGACUGGGUGUCCGCCUUUCGCACCGCCGCGUAGAAUGGGAGAUCUUUGAGAACGAAAUGCUCACCAGCCACCACCUCUUUGGGCAGCCGCCUCGGGAGUAUGUUCAGCAUGUACGGCUGGGGCUCCUGGAUAACCAAGUGAAGAUUCUGCGCGGAGAGAAGCGUUUCACAACUCCUCUCGACCGCCGCAAUCUCAAAAAGCCUGUUCAACCGGUCGAACGUGGCUUUCUCCACCCAUUCUACCAACUUCCCCCUUUUAUCCUUGUCUGCAACCAAGAAAACAAAACAUGUCAGCCACCUAACAAUGCUGACCUAACUCGCAAACCGCAGAAAGACAGGAAGUAACUUAUUCAUACCUGAGACCUUCAAUGACUGGUUGGGAGCUAACUACCUAUCCGGAUGCACCGUCAAACCCGCCCAUAGGCCCUUGACCAGCACAUGACCCUUGGCGGCCCCCUUGGUCGAGUCCGAAAGGCUGGUCACCAACUGAAGGGAUGGAAGGCUAGCGACAAAGCUGAAGAUGUCAUUUUUCACCUUCUUAAUCGAAUAGAUGAAGAGAACCUCCAGCAGUGAGAGGUCCAGAUUGAACAACAUGCUCAGAAUGCUGCACCCCAUCAGCACCCGGACCAUGUUGGGAUGGAUGUAAGCUGGAGGAAUCUGAGUGAAGUGAAGGAAUUCCUUGAACAAUGACGGGAGGGGGAACCGGAGCCCAGCAUUGAAUUGCUCAUUGGAAAAGAAGAUAGCGUUGUCUUCAAUUUUCUCAGUCGACACGGCCUCUCCGUCCGUAAGUUCAAUGAACAAGCCAUUCGGGAUGCAGAAGCGUUCGCGAAACUCCCUCACAUUCAACUUAUCCACGGAUUUCUCAGCAUGAGCAUCUCCGGACGAGCUAGAUGAAGUAGCUUCCUAGUUCGCAGACAUUUUUUAGGCUGGGGCUGAAAUGGAAUUUGCAUGGAGGAAUGCCAACAGUCAAACACAGCAAUCCGACCCCACAACCCUAACGACAAAAACGCUCAGAAAGCCUAAACAACACCAGCAUCCCCAUCUCAAACCUUAACUCUACCGCAAAGAAGAAUCGAUGGCCUACAAAAGGCACAGGGGUGUUGAGGCCUCGCGUCCCUAGUGAUCCACGUAGUUGCCAAAUGGAUGGACGCACGAUCUCAACCAAUAUAGAGUCCUGGUUCAGUCGUUCCUGCAAAAGGCGUCCGGACAGGGUGUCCAGACACACUCUCCGAUGGUUUUGUCAGCCAUGGUUAGAGAGAAUAAUCAAUUGGCUUUUUACUAAGUAUCGCAAGCUUACCUUCCUCCUUGUGUGAAGGUCCAUAUAUAUAGUAUCAGAAGCUUUGUCUCCCUCUUUAAUGAUAGGAAGAUAUUUUGGCUUGUCAUGAUGCCUCUAGGUGGUGGCAGGGCCAUCAUCACCCUACGGGCGGCUGACAGAGAUCGUGGGAGGCGCCGCAGCUGUCAGAGAUCGUGGGAGGCGCCGCAGUUGUCAGAGAUCGUGGGAAAUGACUUGCCAUCAUUCCUGUCUUUUCACUCUGCAGGUGGCGGAACGUGGGCCGUGGCAGGCUGUUGGAAUGAUGUAGUAAGACUUGCUUACUUUAGUAAAUGAUUCAGACAAACAUAUCCGGAUAGGCUAUGUCGGUCAUCCGGAUGUGAUAUGGCGGUCGUCCGGAUGUGAUGUUUACGAGUGUCGUGUGCUUCUCCUAAGGGAGUCCGGAUAGGAGAAGUGCGCCACGUGUCUUCUUAGGGAAAUCCGGAUGGGGCUAAUCCGGAUAGAAAUGUGUGCCACGUGUCAUCAGGGGGAGGGGUCCCUACAAGGGGGGCAACAGAAACCCUAAACACACCCAAAACACGAUCAAAACCCCCCGAAAAAAGCCCUAGAAACCAAUACCGACUCCCAAUCGCAAAGAAACUUGCCCAGCAAGCCAGAAACAACCAACAAAGCAAACACAAACGAGGAAAAGACAGAGAUAGAGAAUGUACCGAGUGUAAACUGGCGAAUGGAGAUGAAAAUCCACAGUGCAGUCACUGUCACGGCACGGGUAUUGCUAGCAGAAACCCUAGAAACUCACUCACAAAUGAAGAAAAACGCAGAAGGCUGAAGAGAAAGCACUACCAGUAGAAAAAUGCAGAAGAAAAAAUGCAACAAUAAAGGGCUCAGUCCGCUAUUUAUAGUGAGACAAACCCUCGGUAUCCCAAACGCUGAGCCGUGCCAUCAUUUUAAAAGACACACUGCCUGGGAAAUCCCAGAGACGGCGGCUCAUCAUAAAUGCUCUUCUUCCUUUUCGCCCCCGCUCGCCACAUGACCCAAUGAGCGCAAAAAGUAACCUCAGUUUCAAAAACAAUUAUUUUUAACCCGCCCAUUCUGCCCAGGCAAAAUCGACAAGUUAAAAGGGGGGCAUUGUAGGGACCCCUCCCCCUGAUGACACGUGGCACACAUUUCUAUCUGAAUUAGCCCCAUCCGGAUUUCCCCAAGAUGACUCGUGGCGCGCUUCUCCUAUCCGGACUCCCUCAGGAGAGGCACACGACACUCGUAAACAUCACAUCCGGACGACCGCCAUAUCACAUCCGGACGACUGACAUAGCCUAUCCGGAUAUGUUUGUCCGGAUCAUUGACUAAAGUAAGCAAGUCUUGCUACGUCAUUCCGACAGCCUGCCACGGCCCACGUUCCGCCAUCUACAGAGUGAAAAGACAAGAAUGAUGGCAAGUCACUUCCCACGAUCUUUGACAGCUGCGGCGCCUCCCACGAUCUCUGUUAGCCGCCCGUAGGGUGAUGAUGGCCCUGCCACCACCUAGAGGCAUCAUGACAAGCCAAAAUAUCUCCCUAUCAUUAAAGAGGGAGACAGAGCUUCUGAUACUAUAUAUAUGGACAUUCACACAAGAAGGAAGGUAAGCUUGCGAUACCUAGUAAAAAGCCAACUGAUUAUUCUCUCUAACCAUGGCUGACAAAACCAUCGGAGGGUGUGUCCGGACACCCUGUCCAGACGCCUUUUGCAGGAACGACUGAACCAGGACUCUAUAUUGGUUGAGAUCGUGCGUCCAUCCAUUUGGCAACUAUGUGGAUCACCAGGGACGCGAGGCCUCAACAGACACUAGAGAUGGAAAACCCUCGUCUCAGAAAUGCAAGGAAAGGGAAGAACGUGAAGAAUUUGAAGACCUUCACACUUGGAUCAACCCUUGUUUUCUUCUUUUCUCCUCACCUUUCACUCUCAACCGUCUGCCCACACAUAUGCUUCCACAGAGCCCUAGCUGCUGCAUUAUUGGCCUUAGAAACCAGCCGCCAGACCAGCCCAACAUGUGGGUUUGAAAAAAAUACUUUCCUGAGCUGGAACCCAUAUAUGGGCAAGCCCAACAAAGUCCAUCUCUGAUUUAUGAAUUUAUUUUAUUACCUCAAAGCUAUAGGUUUGUGGGUCUGGCCCACACUUAUUGUGGUGUAAUCUCCUAUGUGGUUAAUUUGUCUUUAUAGUGUCUUCUAUGGCUCUCCAUUGCACAUGGAACCAUAUUUAAGAAUUUCAUUUAGUUGGCUGCGUUUCAUCUCAUAGUUUUAUAUGACUGUUGUGAGUAAGCUUUUCAGGCAGUGUCCUGGAAAACUAAUAGAAUUUGGAGGAUUGUCUAAUUGAUCCUAAAGAAUUUUAGCUGAGUACAAAUGAAAUGUGGAAUUUCCAUUAUUCUAAGUUUUAAACUUAUAUUUCACUUAACAACUUUUUUUUUUCCUGCAUUACCACCUCAUAUUGGAUUGUAGCCAUCUUUUCUGUCAGUUUUUUCUUCUUUUCUAGUGUUGCUGAUGCAUUAAGAUAUAUAUCUUUUGUUUUAUAUGAUGAGGAAGUUAUCAUCACGUUUUUCCUUCGUCUUUUUUACAUACAAACUCUUAUGUAGCUUGAAUCUCUUGUCUUUUGUUGUCACAUCCCAAAACCCACUUCAAGGGCAUGACAGUCAUUUCACACCUCAAGCCCAAAGGCUCAAAGUGGAAACGAUACAAACAUUCAUAUUAUAACUGAAAAUUUACCAAUUACCAAAUUCCUAUUCAGAGUAGUAUGACAAAAUUCUAAAAUCUCUCCAAGUAUCAACUUUAAAAAAACUAACACAUCAACUAGAGUGUUAUUGUCCAUAUAACUCCAAAUUCAAAUAAUUUAAAUCGGAAUUAAAUUUUAACAUCUAAACAAUGUCCAAAAAUAAAGUUUGAACCAAAAUCCUAACAAAGAAAAAUUCCCAAGCCUAACCAUCACUCCUCGCCCGAACUGAGAGUACCUGAAAAAUUAUCAACGAAGGGGCAUGAGCUCAAUAAGGAACAUCAAUGUAGUUUCAUGGAUCAAAUAUUUUCAAUCAUGUUUGCAAAUAGGAGAUAUAACAUAUACUUAUUUUCAUAAAAAACUUUUGAGUUCGAAAUACUAAUAUAUUCAAACUUUUCAACAAACUUUCUCAUAUCUUUUUCAAAACAAUUUCUCAUCAAAACCAAAUCAAAUGCAUUCAAAAUAUCUUUACUCUGGUUAUCAAAUAACAAAUGGUGUCCAAUUAGGAGAGACUUCACAAAUGAGUGGCUAGUUUCAAAUUUGUUCUAGUUGAGGUGAACAAAACCAAAAGUCAACAAUUGUAACCCGUUGACUAGGAGUCAUAAGGUCAACUAUUAUAACUCGUUGACUAGAGCCACAAGGUCAACUAUUAUAACCCGUUGACCAUAUAAUAUCAACUAUUAUAACCCGUUGAUUAGGGCCAUAAAAUGUCAACAACCCAUUGACUAGGGCCAUAGGAACUAGAGUCAAACACUUUAUUUCAUUAAUUCAAACUUACAAAACAAAAUAUCAUAUCUCCAAAAAUUUUCACUUUUCAUAAAUAAACAAGGAAGAUUUUCAAAUAUACUUUCCAUACAAAACACAUAUUUGAUCCAUGCAAAAAGAUAAAAAUAAUAUUUUUACACUUUUAAAAAUACAAUAUAAAAAGGAAAUUAUUUUCUUUUGUAAACAUCUGCAUUAAUUUCCCUUACCUUGAAGAAACACUCAAAAUCUUGAAGUAUUUAACUCUAAAGAAUUUCCUCUUCACCUAACAUAAUAUCAUACACAAUAUUGAUUAUUGAUUAUUGAUUAUUUAUCCAAACAUAUAAAUUUGAAAAUCCUAAAAAUAUUUUAUUUAGUAUUAGGGAUCCUAAUUAAUUUCUCAUAUUAAUAUUAUUACCAUCCAAUAUUAUUUUCAACUUCCUAAACAAUAAUUUAUUUCCUUUUUUUCUAACUUAUCUAGCAUAAAUCUUUUAAGAAUAUUUAUUUGCAUUAAACUAUUAUUACUAUUAUUUAAAUCUCCUACCGAAACUUAACAAAUACCCCAUGCAAUCCUUUUUUCUUUUUUUUUUCAACAUGUCAAAUCCUUUCUACGCUUCUUUCAUCAUUUUUUUUUCUCUGAAGUCAAAACUUUUAACCUCUAUACUCACAAUUUUAUAUAAUUUUCACAUCCAAAACUAUAUAAUUUUUUUAAAAUUUAAUUUAAUUUUUUAUCUAAAUCUAUUCAUUUGAGUAAUCAAAAUUUAUUGAUCUCCAUUAAUAAAUCAAACUAUGUUCAUAAAUUUUUAAUCUUUGUGACCUAGAAAUUAAUUAAAUGAACUCUAAUCAAAAUUAAGAUAUUCUAAAGAAUAUCUAAAGUGUUUAAAACUAAUUAACGAAUAUAAAAUAUUAAUUUAAAGAUUAAAAAUCUUACCUGAAAAAUUGAUCUUCAAACCCUAAACCUUCAAACCUUCAACCCUAUGCUCUCUGAUCUUUCUGAUCUUUGUGUAAAAGAGUUUUCUGAAUAGAGAAUAUAGGAAAGAUAUAAUUUAUAUAUAGGGGUUUUAAAUACGAAAAAACCUUUUUACCCUUAUUAAAUUACUUUAAUUAAUUAAUAAUUUCUAAAUUACAAUUUUACCCCUAAAUUGGGUUUGGGGCAUUACAUUUGCAUCAUCAGUAUUUGUCUUUUUCUGUUAUAAACAAGCCUAUAUUGAUGUUGAGCCCUCCCUUCUACUUUAUUUAUGUAUUUCAUACAUUAUCUAGAAGCUAAAGUUUGUGGCUCAUAUCAUUUGUCACUUAUCUUGGUAUUUUGUCUUUAUAAAGUGUCUUAUGUGGCUCUCCAUUACAAAGGGUUAUGAAAAAGAUGUGGUUGUAAGGGCAUUCUCUUCUUUAGGUGGUAACUUUUGUUGAAAUCCAAAAAAAAUUCAAAGAGAAAAAGAGAAAAAAAAAAAAAAAGGGUUUCUUAUUAUGAAUUCUCUUGAAAAUACGUGCAACACUAUUACAAUUUAAAUAGACCUAAUAAAAGAAAAUAAAGACUAUUUUACCCUUACUUCUAAAAAUAUAGAAAAUAAUUCUAACAUUGUAACUAAAUAAACAACAAAUUAUUUUUUUGCCCUUCAGAAAAAUUUCCAUCACAUAACUCCAAAACAAAUAAUUUUAUUUUUUUGUAUCCAAUUUCCUACUUUUAGAUUAAAGGAAUCAUUUCAUUCACUAGGGAUGAUGAAUAAAUAACAAAUAACUAUCAAAAAAAAAAAAAAAAACAUAUAUGAAUCAAAGAAAAUGAAUACGAAAUCGAAUACUAUGAUCAAAUAGGAAAAGAAUUAUGUCAUUUAUCUUGGUAUUUUGUCUUUAUAAAAUGUCUUGUGUGGCUCUCCAUUGUCACUUAUCUUGGUAUUUUGUCUUUCUAAAGUGUCUUCUAUGGCUCUCCAUUGCCACUUAUCAAAAGUCUAAUUAAAAGAUAAUUUUUACUCUAAUACCAAGUUGAAAUCCAAAAAACGAUUUAAAGAUAAAAAGAUCGAGAAAAAACAAAAUUUAGGAUUUCUUUUAAAAAUAACUCCAACAUCAUUAGAAUUUAAAUAAACAUAAUAAAAGAACAUAAAAACUAUUUUAAUGUUGUAGAAAGAAAGAAAAUAAUUCUAAUAUAGUAACUAAAUAUAUAAUAACUAAAUAAUACAUAAUUCUAAUAUACUAACUAAAUAUAUCUAACACCUUUUAAGAUUGGAUACCGUAGAUGGGCCCUUUUAAAUAAUAUUUCUUUGAUGUGAGAAUGGGUUUGAUAUUUUAGUAAAAUAUAGUAAAAUAAUAUUUCUUUUAUUAUAUAAAACAUAAAAGAUAGGAUAUAUAUAUACAUAGAAAAUACGAACAUAUGUAAACAAGUUACGCCUCACACAUUUCUCAACUCCAUAUAUAGUAGUAUUUCUCAAGCAUAUAAUAACAAAGGAUGAAAAUGAAGUAGUUGAGAAUUGUAUGAGAAAUAGGUUCUAGUUACAUUGGGGUUCUUCUUGUACUAGGAGUUGUAGAGACAAGCAAAUUAAACUCCUCGUCAAAAAUAAAAAGAAGUAGAACUAGUUUACGUAUCACACUUGAAAUGAAAAUGCAUGGAAGAGAAAAGCCACACCUUCCUAGAAUCUAGCUACAUGUCCCAAUAGUGUUAGGAUUCCAUAUGAGUUAGAAGUAUAAAUUUUGUGAGCUAGCUCACUUUAUAUAUCCCCAUCAUCAUUAAUUUUUCUCAUGCAGGAAAGCCCAUUUCAAUUUUCUAUGGCUGGUGAAGAAAUAAGUGUCCCAAAGCUACCAGUAGGAUUCAUAUUUCUACCCACGGAUGAGGAGUUGGUGACCUAUUAUUUGAUCAACAGGGUGUAUUACAGGCCUCUUCCAGCCAAACCCAUUCAAGACAUUCCUGCAAGUGAAUUUUACGGCAGUCCUUCUCAUCAUCUAGGUACUUUGAUUUAUGAGCAUGAUAUACAUAUUAAAUCCAAAUCAUGUAAAAUUAUGUUUUUAGGAAAACUGGUAGUUCAACAUGGUAUCAAAGUUAGGAAAGAAGGCUCAAACUUGGGUUUUCUCCAAAAGUGGUUGAAUGUCGUAAAAGUUCGACCUACCCACUCUUCAAAUUGAUAAAUGGUAGUUUUUUCCAUUCAUACUUUCAUUCGUUCAUGUACAAGAGAAUAUAUAGAGGGUAAUCACCAUUUUAAGAAUGGGAAGGAAUGAUACAAGGAAAGAAUGAUAUAAGGAAAUAACAACUAAUAUCCUAAUAUCUCAAUAUUCCUAAUAUCUCAAUAUUCCUAAUAUCUCAAUAUUCUUAAUAUCUCAACUUUCCUAAUAUUUAAACAUUCCUAAUAUCUCAACACUAAAUAAUAUAAGGAAAUAAUGAUAUACGGAAAUCAUUCCUAAUAUCUCAACACUCCCCCUCAAGUUGGUGCAUAGAUGUCACACAUGCCCAACUUGUCUAAAAAUUUUGAGAACACUUGACUUGAGACAGCUUUGGUGAGGAUAUCGGCCAAUUGAUCUUCUGAUCGAAUCUUAGGCAAUUCCACAAUCUUGUCAUCCAAUUUUUCCUUAAUGAAGAAUCUAUCCACCUCGACAUGCUUUGUACGAUCAUGUUGUACUGGAUUAUGAGCAAUGUCACAUGCGGCUUUAUUGUCACAAAACAAUUGGAUUGGUUGCCUAGAUAGGUAACCUAAAUCCUGUAAGAGAAGUCUUAGCCAUAAUGCCUCACAAAGUCCUAGAGCCAUACCUCUAAAUUCUGCUUCUGUACUUGAACGAGCGAUGACAUUCUGCUUCUUACUUUUCCAUGUCACAAGAUUACCACCUACAAAGGUAAAGUAACCAGAUGUAGAUCGCCUAUCAUCCACUGCACCGACCCAAUCAAUAUCAAUAUAUACUUCUAUACUCUGAUGAUUAACAUUUUUAGUGAACAAAAUUCCCUUCCCAGGAGCAUUCUUCAAAUACCUCAAAAUACGCAUAACUGCAUUCAUAUGUUGCUCUCCAGGAUUAUGCAUGUAUUGACUCACUACACUCAAUGCAUAAGCAAGAUCUGGUCUUGUAUGAGCUAAGUACAUUAAUCUCCCCACAAGUCUCUGGUAUCUUCCCUUAUCAGUUGAUACUUGAUUAGGCUCAACACACAAUUUCAGACCUUCUUCUAUUGGUGUAUUAACAGGUUGACAUCCUGACAUUCCAGUCUCUUGUAAAAGAUCUAAGGCAUACUUUCUUUGAGACAGAAAAAUUCCUUCACUUGAUCGAGAAACUUCAAUCCCAAGAAAGUAUUUCAGAGGACCUAGAUCUUUCAUUUCGAAUUCUCUAGAUAGAUAAUUUUGCAGAGCUUUUCUUUCUUCAGGAUCAUUUUCUGUAACUACCAUGUCAUCCACAUAUACGAUGAGUGUGGUAAUCUUACCAUGUUGCUUUUUCAGGAACAAAGUAUGAUCUGAAUUACUUUGACGAUAGCCAAAAGCUCUUAUUGACUUUGUGAACCUUCCAAACCAUGCUCUCAGGGAUUGCUUCAACCCAUACAAUGACUUCUUCAAUUUGCACACUUUCUGACAUUGCUUUUUUGACACCAUGCAUCCUAGUGGAAUAUCCAUAUAUACUUCUUCAGAUAACUCGCCAUGCAGAAAGGCAUUUUUCACAUCGAACUGUUGUAAUGGCCAAUCUAGGUUUGCAGCUAAAGACAGUAAUACUCGAACUGUGUUGAUCUUAGCUACAGGUGCAAAUGUCUCUGUGUAGUCAAUUCCAUAAGUUUGAGUGUACCCUUUUGCUACCAGUCUUGCUUUAAAUUGUUCAAUACUACCAUUUACCUUGUACUUCACAGUAUAGAUCCAACGACACCCAACUGGCUUCUUUCCUGGUGGACAUUCUACGAGUUCCCAUGUUUCAUUCUUCUGCAAUGAUUUCAUCUUUUCAUUCAUGGCUGCUUUCCACCUUGGAUCAGCUAAGGCUUCUUGCACACUGUUAGGAAUAGCUACAGUAGAUAAUUGAUUUACAAAUGACUUAUUUGAUUCAGACAAACGAUGGUUAGACACAUAGUUGCUCAUGGGAUAUUUGACUUUGGUAGACAAUUCAGGUUUAUUUGUGGGUUUAGGAAUACCUCUAUUAUGACGGUGUGGUAACCGUUUCAUGAAUGGAUCAGGUUCCAAAUUAAGAACACCUUCAACAGACGACGAUUGGUUUGGUAUUUCAGUGAAGACAUCUUCGGACCCAAAUUGUUGACCACUCAUAUCCAACUCACCCGCUUCUUGGUUCACUAGUUCAGAUUGUCCAGAUUCAUUCUCCUUAGAGAUAUGAUAAUCAUAAUCGAGAGUCUGAAUUUCCUUAUGGUACUCCCCCUGAAGUUCAGACUCAGAUGAAAAAUACAUCGAAUCUUCAUGAAACACCACAUCCAUUGUAAUAUACAUUUGUCGAGUUGGAGGAUGGUAACAUCGAUAUCCCUUUUUAUGCAAUGCAUAUCCAACAAACACACAUUGCAAUGCAUGGGAAGUUAAUUUGGUGCGUUGGUGUUUGUGUAGAUGCACAAAUGCCACACAACCAAAAACAUGAGGAGGUAGAUUUGGGAAAGUUGGGGCAACUACGGCAUUAGUAAGAGCUUGGAGAGGUGUUUGGAAGUUAAUUGAGCUGGAAGGUACCCAAUUGAUCAAGUAUGCGGCAGAUGUGAUUGCUUCUCCCCAAUAAGAUAUCGGUGUUUUUGCUGCUAUCAAGAAAACACGAACAACCUCUAACAAGUGCCGAUUUUUCCGUUCAGCGACUCCAUUUUGCUGGGGUGUAUUGGAACAAGUAGUCUGAUGAAUGAUGCCAUGUCCUUCCAAAUACUUUUGAAGAUCAGAACUUUGAUAUUCUUCACCAUUAUCACUACGCAGAACCCGAACCUUUGCAUUGUACUGAGUUUCAAUCAUUUUAUGAAAUUUUUGAAACAACAAGUUCACUUCAUCUUUGGUCUUCAUCAAGCAUAACCAUGUCAUUUUGGUACAAUCAUCAAUAAAAGUAACAAACCAAUGUGAGCCACUCAAAGUUGGGACUUUGGAUGGACCCCAAACAUCAGAAUGUAUAACCAUAAAAGGAAACGGACUUUUGUUCAAAAUUAACGGAAACGAAACACGAUGGCUUUUAGCCAAUUCACAAAUAUCACAACGGAAACCAGAAAUAUCACUCUUUGCAAACAAACUAGGAAACAAUUUUUUUAAAUAACCAAAGGAAGCAUGUCCCAGACGUCGAUGCCACAACCAAAUUUCAGACUUUUUCUUCUCCCCCUCAGAUCCAUCUGCCAUCAAGGCUUGUUGCAACUUAUUUGAAUCCUUUGACUGCAAGUCCAAGUAAUAGAGUUUUCCCCGCUUAAUACCACAACCAAUCGUCUGUCUUGUUUGGAUGUCCUUAAUCACACAAAAUUCAGGCCAAAAAAUGACAAUACAAGAUAAGGCUGCGGUGAUUUGAGAAAUUGACAAAAGAUUGUAAUCUAAAGAUGGAACAACUAAGACAGAAUCCAAAUUCAAAGUAUCAGUAAGAGUUAAGGAUCCUUCCCCAAUGACUGGGGUUGUGUUACCAUUGGCUGUGGAAACAAUUUUUUGUGAGGAAGGUCUAAGGGGUGAAACCUGUCUAGAAUCAAAAGUCAUAUGAUCUGUAGCACCAGAAUCAAUUAUCCAUGCACUAUUAAUAACAGGUGUAAAAGUAUUUAAAAACUUACCACCAUGAUCUGUAGCGGCUACCAAUGCAGAGGCUUUCUCAGCAACAUUAACCUCUGUUUUUAUUUCGGCAACAGUUGCAAUCGAGGUUUUCUUGGAAUCCUUCUUCCGUUGAUCACGAUUAUUAUCAUUAAUAAACAAAGUGUUGAUAGCCCUAACAUGAUCUAAAGGUCCAUNNNNNNNNNNNNNNNNNNNNNNNNNNNNNNNNNNNNNNNNNNNNNNNNNNNNNNNNNNNNNNNNNNNNNNNNNNNNNNNNNNNNNNNNNNNNNNNNNNNNAAAGGUCCAUGGUCAAACCCUCGGUUCCUCAUUGUUUUCCUGGUCAUACCAAGAGUCGUUGCUUUGAAAUUAUGGGAUAUCCAGAUUGGUGGGAUCAAUCGUAUUGCAGUGAGUGCAUUUGAAGGUUGACUUAUCAACAUUAGGGCUUGUCUUAGGAUGGAUGAUCACUGUCGGACUACCAUAGCGACAAAAUAUUCAGGAUUUCAGUUUCAUGGCUCUGAUACCAUCUUCAAAUUGAUAAAUGGUAGUUUUUUCCAUUCAUACUUUCAUUCGUUCAUGUACAAGAGAAUAUAUAGAGGGUAAUCACCAUUCUAAGAAUGGGAAGGAAUGAUACAAGGAAAGAAUGAUAUAAGGAAAUAACAACUAAUAUCCUAAUAUUUCAAUAUUCCUAAUAUCUCAAUAUUCCUAAUAUCUCAAUAUUCUUAAUAUCUCAACUUUCCUAAUAUUUAAACAUUCCUAAUAUCUCAACACUAAAUAAUAUAAGGAAAGAAUGAUAUACGGAAAGCAUUCCUAAUAUCUCAACACCCACACAAACCAUGUUUUCCAAUGCUGUUCUUUUCCUUGACGAUACAAUAAGUGGGAUGGUAAAAAAGUUUAUUGGAUGUUUGGCUUAACUGCUUUUCAACUUCUUUAUUUGAUUCAUAACAGCAAUCUCAUCAAGCAGAGAAAGGGAGUAUUUUUUCUUUAUUCAAGGAGAUGAUCAAGGAGAGGAAAUUCGAAUGGUUGAAGAUGGAAGAGGGUUCUGGAAAUUGAGUGGAGAUGAGACUCCGAUCUAUGAUUCAGAUGGGAACAUCUUUGCCUUCAAGAUUUAUUGGACGUAUUUAUCAGGAUCGCUUCAGAAACCCAAGAAAACACAUUGGAGAAUGGAAGAAUAUCGACUUCCCCUUCAUUGUUACAUGGACCAUGAUUUCAAGGUGGGUGAAGAAAAUAAAAAGGAAUGACCAACAUAUGCAAUCUCGUUAUUUUUAUUGGUUUUCAUAAAUAUAAAAAUUUCAAUAUCAAAGAGAGUUUCCUCUUUUAUUUUUUUUAAAAUAAAAUGUGAAAGCAUUUUUAGAAAAUAAAAAUUUAAAAAUAUUUUCCAAAUUAAACACAAUUUAUUAUUAUUUUUUUUCAUUUUUCAUUUUUGUAUUCUUGUUUUUUGCAGGGAGAAAAAUUGGUAUUGGGAAGAAUCAAACGAAGCAAAGAUUAUAUUUCUUGGUUGUAAUUAUUAGGGAACAUGAUAUGUAUAUUGAAUUCAAAUUCUGUAGGCUUAAGUUUUUAGGAAAAUUAGUAGUUCAACGUGGUAUGAGAGCUAGGGAACAUGAUAUGUAUAUUGAAUUCAAAUUCUGUAAGCUUAAGCUUUUAGGAAAAUUAGUAGUUCAACGUGGUAUGAGAGCUUGAUUUAGUGAAAAGUCUUGUAUUCGAGCUGUCUCUUUAGAAUUCACAUUUUCCCAUAUGAAUCUAAAUUACCAAAAUCAUGUAAACUUAAACUUAUAUAGGAAAAUGAGUAGUUCAACAACAAAGUUUAUUUUAUUUUUUAGAAAAAUUGGUAGUUUAAUAUUAAAGUUUAUUUUAUUUUAUUUUUAUGUUAUUCUUUUGAUAAUGGGAUUUAAUUUAUUUAAGAUUAAAUUUAUGUUUGCAAAGUUGAAAUUAUUUAGUAAUUUAUGCACAACACUUAUUCUUCUAUUUUCUUGAUUCUUGAUCGAUUAUUUUCAUGUUGAAAUAACAUGUUGUAAAUUUUUUGAAAAAAUAUCAAUUAAAAAAAUGGUUAAUUUCGAGGACAUUGAAUUAAUUUUUAUAAUAAAAUUUAAAAUGAUUUCCUAUAAAUUUUAAAUUAGUUUUAUUAAAUAAAUGUUAAAAUUAAAAAAAAAAUGUUUAUUUUUUAUCUUGAAUUUUAACCUCAAUCUUCUCUAGUUUGAAAAUCAUUUUAUAGUAAAGACAACAAAAAGCAUAAAAAAUAAAUAAAUUUCUUAUUUUAAAAAAAUAAAUGAUUAAAUUAAAUUUCAAAUUAAUUUAAUAUAAAAUAGUAAUUGUUUUUACGCUUGAAAGUUUUUAUUUCACUUAAUUAUAAAUAAUAAAAAUGAGAGUAUUCUUUAAUCUAGAAAAGGAUAGAAAAUUUAUCCUUCUAAUGAGAUGAUAGUGUAAUGAUUAUAUUAUUUUAAAUUAUACAUAUACAUCACUUAAGAAAUUAAACAAAAUAUAUCAUUUUGAUAGUAAAUAGAAAUAAAUUUAAGAAAAAAAUUAUUUUCUAAUAAUUUUAAAUUUUAUCUUAAAAUAAAUUAAAAGAAUUCAAUUUUUCUAUUCACCUUUUAUAAGAAAUUAAAAUUUUAGUUUUCCAUAUUUCAUAUAUUUUUUUUAAAUGAAAAGAACCUUUACAAAUAAAUUGAUAAAUAAAAAAAUUAAUUUUAAGUCAAUGGAUGAUAAUUUUUUUUCCUUCAUUUUUUAAGUUUAUUUUCAUAAAAUCACAUGACUUAAUUGAUAUUCUUAAACUUGACUAAAAAUUUAACACUUGGUUUUUAAUUUCCUAUAGAUUAAAAAUACAAAUAUAAAUAGAAAUUUUUUUAAGUGAACUGAAAUCAAUAAUUUAUUUAUUUUCAUUCAAUUUUUAAUUAUAGUAAAGAUAAAGUAAUUAUAUUGGAAAUUAAUAAGUGCAUAAAUUUAUAAAUAUUUUCAAAUUUGUGGAUAUAAAUUUUAUUUUUCCAUGUUAUUAAAUCUAUCUAUUUAUGUUAUAUUCUCUCUACAAAAGAUUUUCUUCACUCUCGAUUAUUUGACAUUUUAAAAAAUUUAAUUAAAUAAAAAUCAUUUUGAAAUUUCUAGAAAUUUAAUUAAAUAAAUAUCUAUUUCAUAUAUUGCUUUUGCAAUUGAUAUUGAGACAUGAAUUUUAGCCUUUAAGAAACUUUCCCAAACAAAGCGUUAAGUUCAUUAAAGCAUCAAAAAAUUAACGCUUGGCAUGGAAUAAGCACUUUUCGGUACUACCAUACUGAAUAUUUUCCAGGGUCUUUGCUUUGGAAAUGGCUUUAAUCAAUCCUUGAAAGUUGGAUCACAUAAUAUCUUGUGUCAAAUCCAGCGCUCCUCAACAAUCUUCAUUUUGAAAACAAUCACAUUUUCACAAUGAAACUCUAUGGAAAAAUUUCUUUUCUAGCUCCUUUAUUAUGAUUUUUGCAGUAACAAACUUUUUUUUUGCUCUUUCUCUUUGUCAGUGAGUUAGACCAUAAAGUUUCGAUUCAUAAUUUUGUUCCAAACAUUAUAUGAUCCACAUGAUGCAUUUUUUGAGACUAAUUUUGAUACAACUUUUAAUGCUAGUAUUCAUCCAAACAAACUCAUUCAUAUUUACUUGAACGAUCUUAAAUAUGAUCCUCAAACUAAAAAACCAAAUUUGCAUAAUAGCAGGUGCUUAACACCUCUGGUGAGUGCUUAACACCCCUGGGGAGUGCUCAAGUGUUCAAGACUAAUUUUAUAUUUUUUUGUCAUUUUUAUUUUUUUUAUUUUUAUUUUGUUAUCGAUUUGGCUUGCUAGAGUUCAAAUACACCCUUUUUUUUUUUCAAUAAUUUUUGAAUGUUUUAAAUAUGCUCUAGAACAAUAUUGUCCUUAUUCCCAUUGAGGCUCCAAGAACCUCAUUCUUGAUAUAGAUUUGUUGGUGGUGGUGGUUGACUACAUCCCAUUGAGGCUUUAAGGAGUUCACAAUGGAGCACACUGUGUUGUGUUGGCUCCAAGAACCUCAUUCUUGAACCUCAUUCCAAGAACCUCAUUUCCCAAAGAGAGGAUGGCCGGGCUGCCCCCACUUUCAGUCCCCAUUUUCCCCCCAUUUUUUCUUCUUCAGUUUUUCUAACAGAGACACGGCAGCCCAGCCCCGAAUUUUUUUCUCUCUUUUCCCCCUCUCUGCAACUCCACUUCGAUUCAGAGCAGCGCCCAGGGAUUCACUUCUUUUUUAUUUUUUAUUUUUCAUCAUUCCAUUCACUCCACUACACCUCACCGGCCGAACACCCCUUCAUUUCUUUCCCAUUUUUUUUUUCCUUUCAUUCUCCAUUUUUUUUCCUUAUUUUCUUUAUUAUUAUUAUUAUUUUCAAAAACUCAACCCCUCACCGCCGUCGGGACACCGAUCAGUCGCCACCGGCGAGCCACUGCCGGUCGGUGAUCCCCUUCCCAUCUCACCCUUUCCAUUACUAUUAUUAUUAUUAUUAUUAUUAUAUUAUUAUUAUUAUUAUUAUUAUUAUUAUUAUUAUUAUUAUUAUUCAUUUUUCUCGAUUUGAUUAUAAUAGUAAUUGUUGUUUAUGAUACUUGAAUUGUUGAAUUAAUACAAAAUUUGAGUUAAUUUGUUGGUGGUGAAUUAAUAUGAAACUUGGGCUAUUUUUGUUUUUGCAUGGACUCGUUCUGCGAACUUGUUGGCUGAGUAUAAAUUUAUGACACGUGAAGCACGGAAUUUCAUGGAACAAAGUGAGACUCGAAAAGCUGUAAAUGGAGCAUUAAACUUAUUGUAAGCCUAUUGGGGUACAUAUUUGAUUUCUCAUUUAUAUUCAGUUUUAUUUUUAUUGAUUUCUGUAAAUAUUUAUCUAUGUAUAUUUACUUGUGUGUACAGAAUUGAAUAUUGAACAAACUAGAAAUUUUGUUUAAAUGAGAGGAAGAAUUCAGUAAAUGUGUUUUGAUGAAACAAUAAUUUUAAAAUAUUAUUUUUAAUAAAAGAAAGUUUUUUUUUAUUAUUUAUAAAAAUUCAGAAAAAUGCAUUUAGAAAAAUCCAAAAAAUUGUUUUUAAUAGAAUUUGAAAUUUUUUUUAAUGACAUUGUCCAAAAAUUUUUUUGUUUAAUAAAAAUUGUCCAAAAAUUGUUUUGUAAAUAAAGUUGUCCCAAAAAUUAAUUUUUAAUAAAAUUGUCUAAAAAUAUUUUUUCAAAUGAAUUCUUUUUCUUUAAUUAAAAUGGGAUUAAAAGUGUUUUUCAGAUAUAGAAGAUUUAAAUAUUUGUUUUUCUUUUUAAUUAAAAUUUCUUUUGCAAAUAAAGUUAUAUCAUUUUAAAUAAUUUGUAAAAAUCACUCUUUUAAAUGAAAAUAAAUCUAAAUACUUUUGUAAAUAAAAUUGUAAAAAUUCAUUAUUUUCUAGUAAAAGUAACUAAAAAUAAUUUUUGUGCCCAAAUUGAAAUUUUGUAAUAAAUUCUUUUGAUACUAAGUGUAAAUAACUUUUUUUGAAAAUUGAAUAUAAACGAAGUUGAGAAAAUAAAUUGAUUCUUUUUUUGUAAGAAAAUAAUUUAAAAUCAUUAAUUUAAAAUCAUUUUUAAUAAAAUCCUUUGAAAUUUCUUUAAAACUUUUUAAAAUAUCUUUUAUUUAUUUAAUUCAAUAAAUCAUUCUGUAUAAUUCUCUCAUUAUUUAUUUUGUGUAUUUUCGUAAUUAGAUUUCAUCAUUAUUUGUGUAUAUUGCUUUUCACUAUGACUUGUACAUGCUCAUUUGCUUGAUUAUUAAUUUUGGUAUCCAUGAUUAAUUAGUUAAUUGUCACCAUUACUUCAUUUUAUUAGUAGAGACCCGAUUUUAGGGAUUUAGAGGGGUGUUGCGGUCUUUACUGUACCUUCCCGAUAAGUAACCUGACCCCCGAACUUGAUCCGGUUUUUCACAGAUCACCUUUUCCAAAAUAAAGAGUCACACUUAGGGUUUUUAUUUCUUAUUUUGUUUUCCCUUUAAAAAAAUUAAAAUAAGUGACGACUCCAAGUCUUUUUUCUAAGAAUCAAAUUUUAUCAAAUAAAACAAAAAGCGAGUUUCGCUAUCGAGUAGGAACGCAUGAGUCGAAAAUACAGGGUCCACAAAGACCCUUGAGAGAAUAUAGGGUUUGAUUUAUGUAAACUUGUGUAUUUGAUCUUUCAUAUUUAUUGAAUUUGCUUAAUUUGUAGUCGAUUAGACUUAUGAUUUUUACCUCAAUAGUGUUUUUUUAUUUUUUAUUUUAUGUAUAUUGGUAUGUUUGGUAAUUAUUUUCAAGAACAUUUUUCUUUUUUUUUAGAGCAAAAAAAAAAAAAAAAACAUGUCUCAUAACCAACAAGCUAUUUUCUAUUUUUUGUUCUUAAAAACAAAACACAAAGUAUUUUCAGAAAAUAAUAUAUUUUAGUUGUUUUCACUUAUUUUCACUUGUUUUCUAGAACCGUUUUGAAGAAUAAUUAUACAAACAUGUAAAAUGAUAAAAAAAUAAAAUACUAGAUAUAAAAAUUAUUUUUAAAAAUAUUAAAACAAAUUGAAAACAUUUUAGAUUUCUAGAUAGACUUUUGUUUUACAAAACAUAGAAAAUAGUUUUCAAAAACUGAUUUUCAGAAUUAUUUUUGAAAACAGUCACCAAAUAUGGCAUAUUAUGCCUUUUGUGCAACUAAAAUUCAUUUUAAUAUCUAUAAAAUGUUAUUUGUGAAAAAUUUGAAAUUUAAGACAUCAAAUCAUGGUUACCUAUUCACUCUUGUGUUAAUUUUAGGAAUCAAGAUUUGUACUUUCAAUCGGUAUCAAAGCAUAUUGAAGUUAAAAAAUUAAAUUUUUUAUUCUUGUAUAAUUGUUAUCUAUAUAUCUUAUAUUAAUUAAAGAAAAUAUUAUUUUUAAAAAAUUUGAAAUUUAAGACAUAAAAUGAUGACUACUUAUUCAAUCUCAUGGUAAUUUCAGGAAUUAAGAUUCAUACUCUCAAUUAUUAUCAAACCAUAUUAAAGUUAAAAAAUUAAACUAUUUAUUCCUACAUAAUAGUUGUUCGAUGGAACCACAAAGAGUACAUCAUCUAUAAAAUUUUUAUCAUGGUUUGUCUCAACAAUCUCCGUACCUAAUUUUCUUAGAAUAUACUUUAUAAGAGUAGGACAACAACUCGAGUGGGUUGGGUUGAGUUCAUGGCUAAUCCCACAUCAACCUAUUUCAAUGGGAGAUUGAUUCAACACAUUUGAAUAUAGUAACAUUGGGAAACAUCUUCAUUGUUUCAGUGCUUCAACAAAGGUUUGGAAAUUCUUGUAAGAAGAUCCACCUUCAAUCACACUUUUUCUAGCCAUUUCCUUCAACUUCUCUGCAUUUGCUUUUAUACCAUCAUCAGAAACCAACAUUUCGAUCUUCUUCUUAAUCUCAUGCCUUGAUAUGAAUCCAUUUUCAUCUGGGUUCAACCCCAAGCCCACCUUCCAUUUGUCGCAUAUGUAACUCUGGUUAUGGAAUUGAUCUGCAAAGUAAGGCCAGCAUAGGAAGGGGACUCCCAUGCCUAUGCCGUCCAUGGUUGAGUUCCAUCCACAAUGGGAUAAGAAACAUGCAACAGAAGGGUGAGCUAACACCUUUUCUUGGGGUGCCCAUGAAACAAUCUUUCCAUGCUCAGCUACUCUCUCUAUGAAACCAUCUGGGUAUUCAGCAGCUGAUCCAUUGGUGAAGUCUGAUCGGACAACCCAUAAAAAUGGCCGGCCUACAAGUUCAAUACCCAGUGCUAGUUCAUUGAAUUGGUUCUGGCUUAAGAUUGCUACGCUUCCAAAGGCAACAUAAAUGACUGAGCCAGCAGGUUGCUUAUCGAGCCAGCUUAUGCAAGUUGAAUCCUCAGGCCAAAAGUUUCCAGUAUAAUGACCCAGAUGAUUACUUGCAAGUAACGGGCCUAUUGGUAAUAUGUUGGGAAUCAAGUCACAAGCAGAUGAAUCAAGUUCGUAAACAGAGUUGCAAAGAAGCCAAUUGGAAAGAUUCAUAGCUGAGAUGUCUUUGAAAGCAAAUUGGAAAAUGACCUUUUGUAAGUUUGGAUCACUUGGGCAGCUCCAGGGCAAUUUGUUGCUGCUAAAGGCUGGGAUAUCCUUUGCCAGGGAGAUCAACUCGUCGUUCAAAAGAGAUCCUGCAAAGAUAUUACAAUUAUUAAUUUCCAUCAAAACCAAGAAAAUACUUAGCUACUUCCCCCGAUUUUUAUUGAAUUUUCAGGGGCUAUUAGCUUUAGUCUCUAACUUGUUUUCAAUUACUAGAACCUUCAUGUUUCAACAAAUUUAAUUUUAGAAAUAUGAUAUGUGCAAGUUGAAGUGUUAAUACCAUCAAUACCAUUUACAUGUCCGGCCUCAAUAAGCCUUGGAAUGUGAAAUAACAAAGCCAAGCUUCCUGGUCCACAGGGGCAAAACGCAACGCUCUUGAUCCCCAUCUUCUCGGCAACCUCUAGCGCCCACCCAACUGUUGUAUCAGCAAUAACACAAGUGAUCUUCUCAUCAUCAUUCGAGUUGUUAACCUUCUCAAUCAACUCCUUCAAAUGACCCGGCAUGACUCUUAACAUACUGUCUGUCGACUUGAGUAAAUCUUUUCGAUCCUCCCCUGGACCCAGUCCAUCUGGGAUCGAGGCUAGCCCUAUCCGACUCUGAGCCUCAUCCUCAUCUGGCAGUGCAGCCACCAGUUUUUCAUGUAUGAAGUCUGAGUUAACAAAGGUGACCUUGAUCCCAUGAUCAGAAAUCUGGUACGCAAACUUCAUAAGGGGAGUAACAUGUCCUUGUGCUGGGCAUGGAAUAAUCAGCACAUGAGGUCGGCCCAUGGUUGCUGCCAGCACUUCUGCUUCCUCUGAUCCCAAGUUUCAGGAUUAAUACUGCUUCUCUUUAUUAGCCUGAGCCCUCUAUUGUGUGAAUCGUAUACCUAUUUGCUAAAAUUUUAGCUGCAGCCCAUCUCCCAUUUAUGAAUUUCAUUCAUUAUCUGAAAGAUAUGGUGUUGUUGCUUUUAUCUCCUAUCUAUUCUGUCUUUAUCAAGUGUCUUGUGUAAUGGCCCAAACCCAAGGGUAAAAUCAUAAUUUAGAAAUUAUUAAUUAAUUAAAGUAAUUUAAUAAGGGUAAAAAGGUAUUUUCGUAUUAAAAACCCCUAUAUAUAAAUUAUAUCUUUCCUAUAUUCUCAAUUUAGAAAACUCUCUUACACAGAGAUCAAAAAGAUCAGAGAGCAUAGGGUUGAAGGUUUGAAAGUUUAGGGUUUGAAGAUCAAUUUUUAGGUACUUUCAAUUCGGGUGAAGAGUGAUGGCUAGGCUUGAGAAUUUUUCUUAGGAUUUUGGUUCAAAUUUUAUUUUGGACAUUGUUUAGAUGUCAAAAUUUAUUUUUUCGUUUAAAUUAUUUAAAUUUGGAGUUAUUUGGACAAUAACACUUUGAUUGAUGUGUUAAUUUUUUAAAAGUUGAUACUUGGAGAUUUUAGAAUUUUGUCCUAUUACUCUAAAUAAGAAUUUGGUAAUUGGUAAAUUUUCAAUUACAAUACGAAAGUUUGUGUCGUUUUCACUUUGAGCCUUUGGGUUUGAGGUGUGAAAUGACUGUCAUGCCUUUCGAGUGGGUUUUGGGGCGUGACAUCUUGUGUGUCUCUCCCGUUACUUUGGUGUAAUUUUAAAGCUAUAUAGCCUAUAUUGCACUGAUAAACUUUUGGUUUCUACAUUACACACUCCAUAUAUGCAUUAAACUUUUUGUUAGUGCAGCCAUUGGAUUGUAGUCAUUUUUUCUACUUGGUUUUUCCACCAAGUUAUUGAUACCCUAUGGAUUUAUUCUCAAGUGCUUCAAGGUAUAUUAUCUGAAGUUACCAUUGGUUGUUUGCUUUGUCUUUUAUCUAGAACCUCAUAUGUAGCUAGCCUCUUUUUGUUGUUGCAUGAUUGGUUUGAGCUCUUCCUUCUUAUCCCAUGUGUUUGUUGACCAAGCUUGUAUUGAUGUUGAACCUGAUUGAUGCUACUAGCAAGGGAAAUGAAAUUGAAAUAUAUAUUCUUUCUCAAUGUUUUAAAUAAAAAUUAUGUUUCAUUCAAAUAUUUCAAUUUAAAAAAUCAAAAUUUUCUUGUCUUAAACAAUAUUCAUUAUCAAAAUAUUUAAAAUUUUGUUAUAUUAUAUUAUUUAAUAUAUGAAAAUAAUUUAUAUAUAUAUGUGUGUGUCCUAUAUGUUAACUUAGGAUUUAACAUAUUCUAUAUGGAAGAUAUAUAAAAAAGAGAUCAAACAAUAUAUCACAAUACUUAUCCUAUAUCAUAUUUGGUUGAACAUAAGAAAAGAUAAAUUAUAAAAUAACUUAUCCUAUCCUAUUACUAAUUAAAUAUGGGAUAAGAUAUAUUAUCUUAUUUUUUAUCUUAUCUCAUACUAUAUCUAAUUAAUUAAAUAUAGUCCAAAUAUAAAUUGUUUUGUGGGUGAUUCUAAUCAUCUUGAUCAUAAAAACUACCAAAAAGGUCGUGACAAAAAGAAAGAAGAUUCAUAGGCUUAUCCAAUAACAAGUAUUAAUAUUCAUUUUCAUAGAGACGUGUUCAAAUCAUCUAAGGCCAAAUUAGAGAUAAAUAAAUAUUGUAAAUUUUGUCAUAAUUAAUUGAAUACAUUUUUUUUUCUAUAAUAAUAAAAUGAGUUCAUUGAAUAGAGAAACAAAAACAAACAUGUUUCCAAUGAACCUAUGCUCAAAUCUUUCCAAAAUUUAAAAUAUAGAAUAUAUUAAAAUGCUAUGGUCUCUUCUCUGCACUCCACUACAUGAUAUAUUUUCAUUUAUUUAUUUAUUUGGAUAAACUUGCUUGAUCCAACUCAUUUACAUCUUUGAUUCAAAUGUGGGAGUCGGUCAGGGCCCCGGAGGGGCACAUGCCCCCCUUAAAAAAAUAAAAUCAUAAUAAUUUAAGCCAUUGACUUACUAUUUGAGGAGAAAACAUGCUUUUCAAUGCACUAUAUAUCAUAAUUUUUUAUAAUAUGAACAAUAUAAAAAAAUAAAAGAUUGUGAUGUAUUCAAGUAUUGAAAUACCACUAGAAACCAAGGUUUAAAUUUGAGUUUUGGACUUUGAAAUUUAUGAAAAUGGGGUCAAGCAGAAGAAAGAUUUUUGGUAGCCAACCAAGGCAGAAUCAGUUUCUUUGGCUGCUUCAUCUUUCAUUUAUUUCCUUUUCCCAUUAAAUUAUUAUUAAUUAUCUAACAACUUAUGUUGAAUAAUGAAGGGCUGCCCCCACUCUUAAUUACAAUACAAAAUUGGUAGUUGUUUUUAAAUAUUUAGCAUAUAUCACUCUCAAAUGCUUCUACAUAAUAAUAUCACCUUAAUAAUAUCACUCUCAAAUGCUUCUACAUAAUUCCCAAAUACUUUAGCAUAUAUUCUAGCUAGGGAAGUGAUCUCUAGUUUUUUUUUUGUCCUUUAUGGAAGGUCUUAUGCAGCCAACCUCGUUUUCUAGUUGUAUGGCUUUUAGUUCUUGGUUCUUUUCCCAUGUAUUGGUCUUUUUCUCAAUCUUAUAUGCCUUCAAACGAUCCCAUUUUCCUCUGGGUUCAGCCCUAAACCCACCUUUAUACAUCACAGAUACGGAAGUGGACGCCAAGGUAAGGACAAACCUUCACCAUUCGGUUCCAAGCAGAGUGGAUUAAGAAACCAGCAAGGACAAACCCUUGGCUUUGAUUCACUCAGCCGGUGGCAGAGCCAAUAAUUUUUCUUAGAACAAGCAUUACAAUAACCCUGGAUGAAUUUUAGAAAUUGCUGAAAAUGAGUAACUUUAGACUUUAGUCAUGAAUAAAUAUAACAUAUCAAAUUAAAAAUUAAAAAUAGAUUUUAUUAACUUACUAGUUAAAAAUUGAAAUUUAAAAAGAAAAUCUUCAAAAAAGUUAAAAAAUGGGAAGAAAAUAAGAAAUCUUACUAGUUAUUUCUCAAUAAUUUUAAUAAUCUCUUCCUAGUAAAAAGGAUCUUUAAAAAAUUUAUUUUUUUUCCAAAUAGCUACAUACAAAUGAGUUGGAAGUAAUAAAAUAUUUUAUUAAUAAUUUCCUAUGAUAUAGUAAUUAUCGUUAAAAUUCCAAGUAAAAUAUAAAUAGUUAGUUAGAGUUUGAUAUUUAUUAUUAUGUAUUAAGGUACCCUAUUCUAACAAAAUUCUAGAGCACCCAAGAGGUAUUGUUUGGAAGAUUUACUAGUAAUCAUUGGAUUUUUUAUUUCAAUCUUCAUAAAGUAAUAGCAAGAACCAAAACUAAUUAAAAGAACUUGAUUAUAAGGUUUUGGUUAACAAUUUUUUUUCCAAAUAUUAUGAGGUCUACGCUAUAUAUUUUUUGAGAUUUACAUUGACCUUUGAAGAUUUGAGAUUAUCAUGAAAUCACAUUUAAAACCAUUCAAGUACAAUUGAAUUUGUUUGGGUGAAUAAUAACAUUAGAGGAUGUACUUCGAGUUUAUUGUAUGAUGAAACUCUUUUGAGCGGAAAAAAAAAACCAAUUUUGCACAUGAGUGCAUGCUUGAGACUAUUUCUGUAUAUAUUUGUCAUUUUUUAUUUGUGUUAUUGGUUGAGCUUACCAAGGUUUUCAAAGUAUAAAUAUACCUUAUUUUGUCAAAUAUUUUAAAUACAUACCAGAACAAUAUUAUCAUUAUUUCCUACACAUUUCCAUCACUUUCAAGAAUAUCAUUCUUGACACAAAUUUGUGCAUGGUGGUUAAUUAUACAUCCUAUCAAGGCAUUGAGGAGUUUACAAAAGAACAUAAUGUGUUGUAUAUAUAGAGGUGAAGACAUAUGUAAGUGCCAGCCCCUGACCUAGGAAAAUAGAAUGUUUGUUUCAUAUAAAUUUAUGUAUUUGCUCUUUCGUAUUUAAUGAAUUUACUUUGUUAGUGUCAAAUUGGGUCUGUGUUUGAUAUUUGUCGAGUUUUUAGUAGAAUGUAUGAGUGAUAUAUUUAUAGAGCUUAUAGUAAACUCUAUGGGUGAUUUUCUAUGUCUAAUACAUAUCUUUUGUGCGAUUGGAAAUCAUGCAUGUUAAUAUCAAAAUAUCUCAUAUUAAUUCAAGAAAUAUUUUUUGUGAAAAAAUUGAACUUUAAAACAUAAAAUCAUUAUUACAUAUUCACCCUCCAUAAAUAUCGGGAAUCAAGAUUCAUACUUUCAAUGGGUAUCAAAGCAUAUUGAAUUUAAAAAAUUAAAAUCUUUUAUUCCUACACAAUCUUGAUUCACGGAACCACAAGGACCAGAUCAUCAAUGAAAUUUUAUCAUUGCUUUAGUACUCGACAAUUUCUGUGGGUAGGAAUACAACUUGAGUAGGUUGGGUUGGGUUGGGUUGAUGGCGAUUUAACACAUUUGGGUUGGGUAGGAAAAUGUCUUCAUUGUUUCAGUGCUUCAACAAAGGUUUGGAAAUUCUUGUAAGAAGAUCCACCUUCAAUCACACUUUUUCUAGCCAUUUCCUUCAACUUCUCUGCAUUUGCUUUUAUACCAUCAUCAGAAACCAACUUUUCGAUCUUCUUCUUAAUCUCAUGCCUUGAUAUGAAUCCAUUUUCAUCUGGGUUCAACCCCAAGCCCACCUUCCAUUUGUCGCAUAUGUAACUCUGAUUAUGGAAUUGAUCUGCAAAGUAGGGCCAGCAUAGGAAGGGGACUCCCAUGCCUAUGGCGUCCAUGGUUGAGUUCCAUCCACAAUGGGAUAAGAAACAGGCAACAGAAGGGUGAGCUAACACCUUUUCUUGGGGUGCCCAUGAAACAAUCUUUCCAUUCUCAGCAACUCUCUCUAUGAAAUCAGGGUAUUCAGCAACUGAUCCAUCGGCGAAGUCUGAUCGGACAACCCAUAAAAAUGGCCGGCCUACAAGUUCGAGACCAAGUGCUAGUUCAUUGAAUUGGCGCUGGUUGAAGAUUGCUAAGCUGCCAAAGGCAACAUAAAUGACUGAGCCAGCAGGUUGUUUAUCGAGCCAGCCUAUGCAGGUCGAAUCCUCAUGCCAAAAGUUUCCAGCAUAAUGACCCAGAUGAUGACUUGCAAGCAAUGGACCUAUUGAUAAUAUGUUAGGAAUCAACUCACAGGCAGAUGAGUCAAGUUCGUAAACAGAGUUGCUAAGAAGCCAAUUGGAAAGAUUCAUAACUUGGAUGGCUUUGAAAGCAAGUCGGAAACAGAUCUCUUGUAAAGUUGGAUCAGUUGGGCAGCUCCAGGGCAAUCUGUUGCUGAUAAAGGCUGGGAUAUCCUUUGCCAGGCAGAUAAACUCGUGGUUCAGAAGAGAUCCUGCAAAGAUGUUUCAAUUUUAAUUGAAUUUUCAGGGGCUAUUAGCUUUAGUCUCUUAACUUGUUUUCAAUUACUAGAAAUCUUCAUGUUUCAUCAAUUUGGUAUAAGCAACAGAUUUAAUUUUAGAAAUAUGAUAUGUGCAAGUUUAAGUGUUAAUACCAUCAGUAGUAUUUAGAAGUCCGGCCUCAAUAAGCCUUGGAAUGUGAAAUGCCAAAGCCAAGCUUCCUGGUCCAAAGGGGCAAAACGCGACCCUCUUGAUCCCCAUCUUGUCGGCAACCUCUAGCGCCCACCCAAAUGCUGAAUCAGCAAUAACACAAGUGAUCUUCUCAUCAUCAUUCGAGUUGUUAACCUUCUCAAUCAACUCCUUCAAAUGACCCGGCAUGACUCUUAAAAUACUGUCUGUCAGCUUGAGUGAAUCUUUUCGAUCCUCCCCUGGACCCAGUCCAUCUGGGAUCGAGGCUAGCCCUAUCCGACUCCGAGCCUCAUCCUCAUCUGGCAGUGCAGCCACCAGUUUUUCAUGUAUGAAGUCUGAGUUAACAAAGGUGACCUUGAUCCCGUGAUCAGAAAUCUGGUACGCAAACUUCAUAAAGGGAGUAACAUGUCCUUGUGCUGGGAAUGGAAUAAUCAGCACAUGAGGUCGGCCCAUGGUUGCUGCCAGCACUUCUGCUUCCUCUGAUCCCAAGUUUCAGGAUUAAUACUGCUUCUCUUUAUUAGCCUGAGCCCUCUAUUGUGUGAAUCGUAUACCUAUUUGCUAAAAUUUUAGCUGCAGCCCAUCUCCUAUUUAUGAGUUCCAUACGUCAUCUGAAAGAUAUGGUGUUGUGGCUCAAGUUCUUUGUCACUUUGGUUUUAUCUUCUAUCUAUUUUGUCUUGAUGAAGCAUCUUGUGUGGCUCUCCCGUCACUUUGGUGUAGCUUUGAACCUAUAUUGCACUGAUAAACUUUUGGUUUCUGCAUUACAAACUCCAUAUAUGCAAUAAACUUUUUGUUGGUGCAGUCAUUGGAUUGUAGCCAUUUUUCCUACUUGGUUUUUCCACCAAGUUGCUGAUACCCUAUGGAUUUAUUCUCAAGAGCUGCAAGGUAUAUUACGAGGAAGUUAUCAUCGGUUGUUUACUUUGUCUUUAACCUACAACCUCUUAUGUAUCUAGCCUCAUUUUGUUGUUGCAUGAAUGGUUUGAGCUCUUUGUUCAUAUCCCAUGCAUGUAUUUGUUAAACAAGCUUGUAUUGAUGUUGAGCCUGAUUGAUGCUAGAUUUGGACAAUGAAGGGAAAUGAAAAUUUGGACAUGCAAUGGCUAGAUUUCACCUUAAUAGUAUUCAAUUAAUGCUUCUAUAUAAACAGUACUCCAAAUGCUUUAGCAUAUAUUCUUGGGAAGUCAUCUCUAGUUUACUUUGUUCUUUAUGUAGGGCCUUAUGCAGCUAGUCUCUUUUUCUAGUUGCAUAUAUGGUUUUGAGCUCUUGGUUCCUUUCCCUUGUAUUGAUUUUUUUUUCUCUAUCUUAUACCUUCGAAUGAUCCCGUUUUCCUCUUAGUUCAGCCCUGCAUGCACCCACCUUUGUAAAUCACAGAUAUGGAAGUGGUCGCCAAAGUAAGGACAGACCUUCAUCAUUGAGUUUCCAAGCAGAGUGGAUUAAGAAACCAGCAAGGACAAACCCUUGGCAUUGAUUCACUCAGCCGGUGGCAGAGACAAGAAUUUUUCUAACUAGAACAGAAGCAUUACAAUAACCCUGGAUGAAUUUUAGAAAUUGGUGAAAACGAGUAAUUUUAGACUUUAGUUAUCAAUAAAUAUAAUAUAUCAAAUUAAAAAUUGAUUUUAGGAUCUUACCAAUUAAAAAUUGAAACUAAAAAGGAAAUUUUUCAAAAAAGUUAAAAAAUGGUAAUAAGAUACAAAAUGUUAUUAUUUUUUUUUCUCAAUAAUUUAAUAAUCUCUUUUAAGAAAAUUAUUUUUUACCCCAAAUGACUACAUAUAAAUGAGUUGGAAGUAAUGAGAUAUUUUAUUAAUAAUUUCUUAUGAUAUAGUAACUAUCAUUAAAAUUUCAAGUAAAAUAUAAAUAGCUAGUUAGAGUUUGAUUGUUAUUAUCUAUUAAGGUACCCUAUUCUAGCAAAAUUCUCUAGCACCGAAGAGGUAUUGUUUAGAAGAUUUACUAGUAAUCAUUGGAUUUGUGAAUUCAAAAUCUAUCAAGCAAUAGGAAGACACAGAACUAACUAAAAGAACUUGACUACAAAGUUGUAGUUGACAAUUAUUUUUUCCCCAAAUAUUAUGAGAUCUCUAAGUAUUUUUUUGAGAUUUACAUUGGCCUUUGAAAAAAUGAAAUUAUCAUGAAAUCAUAUUUAAGACCAUUCAAGUAAGUAUGAUUGAGCUUGUUGGGGUGAAUAAUAAUAUUAAAUGAUGUACUUUGAGUUUAUUGUAUGAUGAAACUCUUUUGAGCGGAAGAAACCAAUUUUGCACAAGUGUUUGAAAUUAUUUUUUAUUUUUAUUUUUGUCAUUUUUCAUUUGUGUGUUAUUGGUUGAGCUUGCUAGGGUUUUCUAAGUAUAAAUAUACCUUAUUUUGUCAAAUGUUUUAAAUACAUAUUAGAACAAUCAUUAUUUCCUAUGCAUUUCCAUUUUUUUUUUGAUAAGUAAAAGAAGUAUAUUAAACGAAAAGAGGAAACACAAAAAAUCGGUGCCCUCUAAGUAUACAGGGAGUAUACACACCACCUUUCCUAACUAGGAGCCUAUCCAGUCUAUAAAACUUACAAGAGAAGAAUGACUCUCUGCUAGGGAACCCCUGACCCAAUACCAAAGAUUACAUACAAAAGAAUAUUUCAACCUCUGAAGCGAAAGGUCCUCAUCCCCAAACGCUAACCUAUUUCUCUCCUUCCAAACUGUCCAAAAAAUACAUAACGGCGCCAUUUGCCAAGCCUUCUUGCGUCUUUUUCCCACAAACCCUCCAUUCCACUCAAGAAGGGUUGCCUUCACUGAACACGAGAGAGUCCAAGAUAUACCAAAAAGAGAGAAAAGAAGGUUCCAUAGGACCCGUGUCUUGAUACAAUGCAGUAGGAGGUGAUCCACUGUUUCUUCUUCAGAUAAACAGAGGAAGCACCUAUUUGCCAAAGAGAACCCCCUCCUUUGAAGUUGCUCCUGAGUUAAAACUUUGCCCCAAGAAGCCUCCCAAGCAAAGAAAGCUACCUUGGGAGGCACUCUUGCCCUCCAAAUUCUAUCACUAGGAAACAAAGAAAGACCCCCCGGUUCCAUCAUAGAAUAAAGGGAUCUAACUGAGAAGACCCCAUCCUUUGAAGCUGUCCAUAUCACUCUAUCUUCCUCCUCCCUUUGAACCCUGAAAGCUUGGAUCUUCUGCAACAACCGUUCCAACAAAAUAAUCUCCCAAUCGUUAAACGCCCUUGCAAAGAGAGGAGUCCAGCCAAUCCCAUCACCAACCGGAUUCCACACAUCCGAAACCCAAGCAUUCUUUGACAUGGAUAUGGAAAAAAGAGAAGGGAAAGACUCACAAAGAGGCCCAUCUCCACACCACUUGUCUUUCCAAAAUUUCACUCUUUGCCCAUUACCCAAAUGAAAGGCUACCCUGCCGUCAAAAAGCCCCCACUUCUUCCUAAUUGCUUUCCAAAGCCCAACUCCAUUUCUUCCCAACACAUCCCGAGUACUCCACCCCCUUCCUCUACGCCAUACUUUAGACUAAUUACACUCCUCCACAAUGCAUCUCUCUCAUUAGCAAACCUGCAAUUCCACUUACACAAUAGGGCGUUAUUCAUCAAAGAUAAAUUUCUCACCCCUAGACCACCUUUUCUUUUCUCCAAACAUAUCAAGUUCCAUCUUACAAGGUGAGGUUUAUAGGCUAAAGUUCCCCCACCCCACAGAAAAUCCCUCUAAAUUUUCUCCAGUCUCAUCCUUACUUUUCUAGGCAAGUGAAAUAGAGACAUCAAAUAAAUAGGCAUGCUGGACAUAGUGCUUCUGAUUAGGGUGAGUCUACCCCCUUUAGAUAUGUACUGCUCUUCCACAUAGCAAGCCUUCUACGAAAACGCUCUUCAACCCCAUUCCACACCGCCAAAGAAUUGAAAGCUGCCCCAAGGGGCAUUCCCAAAUAACUAGAGGGAAAACCUCCCACUUUACACCCCAACUCCAAAGCCAAACCCUCUAUAUUCAGCACCCUUCCAACCGGGAUUAUCUCACUCUUCUCUAAAUUAAUCCUCAACCCCGAACAGGCCUCAAACCACAUGAGGAGCCAACUUAGAUAUGUCAUCUCGUCUGGAGAGUCCUCACAAAAGACUAACGUAUCAUCCGCAAACAACAAAUGCGAUAUAUGCAUCCCCUCACCCCUCCCACCACUCACUUUCCACCCAGCUAAGUAACCCCCACUAAUCGCCCUUCUCAUCAUACUACUAAAAACCUCCAUGGCAAUCACAAACAAAUAAGGGGAAAGGGGAUCUCCUUGUCUUAGCCCCCUCGUGCUUUGGAAAAAACCGGAUGGAGACCCAUUGACUAACAAGGAAAAUUUCACUGUGGAAAUGCACCAAUCAAUCCACUUUAUCCAUCUCUCUCCAAACCCCAUCUCUUUAAGAACGGCCAACAAAAAACUCCAGCUAACAUGGUCAUAAGCCUUCUCUAUAUCCAACUUGCAUAACACCCCUCCCACAUUGUCUUUCAACCUUGAGUCCACAGCCUCGUUUGCAAUCAGCACUGCAUCCAAAAUCUGUCUACCCUCCACAAAGGCAUUUUGAGACUCUGAAAUCACUUUCCCCAUAACCUUUUUAAUUCUGUUGGCCAACACCUUGGCCAGCAACUUGUAGAGGCUACCUACAAGGUUGAUGGGCCUGAAGUCUUUCAAGUCUUCAGCUCCUCCCCUCUUUGGGACUAGUACAAGGAAAGUUGCAUUAAGAGAUUUUACAAAUCUACCCCUCUCAUGAAAUUCCUUGAAGAAUCCCAUUAUUUCAGCCUUUACUAAAUCCCAACUGAACGACCAGAAGGCCAUGGUGAAGCCAUCCGGGCCGGGGGCCUUAUCCUUGCCUAGAUCUGAAAGUGCCACGAACACCUCCCCUUCCGAAAAGGGAAUUUCCAGCCCCUCAGCCUCACAGUUGUUUAAUCUCAAGAAGGGCAACCCCUCAAUACCAGGACGCCAUCCUCCUUCUUCAGAGUACAGAUUAUUAAAAGCACCCACCACACUAUUUUUUAAUUCUAACUCCUCCGUAUGCCAACAAUCAUCCACUUUCAGCCUUGACAACCAGUUUCUUCUACUAUGCGCGUUCGCCAUCCUAUGAAAAAAUUUGGUAUUAUUGUCCCCCUCCUUCAACCACAAUUCCCUUGAUCUCUGUCUCCAAGAAAUUUCUUCCCUCAGCACCCAUGUCUUAUAAGCCUCCUGAGCCUCCUUCCUUGCUUCACAAUCCUCCAGACUCAGAGUUGAAUGAUUCUCCACUGUAUCCCAGUACACCACCUGGCUGAGAGCUUCUCUCUUCUUAGUCUCAAUUACCCCAAAAACUUCUUUGUUCCAAGUCUUUAAUAGCCCUUUUAAGGCUUUUAAUUUUGCAUCCAGGACAAAACUAAGAGACCCAGUAAAAGAUAAACUGCCCCACCAGCUCUUCAACUGAUCCAUGAAUCCCCUUUCCUCCAACCACAUAUUCUCAAAUCUGAAUGGUGACGGGCCCCUCUUCAAACCUCCAUCCUCAAGAAGAAUAGGAGAAUGAUCAGAGACUGGUCUAGCAAGAAUCCCCUGCAUGGCUCCAUUGAACAUUCUGUCCCACUCAUCCGUAACCAAGAACCUGUCAAGCCUAGAUUGAGACUGGUUGUUUAACCCCCCUCGCCAAGUAAAGAGACCCCCCUGUAAGGGGUAGUCCCUUAGCUCCAAAUCCUCUACCACUUCAGUAAAUCUUUUCAUUGAAGCAGAUAACUCACCUCCCCUGCUACGCUCUUCCGGGUAUCUAAUCAUAUUAAAGUCUCCCCCCACACACCAAGGGUCUCUCCAUAACCCUUUUAUUGAUCCAAGCUCCUCCCAAAAAACCUCUCUAUCCCUUCUACACACCGGCCCAUAAACACCAGUGAAGACCCACCUCAUCCCAUCCAUACAAUUCUUGAACAGACAUGACACUGAAAAAAUCCCUUCUUCCACCUCCAACAAAUCAACCACUCUGUUGUCCCAAAACACCAGAACACCUCCAGCUGCCCCCUUAGAGUUAAUUGCUCUCCAGUCAAUAUGUCUUCCCACCCCAAGGCUACGAACAAUCCCCGUACUCAUGUCCUUGAUUUUUGUCUCCUGCAAACACACCACGUCCACCUUGUUGGAUUUUAUUACAGACUUAAUGAUUUUCCUCUUCUCAUUAUCAUUUGCCCCUCUAACAUUCCAAGAUAAGAUCUUUAUCUUCAUUUAAUCCCUGAUCCUGAAUCCCCUCCAAAUUUGCCUUCAUUGGAAGCCAGCUUGGCUCUUUUAUAGCUUACUGUCCAUUCCAGCUUCUUUAAUUCCCUAAUGGAUUUUGUGACAGAAGACUUUGUCUUUUUAUUCUCCCUACCCUGAUUUUUCUUUUCAAUUCUCCCCUUCAUUCUUCUCAACAGGUAUAGAAUCUCCUCCUCAAACCCAACUGUCGGCAUGCCCAAGCAGUGACUGAAUUUCGCAAGGCAGCUGGAGCUCCAUACUUCCUCUUCGUCCCCCACUUCCACCUGAAGGGCCAUCGUCUCCACUAAUGGGCUUUCUAAAACCCCUCCAAAAGGAACAAUGGCUAAAUCAGUCCCAUUUGCCUCAUCACCCGACGCUCGCGGAGACAUGUUUCCAUCUUCGUGAACCGAGAGGUCCCUGUUCCUUUCUUCUUCCACGGCCCCAAACAAACCACUGAUCACUCCCACUUUCCCCACCGCAGCGCCAUCCGACCCUAAGAAAGGAGAAGAAGGAGAAAAAGCCCCACACCCCAAAGAGAAAUUAGGGGAUUUUAGUUUACGGGGGUACCUGGAAGCCUCGUUCAACAGCGCGUCGUCAGCGGGCUUCCGAUGGCCGAGGGAAGGCUCCAUGCCGCCGACGCAACUCGCGACCAACAUCUCCUGCUCCAGCUCCGUAAGGAUCCCGACAGACUCGGGGUGAGCCCUAUAAGGGACGGGCUCCCUUAAAAGGUCCAAAUGGGCCUCAGGAUUAAAAAGCCCAGAAAGCUCCUCAAUCCCCUUAGUCCAACCCGUCAAUUUGGGGCAGAGAGGGGGCGGGCCUUCGGCCCAACCCAUACCUUCCUUAGAAAACAGCCCUCCAUCCCCUUUUAAAAAAGCCCCACUGCCAGUCUUGGGCCCAGGCCCACUCCCUGAGCAGCCCACUGCAGAGUCAACAAACUCCCUGCCCCAUUCUUUGCCAUCCAUCCUGCUUGUUCUGCCACACGCCACCUUCACUUCAGUCUCCCUUUUUUGAAAAUCUGCUUUGGGCUCCCGUACUCUAGAUUCAGCGCGUGAGGCUCCCCCACCUUCAUCCCUAACCUCCCACUCACUUCUUCUCUGCAUCCGCAAGCAUGACCCAUCCUGCAACACCCUCGGAAUGGCUUCCCACCACAAGCAAAGUUCCCACCUAGUGUUACCAGCCUCCACCUCCAUUGUUCCAGGCCUUUUCAUUCCCGAAUUUUUAACCAAAAUCCGAGCCCACUGCAGCUAAGAGAAGAGGGUCGUGUCCUCAUCCACAGCUACAAACCCUCCACAGCAGUCUCCAAUGCUCUUGAAGACCUCCCUACUCCACAGAUGAAGAGGAAGGCCUACAACUCUUACCCACACUUCCUGGCUCUCUUUCCAAGUGCACCCCACUACCGGUCCCCACCUUUGCAAUAGAAACUCUCUGUCCUUAAUACGUCUGCUCCCUCUAAGAAGCACCAUAUCAGCUUCCCAUUUGUUUUGAAACACAAACAACACCAGGGCCCCACCCAACCUGAAUAUUCUUAUCUCCCCUUUCAGUAACCAAACCUCAUACGCCCAUCUCUUCAAAGAAGGCAAUGACGGGAUAGACUCAGAACUACCACCGAAACAACCCACCAGGCAAUGCCCAAGCUGUUCCUCCCUAUACAUUAUUGCCUUUUCCCCUAGGUUCACCCUCAUAGACUCCACUGGCAUACCUUUCUUCCCUUUAACUACUUCUGCAUACGAACCUGACCCUUUCUCUGAGGUAUUGGCAUUGCUCUCCUCCUUACCCAUGGACGGCACACUCUGGAAGCUAAUCCUCCCUUCUGUGGAAGAGACCCCAAGAGCCCUCAAAUUCUUAGCCAGCAAGAACCAUCCCCCUACUAAGCCACUUCCCUCAGGAAAAACUAGACAGAACUUUUUCCUUUUCGCAUCUCUGACCGAGCAGAGCAAAAAUCUCCCAGCCGCAUUAGAACGACAUUCUAGACUGAAUUUUCUUGCUCCUUCAUCCCAAACUUUUAAAAGCUUCGAGGUAGACUCUCCUCUGCACCAAGCUUCCACACCUUCCAACAGAAGGCUUAAGCCUUUUUCUCCAAAUCUUAUCCAGGAGGAGAGACCUUUGCUCCUUUCCCAGAUGGUUCCUCUUAGCCUUCCUCUGAUCUCUUCAAUGGAUAUUUUGAAAGACUUGGAUUCAACGGCAAACCAACUCUUACCUCCCUUCGGAAACCCAUGGGAGUCCCUCACUCCCAUGCUGAUGAAUUUUCUCUCACACUCAUAAAGAAAAGGGCAAAACACAACAAGACGAAAAACCCUAGGCUUCUUCCAUCACUCUCAAGAACCUCAUUGUUGACAUAAAUUUGUUUAUGGUGGUUAAUUACAUCCCAUCAAGGUAUUGAGAAGUUUACGAAGGAGUGUAAUGUGUUGUGCAUGGAUGUGAAGACAUGUGAAAGUGUCAACUGUGUCAGACACAGACCUAGGAAAACAGAACUUCUGUUUCAUGUAAACUUAUGGUUUUAUAUUUGUAGAGUUUUUAGUAGAAUUUAUGGGUGAUAUAUUUGUAGAGCUUUUGGUAAACUCUGUCGGUGAUUUUCUAUGUCUAAUACAUGUCUUUUGUGUGGUUAGAAUUCAUGUUAAUAUCUAAAUAUUUCAUAUUAAUCGAAGAAAAUAUUAUUUGUGAAAAAUUGAACUUUAAGACGUAAAAUAAUUAUUACCUUUUCACCCUUCAUAAAUUUCAGGAAUCAAGAUUCAUACUUUCAAUUGGUAUCAAAGCAUAUUGAAUCUAAAAAAUUAAAAUCUUUAAUCCCUACAUAACAUAGAUUCAUGGAACCACAAUGAGCAGAUCAUCUAUGAAAUUUUUAUCAUAGCUGUUGAAGGCUGCGUUACCAAGACCACUUCAAUUUCCUGAUGUACUCGCCUCUUCAACUGAAGAUGAUGCUUCCUUCUUUUGACCUACAAAAGAUGUUCGGACAGGAGGUCCGGACACACCCUCCGAUACUUUUAUUAGUUUUGCUCUCUAGCAUAUUGAUAUUUUUUAUGGGGCCCUUCUCCUUAGGAAUCCCUUCCCUUCUUUGACUGUGUGGGGGCCUUUUAUAGUGCUAGGAGUUUUGUCUCUUUAAAUGGUGGGAAGACUUUUUGGCUGUCAUGAUGGUGCUUAGAGGGUGACAGAGCCAUCAUUAUCCUGCAGGCGGCUGUCAGAGAUUGCUGGAUGGAUGAGUUGCCGUCAUCCUUGUCUUUUCACUCUGUAGGCGGCGCAGGGUAGGUCGUGGCAGGUCGCCUGAAGUGACCCAGGAAGGUCAUGUUGAGCAUGCUUUUGGUAAAAUGAGUAAUGAUUGCCCGCAAGACACAGUCAAGAAUCUUGUUUGAGACGUUAGCCACUGGGUUCGGAUUGGACAUCCGGACAGGGGGGUAUGCAUCGCAUGUCAGUCCACGUGAUAGUCCGGACAGAGGGUUGGAUGUGCCAUGUGUCAGUCCAUGUGAACAUCUGGACAGGGGGUUGGAGUGCCACGUGUCCAAUGGAGGAGUGCCUUGUGAGGCCACCACGUGUACGCUUAGGGGUGGUCCCUACAAUAGCUUGUCUCAAUAAUCUCAACACCUAAUUUUCAUGUUUCUUUAAUGAAGUCUAGAAUAUAAUUUCUGUCAGUAGGAAUACAGUUUGAGUAGGUUGGGUCGGGUUGAUGGCGAUUUAACACAUUUGGAUAUAGUAGCAACGGGAAACAUCUUCAUUGUUUCAUUACUUCAACAAAGGUUUGGAAAUUCUUGUAAGAAGAUCCACCUUCACUCACACUCUUUCUAGUCAUUUCCUUCAACUUCUCUGCAUUUGCUUUUAUAACAUCAUCAGAAACCAACAUUUCGAUCUUCUUCUUAAUCUCAUGCCUUGAUAUGAAUCCAUUUUCAUCUGGGUUCAACCCCAAGCCCACCUUCCACUUGUCGCAUAUGUAACUCUGGUUAUGGAAUUGAUCUACAACGUAGGGCCAGCAUAGGAAGGGGACUCCCAUGCCUAUGCCGUCCAUGGUUGAGUUCCAUCCACAAUGGGAUAAGAAACAUGCAACAGAAGGGUGAGCUAAAACUUUUUCUUGGGGUGCCCAUGAAACAAUCUUUCCAUUCUCAGCAACUCUCUCUAUGAAACCAUCAGGGUAUUCAGCAUCUGAUCCAUUGGUGAAGUCUGAUCGGACAACCCAUAAAAAUGGCCGGCCUACAAGUUCAAUACCCAGUGCUAGUUCAUUGAAUUGGUGCUGGCUUAAGAUCGCUAGGCUUCCAAAGGCAACAUAAAUGACUGAGCCAGCAGGUUGUUUAUCGAGCCAGCUUAUGCAAGUUGAAUCCUCAGGCCAAAAGUUUCCAGGAUAAUGACCCAGAUGGUUAUUUGCAAUUAACGGGCCUAUUGGUAAUAUGUUGGGAAUCAAGUCACAAGCAGAUGAGUCAAGUUCGUAAACGGAGUUGCAAAUAAGCCAAUUGGAAAGAUUAAUAGCUGAGAUGUCUUUGAAAGCAAGUCGGAAAAUGACCUCUUGUAAGGUUGGAUCACUCGGGCAGCUCCACGGCAAUCUGUUGCUGCUAAAGGCUGGUAUAUCCUUUGCCAGGCAGAUCAACUCGUCGUUCAAAAGAGAUCCUGCAAAGAUAUUACAAUUAUUAAUUUCCAUCAAAACCAAGAAAAUACUUAGCUACUUCCCCCGAUUUUUAUUGAAUUUUCAGGGGCUAUUAGCUUUAGUCUCUUAACUUGUUUUCAAUUACUAGAAAUCUUCAUGUUUCAUCAAUUAGGUAUAAACAACAGAUUUAACUUUAGAAAUAUGAUAUGUGCAAGUUUAAGUGUUAAUACCAUCAGUACUAUUUAGAAGUCCGGCCUCAAUAAGCCUUGGAAUGUGAAAUGCCAAAGCCAAGCUUCCUGGUCCAAAGGGGCAAAACGCGACCCUCUUGAUCCCCAUCUUGUCGGCAACCUCUAGCGCCCACCCAAAUGCUGAAUCAGCAAUAACACAAGUGAUCUUCUCAUCAUCAUUCGAGUUGUUAACCUUCUCCAUAAACUCCUUCAAAUGACCCGGCAUGACUCUAAAAAUACUGUCUGUCAACUUGAGCGAAUCUUUUCGAUCCUCCCCCGGACCCAGUCCAUCUGGGAUCGAGGCUAGCCCUAUCCGACUCCGAGCCUCAUCCUCAUCUGGCAGUGCAGCCACCAGUUUUUCAUGUAUGAAGUCUGAGUUAACAAAGGUGACCUUGAUCCCAUGAUCAGAAAUCUGGUACGCAAACUUCAUAAGGGGAGCAACAUGUCCUUGUGCUGGGAAUGGAAUAAUCAGCACAUGAGGUCGCCUGCCCAUGGUUGCUGCCAACACUUCCACACACUUCUGCUUCCUCUGAUCCCAAGUUUCAGGAUUAACACUGCUUCUCUUUAUUAGCCUAAGCCCUCUAUUGUGUGAAUCGUAAACCUAUUUGCUAAAUUUUAGCUGCAGCCCAUCUCCUACACAUGAAUUUCAUAUAUUAUCUGAAAGAUACGGUGUUGUGGCUCAAGUUCUUUGGCACUUUAAUUGGUUUUGUCUAGAUCCUACCUAUUUUGUCUUUAUGAAGUGUCUUGUGUGGCUCUCGGUUACUUUGGUUUAAUUUUAAAACCUAAAUUGCACUGAUAAACUUUUGGUUUCUGCAUUACACACUCCAUAUAUACAAUAAACAUUUUGUUGGUGCAGUCAUUGGAUUGUAGCCAUUUUUUCUACUUGGUUUUUCCACCAAGUUGCUGAUACCUCGCUGUGUAUUUUAUUCUCAAGUGCUUCAAGGUAUAUUACGAGGAAGUUAUCAUUGGUUGUUUGCUUUGUCUUCACCUACAACCCCUUAUGUAGCUAGCCUCCUUUUGUUGUUGCAUGAAUGGUUUGAGCUCUUUAUUCUCAUCCCAGCAUGUAUUUAUUAAACAAGCUUGUAUUUUUGUUGAGCCUGAUUGAAGCUAGAUUUGGACAAUGAAGGGAAAUGAAAUUUUGGACAAUGGCUAGAUUUCACCUUAGUAGCAUCACUCUCAAUUAAUUCUUCGAUAUAAACAUUACUCCAGAUGCUUUAGCAUUUAUUCUUGGGAAGUCAUCUCUAGUUUAUAACUUUGUCCUUUAUGUAGGGCUUUAUGCGGUCUCUUUCUCUAUGGUUUUGAGCUCGUGGUUCUUGUCCCUUGUAUUGAUUCUUUUUCUCUAUCUUAUACCUUCAGAUGAUUCCAUUUUCCUCGAGUUCAGCAGACGCUUUAGAAUAUAUUUUUGGGUAGUCAUCUCUAGUUUACUUUGUCCUUUGUGUAGGCCUUUAUGCAGCUAGUCUCUUUCUCUAGUUGUAUAUAUGGUUUUGAGCUCUUGGUUCUUUCCCCUUGUAUUGAUUCUCUUUCUCUAUCUUAUACCUUCAGAUGGUCCCAUUUUCCUCUGAAUCAGCAGAUGCUUUAGCAUAUAUUCUUGGGUAGUCAUCUCUAGUUUACUUUGUCCUUUAUGUAGGGCUUUAUGCUUGUCUCUUUCUCUAUGGUUUUGAGCUCUUGGUUCUUUUCCCUUGUAUUGAUUUUUUUUUUCUCUAUCUUAUACCUUCAGAUGAUCCAAUUUUCCUCUGAGUUCAGCCCUACACCCACCUUUGUAAAUCACAGAUAUGGAAGUGGUCGCCAAAGUAAGGACAAACCUUCAUAAUUGAGUUCCAAGCAGAGUGGAUUAAGAAACCAGCAAGGGCAAACCCUUGGCAUAGAGAGCUAUGGUUUAUUAAGCUACAAAUAAUCCUGGAUGAAUUUUAGAAAUUGCUGAAAGCUACAAAUAAUUUUUGAAUUUCUUUUAAUUUUUUUUUAAAAUUUUUUUAUUAAGCAAAAAAUUUCAAAUCAAACUAUACUUGAUACAUAAAAUUUAUUAAUUUUUAAAAUAAUUUGAAACUAAAAAAACCAAUUUAAUUGUUAGUUCUAGAAAGUCAUGGAGCUUAAUAAUAUUAAAGAGUCAUUGAGUAAAAUUUAUUUUGAAUGAAUUGGCUAAUUUAUUUUAUUUUUGCAUAUAAUCAUACUUUAUAAAUUUUGUUCAUUAAACAAAUAUACUCUAAGAGGGUGUUUGUUUUUUUGGCUUUUUGCUUAAAGCAAUUUGUUUUGAGAAUUUAGGUUAUUUGGUUUUCUAUUUUUUCACGACUUAUUAUAAAUUUUUUGCUGAAUAAAAAAAAUCAAAAUAUUUAGUUUUUUCUAAAUAGAAAAUAUAACAUAUUAGUUUUUCUUUAUUUUUUAAUACUAAAUAGAAAUAAAAUACUACAAAAACAAAUAACUUAAUACUUAACACUAUUAAACAUUAAAGUUCUAUUUAGAAUUAAGUAAAAAAAAAACAUCACCUAAAUUAAGAAAUAUUUAAUGCAUUAGAAUCGUUACUAAGCAUAUAAAUUUUUUAAAAUAACUUGAAACUCAAAAAGUGAAUCAAUUAACAUGAAAAUUUUAUGAACAAAAGUUGGCCUAAAAUGACUAUUAUUGCUCUUCUAUGUAGAAUCAUAUUCUUCAAAUUUUUCAUUGAAAAAUAAACUUUAAAUUAAGCAAAUUAAAACUUGAUGUGUUAGAUUUAUUAAUGAGUGUAAUAAUUUAAGCAAAAAAUAAUUUGAAACUCAAUCAGUGACCAACUAAUACAAAAAAUUUAUAGACAAAAAUUGGUCCAUAAUGACUAUUAUUAUUAUUACUAUUAUUUUGACAUGUAAUGAUAUUUUUAUGAAUUUUAUUAUUAGAGAAAUGAACUUCAAAAUAAAACUACACUAUGUAUUGAAUUUAAUAAUUUGAAACUACUAAAAUAGAUCUAUCCACUACAAAAACUAAUAGGUCGAAACUAAUAGAUUAUAAGUUAUGACUUUACUUUUUAUCCUCUAAUAUUUUAUGAAUUUUCUCACUAGGUGAAUACAUUCUAAAUUUAGUGAGACAUAAUUAAUAAUUAAUUUAAAUUUUUUUUAUGAAUCUUUUAAUUUUUAAGAAUAAUUUUGAAUUCAAAAAAUAAAGCCAAUUAAUUACAAAUUAAAUCAAAAUAUUUAAAACUUUGUCCACAAUUAUAUACUACACAUGCACAUCUAACGAAAACUUUGCUCAUUUAUAUAUUAAAAAAUUAAAAAUUAUUUUUUAAAAUAAAAUAUUAUUAAUAAUUAUUAUUUUUAAAUUAUAAUUGUUCUUUUUUUCUUUUUUCUUUUUAAAUGAUUAUGCUUAAGAUGUUAAUCUUCACAUUUUUAUAACAUAUACUAAAAUAAUAUUUUUAUAAAAAAAUAUAAUUUGUGAUUUUAGUAUAAUAUUAUUAUUUAUAAUUUACUAAAACUAUUUAUUUUUUUAAUUUAUCUGUAUUUACAAAACUAUUUUUAAUUUUUAUAAAACUUCAAUUAAAUUUAAUUAAUAUAAUUAAUAUCAGUGUUUUAAAAACCGAACUUAAUCUGUGACCAUCAACCGAGGACCAAACCGGUUUGGUCUACCUAUUGAACCAUUUGACAAUUGAACCGUCCGCGAACCGGCGGAGCCACGAUUGAACCGGUGAACCAGGCGGUUUGCCAUAAACCGAACAGUUCUUUGGUUAAUAUUUUUUUCAUUUUUAAAUCCAAGACAGAUGCAUUUUGCACGGAAAUGAAAAGCCCUAACCCCUCUCCCCUUUGCCCCCAUGCCCAACCGUCCCUUGCCCUCUCCAGGAGCCUUCCUCAGCCCCCCACCUUCGGCACCUCUAGCCAGCAGGCUUGCGCCGACACCGACGCCAAUGGAAGACAGUGACGCCGAUGGACGAAUGCGACGUCGACGACUCCACUGACUGGAGUUGUAAAUGUUGUUUGGCUUCCUUGUUUACUAUUUAAAUAUUUAUCAUUUGAUUUAUCUAAUUAUUUUAUUUGAUAUUUGUAUUAUUUUUAAUUUCUAAUUUUUGGAAAUUCUGAUUUUUAAAUAUGUUAUUUUAUAUUUAUGAUUUUAAUUUUUAAAUUUAUGAAUUUAAAUUUCUUAAUUUCGAUUUAAAUCAUUUUAUUUAUUUGAAAAUAAAUUUUUGGUUUUAAAAUAAGUUUUUGGUUUAAAAAUAAAUUUAAAUUUUUUUAAUUUUAAAAUAAAUAUAUGAUUUUCAAAUAAAUUCUGAUUUUUUAAAUUUGUGAUUUUAUAUUUAUGAAUUUAAAUUUCUGAAUUUGAUUUGAAUCAUCUUAUUCAUUUAAGAAUAAAUUUUAUGAUCUUAAAAUAAAUAUCUAAUUUUCAAAUAUAUUUUCUAUUAUCAAACAUAUUUUUGACUUUUAAAUAAAUAUAUGAUUUUAUAAAAAAUUUAUGAUUUUUUAAAAUUCUAAUAUUUUGAAUUUAUGUUUUCAAUUAUCAAUUGAAUUUAUGAUAUUAUUAUUAUUUUUAAUAUUUUUUUAAUUUUAAUAAUAUAUAUACAUAAUAUAUAUUAUAUAUUUAUGAUGUCACCUAUUCAAUCGCGGUUCAACACCAAUCCAAUUCAUGAUUCAUGAACCGAUAACUUUUCUAAUUUAAUGACCAAUCCGAUUCUGAAAACAUUAAUUAAUAUUACAUAAAUUGAAUUUAUAAUAUUUUUAAAAAUAACUUGCCAAACACCCCUAUUUUUAUAAAAUACUAAAAAGUUAUUUUUUGCUCUUUUAACAACAGUUUUUAAAGAUAAACAUUACAAAACAUGGCUAAACGGCCCUUAGCUCCUGGGUUUCAGCAAAAGAUUCAAAACAGCGCCAUCUUGUGGCCUCCGUCAACAUGUUUUGUUGCCCAAUUUUUGUGUAAGCUCUAAAUAAUGCUGCUUUCGAUUUUCAAUUGCUCUGUUCGUGCACUUUUUUUAUAUGUUGCCAUGUAGACAACAGUAUAGUUCUUGAUCCCCCAAUCAUACAUAAUUCUUUGCUCCACUACUAAUGCAUUACAUCAAUAUCUGUCAUUAAUUAACUCUACCACACAAAUUUCAUGCAGCAAUUGCCAUGAUUUUUGUUCACUAAGAUCACAUACCAACCCCUGCACAUGCAUACACAACAUGAAUGCAUUCGCUUUUAUUGAGAGAAUGGUUUCACACAUUUGAAUGUGGCAACAUUGGGAAGCAUCUUCAGAGUUUCAUUGCUUCAAUAAAGGUUUUGAAAUUCUUGUAAGAAGAUCCGCCUUCGCUUACACUCUUUCUAGUCAUUUCCUUCAACUUCUCUGCAUUUGCUUUUAUACCAUCAUCAGAGACCAACUUUUCGAUCUUCAUCUUAAUCUCAUGCCUCGAUAUGAGUCCAUUUUCAUCUGGGUUCAACCCCAACCCCACCUUCCAUUUGUCGCAUAUGUAAUUCUGGUCAAGGAAUUGAUCUCCAACGUAGGGCCAGCAUAGGAAGGGGACUCCCAUGAUUAUGCUGUCCAUGGUUGAGUUCCAACCGCAAUGGGAAAAGAAACAUGCAACAGAAGGGUGAGCUAAAACCUCUUCUUGGGGUGCCCACGAAACAAUCUUUCCAUGGUCAGCUACUCUCUCAAUGAAACCAUCAGGGUAUUCAGCAGCUGACCCAUCGGUGAAGUCUGAUCGGACAACCCAUAAAAAUGGCCGCCCUACAAGUUCAAUACCAAGUGCUAAUUCAUUGAAUUGGUGCUGGGUUAAGUUUCCGGUGCUGCCAAAAGCAACAUAAAUGACUGAGCCAGCAGGUUGUUUAUCGAGCCAGCCUAUGCAAGUUGAAUCCUCAGGCCAAAAGUUUGCAGCAUAAUGACCCGGAUCACGACUUGCAGGUAACGGGCCAAUUGGUAAUAAGUUAGGAAUCAAGUCACAAGCAGAUGAGUCAAGUUCGUAAACACAGUUGCAAAGAAGCCUCUUGGAAGAAUUCAUAAAUUGAAUAGAUGUGAGAUAAAUUCGGAAAACCCACUCUUGUACCUUCAGAUCAAUUGGCCACUUCCAGGGCAAGCCGUUGCAGCUCAAGACUGGAAUACCCUUCGACACGCAGAUCAACUCAUCUUUCAGAGGAGUUCCUGCAGAGAUAUUUGAAUCAUUUCUAUCAAAACCAAGAAAUUUCUUAGACAACAAGUUAAUUUUAGAAAUAUGAUAUAAAUUAACAAGUUGAAGCCUUAAUACCAUCAGUACUAUUUACGAUUCCGGCCUCAAUUAGCUUUGGAAUAUGAAGUGCCAAAGCCCAGAUUCCUGCUCCCAUAGGACAAAAAAGGACCCCUUCGAUUCCCAUCUUCUCUGCCACCUCCAUUGGCCACCGCUCAAGUGUUAUGUCAGCAAUAACACAAGUGAUCUGCUCAUCAUCAUUCGAGCGGUUGACUUUCUCAAUUAAAUCCUUCAAAUGACCCGGCAUGACUCUUGAACUACUUUCUGUUAUCUUGAGCAAGUUUUUCCGAUCGUCCCCUGGAUCCAGACCAUCUGGGAUAGAGGCUAGCCUUAUCCCACUCUGAGCCUCAGCCUCAUGUGGGAGUGCAGCCAGCAGUUUAGCAUGUAUGAAGUCAGAGUUAACAAAGGUGACCUUGAUCCCGUGAUCAGAAAUCCGGUUUGCAAGCCUCAUAAGAGGAGCAACAUGUCCUUGCGCUGGGAGUGGUAUAAUCAGCACAUGAGGUCGCCUGCCCAUGGUCCUUGCUAACUUGCCAACACUUCCACCCUUCUCUUUGCUCUGAUCCCAAGCUUCACUAAUACUGAUACUGUUUUAUUAUCCUGAGCCCUCCUUGGAACUGUAUUUAUGAAAUUGAGGUGCAAAACUUUUUUCCCUUUCAAAAAACAAAGGGAAUAUGAAGUCCUCGCUAGCCUUUUUAACAAUGAAAACUAGUGGAAGUUCACCGACACCAGGUCUGGAAAACCCUCGUCUCAGAAAUGCAAGGAAAGGGAAGAACGUGAAGAAUUUGAAGACCUUCACACUUGGAUCAACCCUUGUUUUCUUCUUUUCUCCUCACCUUUCACCUUUCACUCUCAACCGUCUGCCCACACAUGCUUCCACAUAGCCCUAGCUGCUGCAUUAUUGGCCUUAGAAACCAGCCGCCAGACCAGCCCAACAUGUGGGUUUGAAAAAAAUACUUUCCUGAGCUGGAACCCAUAUAUGGGCAAGCCCAACAAAGUCCAUCUCUGAUUUAUGAAUUUAUUUUAUUACCUCAAAGCUAUAGGUUUGUGGGUCUGGCCCACACUUAUUGUGGUGUAAUCUCCUAUGUGGUUAAUUUGUCUUUAUAGUGUCUUCUAUGGCUCUGGAAGCAUAUUUAAGAAUUUCAUUUAGUUGGCUGCGUUUCAUCUCACAGUUUUAUGACUGUUAACGUUUAAGACAAAUACGUAUCUCUGUUGUGAGUAAGCUUUUCAGGCAGUGUCCUGGAAAACUAAUAGAAUUUGGAGGACUGUCUGAUUGAUCCUAAAGAAUUUUAGCUGAGUACAAAUGAAAUGUGGAAUUUCCAUUAUUCUAAGUUUUAAACUUAUAUUUCACUUAACAACCUUUUUUUUUCCUGCAUUACCACCUCAUAUUGGAUUGUAGCCAUCUUUUCUGUCAGUUUUUUCUUCUUUUCCAGUGUUGCUGAUGCAUCAAGAUAUAUAUCUUUUGUUUUAUAUGAUGAGGAAGUCAUCAUUACGUUUUUCCUUCGUCUUUUUUACAUACAAACUCUGAUGUAGCUUGAAUCUCUUGUCUUUUGCAUCAUCAGCUGUAUUUGUCUGUUUCUGUUAUAAACAAGCCUGUAUUGAUGUUGAGCCCUCCCUUCUACUUUAUUUAAGUAUUUCAUACAUUAUCUGGAAGCUAAAGUCUGUGGCUCAUAUCCUUUGUCACUUAUCUUGGUAUUUUGUCUUUAUAAAGUGUCUUCUGUGGCUCUCCAUUACAAAGGGUUAUGAAAAAGAUGUGGUUGUAAGGGUAUUCUCUUCUUUUGUCCGGACCUCUUCUUUUGGUGGUAACUUUUGUUGAAAUCCAAAAAAAAUUCAAAGAGAAAAAGAGAAGAAAAAAAAAUGUAGGAUUUCUUGUUAUGAAUUCUCUUGAAAAUAGGUGCAAUACUAUUACAAUUUAAAUAGACCUAAUAAAAGAAGAUAAAGACUAUUUUACCCUUACUUCUAAAGAUAUAGAAAAUAAUUCCAACAUUGUAACUAAAUAAACAACAAAUUAUUUUUUUGCCCUUUAGAAAAUUUUCCAUCACAUAACUCCAAAACAAAUAAUUUUAUUUUUUUGUAUCCAAUUUCCUACUAUUAGAUUAAAGGAAUCAUUUCAUUCACUAUGAUGAAUAAAAAACAAAUAACUAUCAAACAAAAAAAAAGCAUAUAUGAAUAAAAGAAAACGAAUACGAAAUCAAAUACUAUGAUCAAAUUAGAAAAGAAUUAUGUCAUUUAUCUUGGUAUUUUGUCUUUAUAAAGUGUCUUCUAUGGCUCACCAUUGCCACUUAUCAAAAGUUUAAUUAAAAGAUUAUUUUUGCUCUAAUACCAGGUUGAAAUCCAAAAAACGAUUUAAAGACAAAAAUAUUGAGAAAAAACAAAAUUUAGGAUUUCUUUUAAAAAUAACUCCAACAUCAUUAGAAUUUAAAUAAACAUAAUAAAAGAAAAUAAAAACUAUUUUAAUCUUGUAGAAAGAAAGAAAAUAAUUCUAAUAUAGUAACUAAAUAUAUAAUAACUAAAUAAUACAUAAUUCUAAUAUACUAACUAAAUAUAUCAAUAACUUCUAAUACCUUUUAAGAUUGGAUACCGUAGAUGGGCCCUUUUAAAUAAUAUUUCUUUGAUGUGAUGAUGGGUUGGAUAUUUUAGUAAAAUAUAGUGGGACUUAUUUUGGUUCUUUGAUUAUGAACUAAUAAUUGGUGAUACUCCAAAUGCAAUAUUUGAGUGUAUUAAUUUUUGCUAUGAUUAUUUUAAAUUAUGGUUACAUCGUAGAGGUCUUUUUCACAAGUAUAAUUGAUUAUAAAUAUAAUUAUAAUUUUAUUGUAAGACAUUUGAUAAAACCUAAUACAUAAUACUUAAUGAUUUAAGAUGAGUUUAAGUUAAAUUAUAUUUAAGUCAUUAAAUUAAUUGAGCAAAUGUCUUCAAAUUAUUUUUAAUUUUAAGUUAUAAUAUUUAUUAUGUGUUAGGAAUUUUAGGCUAAUCCAAUCUAUGGUAAUCACCUUAGAGGGAGAGGGGCGGGAAGGGGGUGAAUAGCGUGAUAGUCUCUUUUCACAAAUUUAAACAAGUGAAUGAAGAGACAAUUAUAUGCAAGUAUAUAAUAAGCAAUAUAAAGACAAUUGCAUAUAAAUUAAAGAGUACGGAAGAGAGAAUGCAAACACAAGUGUUUAUAGUGGUUCAGCGCAACCCAACCUACAUCCACUCUCCUCUAGCUUCAAUCCCAAGCUUGAGUUUCCUUUAAUCCAAGGCUUCCAACCCAAGCCUUCAAGCAAUACAAUUGGAUUAUGGUUCCAAUUCACCCUCUUGGACUUUUGGCUCCAAGCACCCUUUACACUUCACAAGAGAUAUCCCCCUCUUGAAAAACUUUCUCUUAAGAAUUUACAAAUAAAAGAUCACACAAAAAUCCUAGCACAAGAACUUUAAGCUCAAAUGAUACAAGAGAAACUAGGAUUGAAUGGUGCACUAAAGAUAUGCAAGUUUUGAAAUAAUGGUGCACUCAAAAAUACUAUUCCAAGGCUCAAAUAUAAUUAAGAAAGAUUUGGGAAGGUUAAUCUUUUUAAACAAUGAAGUUUGGAGCCUUUUUAUAGAAGAGAAAAACCAAACUAGUCGUUUGGGGGUUUGACCGGUCGAGCUAGGGGUCGACCGGUUGACUAGCCGUUAGCAUUAAAUGCUUGGCAGGUGACCAUUAGCCUCAACCGGACCUCGACCGGACCUCGACCGGUCCUCGACCAAGAAGAGAAGGCCACUGGGAGAGAGAGAAACUUUUUGGCCUUCCUCAACCGGUCCUCGACCAGACGAGCGCAACCGGUCCACCGGUUCCUCAACCAGUUGAACCGGUUGAGCCAUUUUUUGGCUCAACACCCAAUCUUUUUCAACUUAAAACCUUUUAAAACAAGUUUGAAAGAUAUUUAACACAAGGUUUUAGUUGAAAACAUGAAAUCAUUCAAUUCUUAAGAUAUUUAAAACAAUAUUACUUUUGGAUGAUUUUGGUGCAUAAAUAAAGAAUGAAAUGCAUGAAGUCCUAGUGCACCAACAGCCUUACAAAGAGAUCUUAUGAAGCUUGGGUCUUGAAAAACUCUUCUCUUUGAGGUGGUCUUCUUCUUCAUGAUUUCUCCUUGACUUGAUUUGUCUUUGUGAUUGCCACUUUGGAGAUCGUUUUGCCUAAUCACACUUGAAAUAUGAUCAUUAGUUCUAAACCUUGUUUUGUUAUCAUCAAAAUCAAGAUUAACCAAACCAUGGUUUCACAUUAUGAUUAAUAAUUUAUGUGAUUAGGUCGUUAAGAUAAUUUACCUAAUAAAUUUCUCUUACUUAGAUAAUCUUAUGAGAAGCAAACCUUGGCAUUCACUCUCACCUUUUACAAAGCUUUACUUCCUUGAUUUUCCAAGGGUGCUAUCGCUGAAACAUGAUGGUUUUGGAGGCUAUGUUGUUGAAUGUCCCAAAACCAUAUUGGAUUAGUUUCACCAUCACUUAGAACUCUUGGGUUGGAGCCCAUUUGACCAUAUUAUUUUAUACUUAUUGUUAUAAAAAUUAGGCUAAUACAACCUAGAGUAAUCACCCUAGAGAUGGGGUGAAUAGGGUGAUGGUAUUAUUUUGUAAAUUUAAAUUAUAUGAAUGCAAGAAACAAUUAUAUGCAAAUAUAUAAUAAAACAAUAUAAAGACAAUUGCAUAUAAAAUAAAAGAGUAGGGAAGAGAGAAUGCAAACACAAGAUUUUUAUAGUGGUUUAACGUAACCCAGCUUACAUCCACUCUCUUCUAGCUUCAAUCCCAAGCUUAAGGUUCCAUUAAUUUAAGGUUUUCAAACCAAGUCUUCAAGCAAUACAAUUGGAUUAUGGUUUCAACCACUAUCUUGGACUUUUGGCUCUAAGCACCCUUUACAAUCUCCAAGAGAUAUCUCACUCUUGAACAACCCUUCAAGUGACACUCCACACUUGAGAAUCCCUAAGUGAUACUUCACACUUAGAUUUUUAAUCUCAAAGAUUUAAAGAAGAAUCCUAGUACAAAACUUUAAGCUCAAAUGUACAAGAAAAACUGGGAUUGAAAGGUGUACUAGUGAUAUGCAAGUUUUAGAACAAUGGUGCACUAAAAAAUACUCUUCCAAUGCUCAAAUAUAUUUAAUUAAGGUUUAGGAAGUUAAAACUCUUGAAACAAUGAAGAUUGAAGCUUUUUCAUAAAAGAAAAAAACCAAAUUAGGCAUUAGGGGUUCUUUCGGUCGAGCUCCGAUUCAAUCGGUUCACUAGCCGUUAGCAUUUAAUGCAUGACAGAUGACCAUUGGACCUCGACCGUCCCUUAACCACCCAUCGAUUGGACCUUGACUGGUUGAAAAAGCAUUCUAGAAUAAAUAUAAGGUUUUUGCACCAUUCAAUCGAUUGAGCUAAACGAGUCGACUGGUUUCUCGUCUGGUUCAACUGGUUGAGUCGUUUUUUGCUCAACAACCAUCAUUUUUAACUUAAAACCUUUUUAAAAGGUUUAGAAAAUAUUUGACACAAGGUUUUAGUUGAAAACAUGAAAUCAUCCAGAGAGAAGAACUCAUGGAAAAUAUAGAAUGAAUGAAACUAAGGGAUCAAGACACAUCCAAAGAAGGAUGAACAAUGAACCCCAAAAGAAGAUAGAAAACCCCUCACAAUCUAACCCAAUUUGUUUUAAGUGUGGUAAGGUAGACCACUAAUAAGAAAGAUUGUAAGGUUAAAAAGAAAAUUAAUAACUUAAACAUUUCAAAAGACUUAAAAGACAUGCUUUGCAAAGUAAUAUUAAACUCCUCAGAAUUUGAAUCAAGGACUGGUUCAAAUAAUGCAAGGAAAGGGAAGACCGUCCGCCCACACAUAUGCUUCCACAGCUUCACAAACAUAGCCCUAGCUGCUGCAUUAUUGGUCUUAGGAACCAGCCGCCAGACCAGCCCAACAAAUCAUAUUGGGUUGUAGCCAUCUUUUCUGUCAGUUUUUUCUUCUUUUCUAGGGUUGCAGAUGCAUCAAGAUAUAUAUCUUUUGUUUUAUAUGAUGAGGAAGUCAUCAUCACCUUUUUCGUUCGUCUUUCACAUACAAACUCUUAUGUAGCUUGAAUCUCGUCUUUUACAUCAUCAGCCGUAUUUGUCUGUUUCUGUUAUAAACAAGCCUGUACUGAUGUUGCUGAGCCCUCCCUUCUACUUUAUUUAUGUACUUCAUACAUUAUCUGGAAGCUAAAGUCUGCGGCUCAUUUCCUUUGUCACUUAUCUUGGUAUUUUGUCUUUAUAAAGUGUCUUCUCCCGAGAAAUCGGCGAUAUAUCGGCGAUUUUUCCCGCUUUCGAGGGGAUUUGAACCCCAAACCAAAAGAAUAUAUUGUGCACUAAACUUAUAUAUACUUAAACUCAUUAUAUAAAGAAAAUAUUAAAAGAAUAUUUUAAAGAGCAAAUUAAUUAUAAUUAUUUUAUAAUUAAAUACAAAAUUUUCUUUUAAUUGAUUACCAAAAAUAUAAAAAUUAUAUAAUUUUCUUCAUAAUGUUUUUAAUAUCAUUAAUAAUUAAUUAAAUAUUAAAAAAAAUUUAUAUAUAUAUAUAUAUAUAUAUCAUAAUUUAUUUUAUAUUGUUUAAUACAAUUAAAUUAAAUGGAUCAUAAUUUUAAUAUUAAUAUAUAUUUUAAAAUUAGACAUAUUAUAAUCAAAUAUCAUAAUAGUAGAUGUAAUUUAAUAAUAAAUGUACACUUAUAAAAUUCAUAUUUUUAUCGAUGCAUACGAUAUUAUUAUCAAAUAUGAUAAAUCAUGUUAUACAUAUAUCAAAAUUUUUCAAUAAAAUAACUUUAAAAUGUCUAUUAUACUUCUAAUUAUAUUAUUAUGAGGUUUUCCUUACAUUUUUAUGAGUUUUUAAUAAUUUUAAGUCUACCGAUAUUUUUUUCCAAAAUAUCCGCCGAUAUAUCUCCAAUAUAUCCGAUAUAUACGUAAAAUCGAAGUACCGAUAUUUUCAUCCUUGGUUACAUCUUAGAGGUUUUUUUUCAUAAGUAUAAUUGAUUAUAAAUAUAAUUAUAAUAUUAUUAUAAGACAUUUGAUAAAACUUAAUACAUAAUACUUAAUGAUUUAAGAUGCGUUUAAGUUAAAUUAUAUUUAAGUCAUUAAAUUAAUUGAACAAAUAUCUUCAAAUUAUUUUUAAUUUUAAGUUAUAAUAUUGAUUAUGAUUAAUAAUUUAUGUGAUUAGGUCGUUAAGAUAAUUUUUCUAAUAAAUUUCUUUCACUUAGAUAAUUUUAUGAGGAGCAAACCCUGGCAUUCACUCUCACCCUUUUACAAAGCUUUACUUCCUUGAUUUUCUAAGGGUGCUAUUGCUCAAACAUGAUGGUUUUGGAAGCUAUGUUGUUGAAUGUCCCAAAACCGUAUUGGAUUAGUUUCACCAUCACUUAGAACCCUUGGGUUAGAGCCCAUUUGACCAUAUUAUUCUACACUUAUUUUUAGAAAUUGUUUUGAAGUUAAAAAAAAAAAAGUUACAGUUUUUAUUUUCUAAAAACAAUGGUGUUUAGCAACUUUGUUUUUAAAAACACUUUUUAAAAAAUUUUAAAAAAAAAUUGGAUAAUUUUUUUUAAUAUUUCGAUUUUAUAAAAAAAAUCAUAGACUUAAUGUAUAUAAUAUUAAUUAAAUUUAAUUCAAGCCUUGUGUAGACCCCUUUUAUUGGAGGGACCCGGGGGGGAGAGUUUUUUUUUUUUUUUUCUCUCUCUCUUUUGGGCAUUUCUUUUUUUUAACAAAAGGGGGGGACCAACUGCAGGAGAGGAGGAGGAGCAGGGAUGGCCAUAAUUUGAGGGGUCAUGCCUGCUAAUGAGGACACAGGAGAGUGGGUGAGAGAGACAGGAGGGUCUUGAGGUUAGGAGGGAAGCUGGUUGGAGGUAGCCUGAAGGUAUGACUGCUAUGAAUGCUUGGGUUUUUCUUCAUUGGAGCAUAAUCUCUCUCUGUUUUUCUAGAUUUUUUUUUUAUGUGGAUCGUUUGGCUCUGUGUUUAGUUUUAUGGUUUAUGCUUGGUUGCUAUCUCCUUCAUUUUUCCAUGGGAUGCAUGUUUGAUUUAACUCACCCUCAUCUAAACCCAUUGAUUCAAACAUGUAAUAUGGCUUGGAUGGGUUCGUUUUAUCCUUUCCCAUUGUGCUCUAUUUGCUAUUUUCCCAUGUUCUCAAUGCCCUGCCAUGGUGAAUACCAUAGUUCUCCAUUUUGUCGGAGAUUUUAUACCGGAGAGCACCCACAAUCGCGGCCUCAGGUGCAGCCAGUGUUGGUGCUGGCGGGGGCAGGCGCUGGCUAGUGCUGACAGGCGCUAGUUGGUGCUGGUUGGUGCUGGUUAGUGUUGGCUGGUGCUGGCUGGCACUAGCUGGUGCAGGCGCUAGCGCGGCAUCCAGUGACGAUGCCGAUGCCACCCCAGGCAACUCAUUCCACACCGGCAACCUUUCUCCUUCUUCCACCUUGGGCUCGCCCAUUGAUGAUGGGUGUGGGACUGAGUUAGAGCCCAGGCCCGUUUGUGAGGGUGAGGAGCCUCAUGCCAGCCAUCUUCCUAGCCUAAGUCCACCUUAAGUUGGUGCCUUGGGCUUGCCCAUAUUGGUGACAGGUUUGGGCUUAAGUUGGAGCCCAGGCCCACAGUUGCUGAUGAAAGGCCCUUUUGCUCCCUAUGCUAUCCAUCUCCAUGGCCCAAGUCCAUGUUGGAUUAGCCCAUUUGGCCACAUUAUGUCUAAACAAGUUUUUGAAUCCCUAACCUUAGUAAAUUAUUAACUUAUUCAUGCUUUUUUUUAUUAUUAUUAUUUAUUCUUAUUUUAUCUUCACCAAUUUAGUUAGCUCAACUUAAAGACAAUUAAAAGAUAAAUUAUUAUUGUUAAUUAUAUUUUUAUCUUGAAAUUUACACGAUUCAAUUUCACUAGUUUAAACAUUAUGAUUGUCAACUAUUAUUAUUAUUUCGUACGUAUCUAUUCAUCAUCUUUCAAAAUCUCAAUCAUCAAAGUUAAAUUCUAAUCCUUCAAAAACCCCAUAUCUUAAUCUAAUAUUUCAAUAAUCCGUUUAAAUCUCGUUUUCAUCAAUUAAGAAUUAUUAUCAUAUAUUUAUCUAGUUAUUUGAAGUUUUACCCUUUCAAAAAUCCCAUAUCUUAAUUCAAUUUUUCAAUAGUUCGUUCAAACCUUAUUCGUCUAAAUGUUAUCUUCCUUAAGUAGAAUUAUUAUCAUAUAUCUAUUUAUUUAUUUAAAGUCUAAUUCCUCAAAAACCCAGCGUCCUAAUUUAAUUCUCGACCCUAAAAAUUCCACUAUUCUUUUUUAUUCGUCUAAAUGUCAUUUUCGUUAAUUAAGAAUUAUUGUCUCAUAUUUAUUUAUUCAAAGUCUAAUCCUUCAAAAAUCCAAUGUCAUAAUUUAAUUUUCAAUCCUAAAAAUUCCACUAUUCGUCUAAGUGUUAUUUUCGUCAAUUAGAAACUCGAUACUUGUUUACCUCUUUUAAAAAUCUCAAUCAUUGAACUUAAUUCUUGACCCUAAAAAUUCCACCAUCCUUUUUUUUAUUCGUUUAAAUGUUGUUUUCAUUAAUUAGUAUUAUUACCCCAUAUUAGUUUAUUUAUUUAAAAUCUAAUUCUUCAAAAACCUCAUGUCUUAAUUUAAUUUUUCAAUCCUAAAAAAUUCUACGAUUCGUUAAAAUGUUAUCCUCAUCAAUUAGCAUCAUUAUCCCAUAUCUAUUUAAAGUCCAAUCUUUCGAAAACCUCAUGUCCUAAUUUAACUUUCAAUCCUAGAAAUUUCGUUAUCCGCCUAAAUGUUAUUUUCAGUAGUUAGAAUUAUUAUCAUAUAUCUAUUUAUUUAUUUAAAGUCUAACUCUUCAAAAAUUCAACGUCUUAAUUUAAUUUUUAAUCCUAAAAAUUCCACUACUCAUUUUCUAUUCGUUUAAAAUAUUGUUUUCAUUAAGUAGCAUUAUUAUACCAUAUUAUCUAUUUAAUCUAACCGUUAAAAUUCAAUUCAUCAGAACCCGACUUCCAAAUCUAAUUUCCAACCUCAAAAGCUCCACCGCCCACAUAUCGUCGUUUAAUGAUUAUUUUCGUUAUCAAUGUUAUCCCAUCCACUCGCUUAUUCAGUUAUUCAUAUACCAAAGAUCUCAUCUGUAAAUAAAUUCUUAAGUUUUCAAUCUCUAAAUUCACAUCUUCAAAUCUCUAAAAUUCCAUCUUUCGCAAUUAUUUACCUAAACUCUAUUGUUUCACCAUCGCUAUUUCAUUCCUUUACUUAUUCACUCAUCCACUUAUCCCCUCAUUUAAAAUCCCGAACUUUCAAAUCAUUUUCAAGUUUCCAACCUCGUUCAAAUUUAAUUUCUAAAAAUUCUCAUUCUCACAUUUAAUUCCUGAAAGUCCAAUCUUCAAGUAAACUCUAAAAUCCCAAUUUUCUUUAAAUAACCCUCGGGACUCCAAUAUUUCAAAUGAACUUCAAAAAUCCAAUUUUCUCUCAAAUAGCUUUAAUUCCAUUCUGGCCUUCAAACAAUCUUCUGCUCCUCUUGAUUUUAAUAAGCCUGAAUGAAUUUUCCGUAAUUCCGAAUAAUGGAAUUUAUGGGAUUAAUUCAUGCAAUAUAAAUCGGGCUUUGGUGGGGGCCCAACAUAUGUGAUUUCCUUAUGAUUGAUUGAUUGUUUGCUUGAUUUAAUUAUCAUGCAUGAUUAAUUUUAUUCUACUCUAUGACAUGCUCGAAAUUAUUCCUUAAUUGUGCACUAACCUCACUUCUUGAUAGCGCUUUAUGGAUCACUACCCAGGUACGCAUCCACAUCCGCUCGGGUCAUUUUCUGUAUGCAUGUUUAGAUUCUCACAUGUGCAUGAUCACUCUGAGUAUUCAUUGAUUCCCUCAUCAAUUGUCAUGAUUGCUUCAUUUUAUUAGUAGAGACUCAACUUUAGGGACUUAGAAGGGUGCUACGGUCCUUACCGUACAUUCUUGAUAAGUAACCUGUCCCCCGAACCCGAUCCGGUUUUUCGUAGACCACUUUUUCCAAAUAAGGAGUCACACUUAGGGUUUUUUCUUUCUUAUUUUGUUUACUCUUUUAAAAAUAAAACAAAAAUAAGUGGCGACUCCAAGUCAUCUUUCUAGAAAACACCAUAAAAUCAAAUUUUCAAAUAAAAAAUGCGUUUCACCAUCGAGUGGGAAACGCAUGAGCCGAAAUGCGAGGUCCACACCUUGUUAAAAAUAAAAAUAAUUUUGUAAGAAAUAAAUAUAAGUUAUAGUUUAGAUUAUUUGUUAAAUAUGGGUCACUAUUUGGAUUUCAAAUUAUUUUUAAAGUUACUAAACUUAUUAAUAAAUUAAAUGGAAUAAGUCUUGCUUGAUGUGAAGUCUAUUUGUUUGGUAAAAAAAAAAAAAGGAAAUAUGAUUUCAUGCAAAAAAGAAAAAUAAGUUAUUAUGAAUUAAUUUUUGUCCAUAUAAUUCUUGUAUUAAUUGAAUCAUUAUUUGAGUUCUAAACUAUUUUUAAAAAAUUGUUGGACUGGUUGAUAAAUCCAAUACAUCAAGUUUUACUUGAUUUGAAGUUUAUUUGUCUACUAAACAGAUUUGAAAAAAUAUAAUUAUAUGUAACAAAAAAAACAUUGGAAAGUUAUUCAAAAUUGGAUUAGCUUUUAGUUCCAAGAUUUUCUAAUAUUAUUGGUUUUUUAGUCUUGAAUUGUUUUUAAAAAUUAGAAAACACAAAAAUGUUUUAAAAUUACAUGGUCAAAUAAACUAUUAGACCCUAUUUGACUUUCUGAUUUAAAAAUAGGUAACUAUUUUUAAAAAUUCAUAGCACUUUUUUUUAUGCGAACCUCAAUCAACACGAUUUGAGACCCAACAAAUAGUAUUGGAAUAAUGCCCAAGAAAGCUAAAAUACAAAUUUUUGAUAGAACCCUGACCCAAUGCUUAUAAGUGAAACGCAAACCAAAAGUAUAAGUAACAGACCUUGACCCAAUGAUUACAAUGGAAUCACGAACCAAAGGUAUAAGGUUUGAACGCCACAAGGAAGAAUCUCUGAUAAGUUCACAGUUUUGAAGAACCAAAAGAAGAGCAAAGCCUCACCUUUUCUGAUUUUUUAUUCAAUUAAAAUUAUCCCCCAUUACAAUGAGUGCAUGCUAUUUAUAUGUCAUGAAAAAAACUUAUUAAAUAUUAAAACCCUAAACUAAAAAAGGUACUAAAUAUUAAAACCCUAAAUAAAGGUUGAUUUGGUCAGAAAUUAGCAGAUCCAAAAUAGGAAAAUAGCUAAAAAAACGUUCUAAAUAAUAAAAGCUUAAAAUUAAGGUAGAUUUGGCCUGAAUUUAGAAGCUCUAGAAUAGGAAAUAAUUGAUAUGAAGUUGGAAAGUCAACCAGUCAUUAAUCCAUGCCAUAAAUCAUGCCCAAUCAAGCCAAAUUAGCCCUCAAUAGCUUGGAUUAAAUUUAUUACACAUUCAUCUUCCUUUAGGCCAAACUUGGACUAUCUUGCGUUAGAAUCAAUCCAAAUCUCUUGAAGUAUCCCAUUAAGUUCUUUUUUGAUCUUCUUAGAUCUUGCUUUAGUAAUAAGCCCAAUUGGAACAUGCAAUGGAUCCUUGAAUGCUUGUUGAUUCUCAUCAUUUUUUGUCAUAGUUUUUAUUUCUAAUUUUUAGAAACAAAAGAAAAUAGAGAAUAUUUUUUAAAAGAGAAGUAGAAGUUGUUUUUACUAGUUUAUAAAAACAAAGUAAAAACAUAAAGAAAUUUAAAGAAAAAAAAAUCAUAAAAAGACAAAUAAAAUCGUAUAUGAUAUAUUUCUUUCUCUCUCUAUAGAAAUUGAAAAUCUUCAAAUAUGAUAUUCCUUUGAAUUAUUUAUAUAAAAUUGUAUAUGAUACUUUUCCCAACCACUCCACCCACUCUCUCUCCUUUUUGCCCAUACCACUCACCUAGGAGACUCAUACCCCUUUUCCUUAGGAAUGGCAAUUUUUUGGGUAAUUCGGGUCACCCGCCCCGCCCCGCUCCUACUGGGACGGGUAUGAGAAUAUCCUAUUUGGACAUAGAACAGGUUUGGGGAAUAUAUAAAAACCCGAAUCAGGUUUAGGGCGGGGAUGGGUUUUGCAGUUUCCGCCCCGUCCUGUAUGUGAAUUACCAAUUUACCCUUAUGUCAUUACAAAAUACCCAAAAAGUCUUUCAUAUAUAAUCAUUUCUUCCUCAAGUUUUAGGGUUAUUUCACUCGUGAGAGAGUCAAAGGGCUUUCGCUCUUAGAGGGCUUUCGUUCUCAUUUCUUCCCGUUUUCUCAUUCUUCCUAAAUUGCUCAGGGUUCUUUUGCUUGUAAGAGGCCUUUCGUUUUCUCAUUUCUUCCCAUUUUCUCAUUUAUUCCUGAAUUGUUUCUUCCCGUUUCACCCUAAAAGCACAAUUUUUGCUCUAAAAACCAAACUACCAAAUUCGUAGACAACAAAUUAUUAGGGUUUCUAUGGAUUCCUCAUUUCCAAGUAAGAAAACCCUAAGUUUUGAGGUUUUGUUAGAAAUGUCUUGUUUUUCAUAUUUUCUGGUUUUGGUUGAUGGAUUUGAGAUUUUUUGGGUUGUUUAUUUGUAGAUCUAUGCAUUUUGUUCUUGUAUGUGCAGUUUGCAAUUUUGUUGCACAACAAAUGCUUGAUUAAAUGUGUUUAUGAUAACCCAGAUAACGUUUAUUGAAAUUUCAGAGACCCAUGUUCUGUAAAAGCAUAAUUCCCGAAAAUGCAUUUGGGACAGGGAUGAGAUUAUCAGCUCUUUUGUAAACGGGCAUAGGGAACACCAACUCGCCCCGCCCCGGGUUUGGGACGGGGAUGGGAAAAAACAUAUAUAACCGGGAUGGAAAUGAGGUAAGGGUGGCCCGUCCCAUACUCGCCAUGUUGCUAUCCCUACUUCUCCUCUUUUUUUUUUUUUUUUCUUUUCUUUUCCCAUUUUUUUUUUUUUUUUUUGUUGUUGCUCUUCUUCUUCUUCUUCUUCCACAUUGUCCCAUAGCCUUCUCUCCCUCCCUUUUUCUCCCAUUCUUUUUGCUCACAUUUCUACUCUUCUUUUUUUUUUCCAAAAAAAUCUAUCACUCCUCACCACCGCCAAUAAGACCACCAACCAAUCACCGUCAGUGAACCAUUGCCGACAACCCCCUUCUCUUCUCUCACUUUCUCAUCUCACUCAUUUUCCGUUUUUAUUAUUCAUUUUAUUUUAUUUUCCUUUUUCCUUUUUUUUCUUCUUUCUUUCUUUCUCCCUUUAACUCCAUUGUCGGCCACUUGCCGCCAGCUAACAAUUCCGACAACCCAUAGAUUCUUCAAAAAAAAAAAAUGUGUAAGCCCAUUUAUGUAUUUCUUUAUUUUAUUUUUCUUAUUAUUAUCAUUUUUUUUUUUGUUUGUGAGAUUUGAAUUGUUGAAUUAAUAUGAAAUUUGGGCUUUGUUAAUUAAUAUAGAAUUUAGGUUGUGGAUAUAUUCCAUUUUUUGGUUAAUUUGAGGUAUUUGGAUUAGGCCAAUUCCAUAUUGUUUACCUUAUUUGGACUUACGGCUCAUUGUUUAUUGAUUAUUUAUUUGGCUUAUUGGAUUGGGAUUGAGACCUUAUUUCCUUUGGCCUUGCAUAUUAUUAAUGUGGGCUUGUUAAAUAAUAUGAAACUUGAGCUCAUUUGUUGUGGAUAAAAUUUGUUGGAUUGGAUGAUAAUUGAUAUGAGUUUUAUCCAUUUGAAAUAUGUAAUUGGGGCAUGAGACAAUUGUGGUAUAUUUUGGAUGUUAUUUCGAGUUUACAUAUUAAAUUGGGCUCAAUUAUUUUGGAUUAUGGGAUAUUGAAUUUAGGCCUAAUUGAAUUUGUUUUAAUUAUCAAAUUUUUGGGUUUGGUUGAUUGUGUUUGUAUUUUGGUUAUUAAUUUGAAAUUUUUUUGUUAAGACCUAUAACAUGUGAGAUAUUUCUAUUGAGUUAUAUUUGCUAAUUUAGACUCAUUUUGAUAGACGAAAUUUAUUAGACUAAUUUGAAUUUUGAAUUUGGGUUUGAAUAUUUGUUUGGGAUUUUGUACAUUUUUUUUAUAUUUAUGACAUGUGGAGUAUGAAAUUUUAUGAAAGAAAGUGAGACUCAAAAAGUUGUAUGAAGACAUUGAACUUGUUGUAAGCUUGUUGGGGUAUCCAUUUUAUUUCCCGCUUUUAUUUGGUUUAUUUUUAUUAAUUUUUAUAAAUAUUUGUUUGUGUAUAAUUACUCAUUGUGUACAUAAUUUAAUAUCAAACAAAUCAUAAAUUUUGUUUAAAUAAGAGGAACAAUUCAGUAAACAUGUUUUAAUAAAAUAAUAGUUCAUAAAAUAUUCUUUUUAAUAAAAAUAAGUUUUCAAAAUGUUUUUAGGAAAAUCUAGAAAAUUGUUUUUAAUAAUAAUUGUUUGACAAAAAAUGGUUUUUUAAAUAAAUUCUAUUUUCUUAAUUAGAUAUGAUUAAAAGUAAUUUUUUAUAGAUAAGGGUCUUAAAUAAUUUUUUUAAUAAGAAUGAAAUUUGCAAAUCGAAGUUGUAGAAAUCAUUUUUUAAUAAAAUUGGGUUGAAAAUAUUUUCAUAAACAAAGUUUGUAAAGAAAUUAAUUCAUUUUGUAAAUAAAGAUGUAAAAAUUCAUUCAUUUUUUAAUAAAAACAAAAAAAAAAAUAUUUUUUUUUGUCAAAUUGAAAUUUUGUAAUAAAUUGUUUUGAUAAGAUAAAUGUAUACAACUUUCUUGAAAAGAAAAAUUGAAAACAAAUAAAGAUGAAUAAAAUCAUUUAUUGAAAAUAAAUGGAAAUUUUUUUUUUUUUUGUAAAUAAUUAAAUUGAAAUCAUCAAUUCAAAAUUGUUUUAAUAAAAUCCUUUGAAAUUAAAAAAAAAAAAUCAUUUUUUAAAAUAUAUUUUUUAAUCCAUUCAAUCAAUCAAUUUGCAUAAUUCUUUUGUCAUUUAUUUUGUGUAUUCUUGUAAUUAGAUUUCAUCAUUAUUUUUUUAUAUAUUGAUUUUCACUAUGACUUGUAAAUACUCAUUUAUGUUAUUAUUUUUUUUUUUUGUAUUCAUAAUUAAUUAAUUAAUUUUCACAAUUCCCUUGAUUCGUUUAGUAGAGACCAUAUGUAUACGGGCUUAGAAGAGUGUUACAGCUCACCACCGUACCUUUCCAAUAGGUAACCUAACCCACGGAUCUAGACUCGGUUUUUCAUAAACCUGUUUUUCCUUCAGGAGUCACACUUAGAGUUUUUCUUUUUUAUUUUGUUUUUCCCUUUAAAAAUAAAAUAAAAAUAAGUGGCGAGUCCAAGUCUUUUUUUAAAAUCAUAUUUUCACCAAAUGAAAAGCAAAUCUCGUUGUUGAGUGAGGAUGCACAUGAAAAAUGUGGGUCCAUAGUGUUAUAUUCAUCAACAAGUAUGAUAAUUUAAAAAAUAAAUCAAUUUGAAAAUCAAAUGGUAACCAAUUAAUACAAAAUAUUUAUAGAUAAAAAUUGUUUCACAAAUACUCUAUUAUUUCCUUUUUUUUUACACAUAAUUAUUAUGAAAUUAAGGUCUGGUUAAUCUCGAUUUUGAUGAUAACAAAAUAAGGUUUAGAACUAAUGAUUAUAUUUCAAGUGUGAUUAGGCAAGACGAUUUCCAAAGUGGCAAUCACAAAGACAAAUCAAGCCAAGAAGAAAUCAUAAAGAAGAAAACCACCUCAAAGAGAAGUGUUUUUCAAGACCCAAGCUUCAUAAGAUCUCUUUGUAAGGUUGUUGGUGCACUAGGAUUUUCAUGCUUUACAUUUUUUACUUAUGCACCAAAAUCAUCCCAGAAUUAUUUUGUUUUAAAUAUUUUAAAAUUUGAUGAUUUCAUGUUUUCAACUAAAACCUUGUGUCAAAUGUUUUUCAAACUUGUUUAAAAGGUUUUAAAUUGAAAAAGUUGGUUGUUGAGCCAAAAAUGACUCAAUCGGUUGAACCAAAUGAGGAACCAAUCGACCCCUAGCUCAACCGAUCUAGGAGCAGGUCGACCCCCAGUUCAACCUGUCAAUGGUGUAAACAGUAACCGAUUAACCCCUAACUCAACCGGUCGAGGGGUGCAAAAAACCUUAUCUCUCUUCUAGAAUGGUUGUUCAACUUGAUGAGGAACUGGUCGAGGUCCAACGGUCACCUGCCAAGCAUUAAAUGCUAAUGGUUAGUCAACCGAUCGACCCCCAACUUGACUAAUCAAACCUCCAACGGCUAGUUUGGCUUUUUUCCUCUAUAAAAAGGCUCCAAAUCUUCAUUGUUUAUGAGCUCAACCUUCCCAAACCUUUCUUGAAUAUAUUUGAGCCUUGGAAGAGUGUUUUGAGUGCACCAUUGUUCUAAAACUUGCAUAUCAUUAGUGCAUCAUUCAAUUCUAGUUUUCUUGUAUCAUUUGAGCUUAAAUUUUUGUACUAGGAUAUUGUGAGAUCAAUUAUUUAUAUAACUUUGAGAGGAAGAUUCUCAAGUGUGGGGUAUCACUUAGGAGGUUGUUCAAGAGUGGGGUAUCCCUUGAGAAUUGUAAAGGGUGCUUGGAGUCAAAAGUCCAAAAAAGUGGAUUGGAACCAUAAUCCAAUUGUAUUGCUUGAAGGCUUGGUUUGGAAGCCUUGAAUUAGUGGAACCUCAAGCUUGGGAUUGAAGCUAGAAGAGAGUGAAUGUAGGUCGGGUUGCGCCGAACCACUAUAAAAUCUUGUGUUUGCAUUCUCUCUUCCCUAAUCUUUUACUUUAUAUGCAAUUGUCUUUAUAUUAUUCUGUUUAUAUACUUGCAUAUAAUUGUCUCUUGCAUUCACAUAGCUUAAUUUUGCAAAAAAAGAUCAUCCCCCUAUUCACCGCCCCUCUUUCGGGUGAUUACCAUAGGUUGGAUUAACCCAAUUUUUCUAACAAUUAUAAUAUUACUAUUUACAUUUUUACUAAAAACUAUUUAUUUGUAAAUUAUAAAUUUUUUUUCAUUUUUAAUUACACAUCAAUUAAAUUCAAUUAAUAUAAUUAAUAUUAUGCAAAUUGAAUUUAUAAUACAAAAAUCAAAAUAAAAAAUUAUUUUUAAAAAACAAUCUGCGAAAUAUCCGUAUUUUUGUAAAAUACUUAAAAAGAAUAAAAAAAGAGAAACUCUAUUUUCUUUUUAUAAACUUAAAAACAGUUUUUUUUUUAAAACAAACAUUACAAAACAUGGUCACUCGGGUCUUGAGGCCUCUAUCAACAUGUUUUGUUUGUUUUGUUUCCUUUAUUGCCCAAUUUUUGUGUAAGCUCUAAAUAAUGCCUCUUUCAAUCCUUUCCAAUUCCUCUGUUCGUGCACACUUUUUUUUUUUUUUAUGUUGCCAUGUAGGCAACAGUAUAGUUCUUGAUCCCCCAAUCAGAGAAAACUAAAAAAUUAUACAUAAUUCUUUGCUCCACUACUAAUGCAUUACAUCAAUAUCUGUCAUUAAUUAACUCUUACCACACAAAUUUUAUGCAGCAAUUGCCAUGAUUUUUGUACACUAAGAUCACAUACCAACCCCUGCACAUGCAUACACAUUGCUUUUAUUGAGAGAAUGGUUUCACACAUUUGAAUGUGGCAACAUUGGGAAGCAUCUUCAUUGUUUCAUUGCUUCAAUAAAGGUUUUGAAAUUUCUGUAAGAAGAUCCGCCUUCGCUUACACUCUUUCUAGCCAUUUCCUUCAACUUCUCUGCAUUUGCUUUUAUACCAUCAUCAGAGACCAACUUUUCAAUCUUCAUCUUAAUCUCAUGCCUCGAUAUGAAUCCAUUUUUAUCUGGGUUCAACCCCAAGCCCACCUUCCAUUUCUCGCAUAUGUAACUCUGGUUAUGGAAUUGAUCUCCUAAGUAGGGCCAGCAUAGGAAGGGGACUCCCAUGCCUAUGCCGCCCAUGGUUGAGUUCCAUCCACAAUGGGAAAAGAAACAUGCAACAGAAGGGUGAGCUAAAACCUCUUCUUGGGGUGCCCAUGAAACAAUCUUUCCAUGGUCAGCUACUCUCUCUAUGAAACCAUCUGGGUAUUCAGCAGCUGAUUCAUCGGUGAAGUCUGAUCGGACAACCCAUAAAAAUGGCCGCCCUACAAGUUCAAUGCCAAGUGCUAAUUCAUUGAAUUGGUGCUGGGUUAAGAUUGUAAAGCUGCCAAAGGCAACAUAAAUGACUGAGCCAGCAGGUUGUUUAUCGAGCCAGCCUAUGCAAGUUGAAUCCUCAGGCCAAAAGUUUGCAGCAUAAUGACCCGGAUCACUACUUGCAAGUAACGGGCCAAUUGGUAAUAAGUUAGGAAUCAAGUCACAAGCAGAUGAGUCAAGUUCGUAAACACAGUUGCAAAGAAGCCACUUGGAAGAAUCCAUAAUUUGAAUAGAUGUGAGAUAAAGUCGGAAAACCGACUCUUGUAUCUUUAGAUCAAUUGGCCACUGCCAGGGCAAGCUGUUGCUGCUCAAGACUGGAAUACCCUUCGACACGCAGAUCAACUCAUCAUUCAGAGGAGAUCCUGCAGAGAUAUUUGAAUCGUUUCUAUCAAAACCAAGAAAUUUCUUAGACAACAAAUUAAUUUUAGAAAUAUGAUAUAAAUUAACAAGUUGAAGCCUUAAUACCAUCAGUACUAUUUACGAUUCCGGCCUCAAUUAGUUUUGGAAUAUGAAGUGCCAAAGCCCAGAUUCCUGCUCCCAUAGGACAAAAAGGGACCCCUUCGAUUCCCAUCUUCUCUGCCACCUCCAUUGGCCACCGCUCAAGUGUUAUGUCAGCAAUAACACAAGUGAUCUGCUCAUCAUCAUUCGAGUGGUUUACUUUCUCAAUUAAAUCCUUCAAAUGACCCGGCAUGACUCUUGAAAUACUUUCUGUUAACUUGAGCAUGUUUUUCCGAUCGUCCCCUGGAUCCAGACCAUCUGGGAUAGAGGCUAGCCCUAUCCCACUCCGAGCCUCAGCUUCAUGUGGGAGUGCAGCCAGCAGUUUAGCAUGUAUGAAGUCAGAGUUCACAAAGGUGACCUUGAUCCCAUGAUCAGAAAUCCGGUGUGCAAGCUUCAUAAGAGGAGCAACAUGUCCUUGCGCUGGGAGCGGUAUAAUCAGCACAUGAGGUCGCCUGCCCAUGGUCCUUGCUAACUUGCCAACACUUCCACCCUUCUCUUUGUUCUGAUCCCAAGCUUCACUAGUACUGAUACUGUUUUAUUAGCCUGAGCCCUCCAUGGAACUGUAUUUAUGAAUUUUAUACCUAUUGCCCUCCUAAUUGAGGUGCAAAACUUUUGUCCCUUUCAAAAAACAAAGGGAAUAUGAAGUCCUCGCUAGCUUUUUCAACAAUGAAAACUAGUGGAAGUUCACCGACACUAGAGAUGGAAAACCCUCGUCUCAGAAAUGCAAGGAAAGGGAAGACCGUCCGCCCACACAUAUGCUUCCACAGCUUCGCAAAACAUAGCCCUAGCUGCUGCAUUAUUGGCCUUAGAAACCAGCCGCCAGACCAGCCCAACACGUGGUUUUGAAAAAAAAUUCUUCCCUGGGCUGGAACCCAUAUACGGGCGGCAAGCCCAACAAAGUCCAUCUCUGAUUUAUGAAUUUCUUUUAUUAUCUCAAAGCUAUGGGUUUGUGGGUCUGGCCCACACUUAUUGUGGUGUAAUCUGCUACGUGGUUAAUUUGUCUAUAUAGUGUCCUCUAUGGCUCUGGAAGCAUAUUUAAGAAUUUCAUUUAAUUGGCUGCCUUUCAUCUCACAGUUUUAUAUGACUGUUAACGUUUAAGACAAAUACGUAUCACUGUUGUGACUAAGCUUCUCAGGCAGUUUUUUCUUCUUUUCUAGUGUUGCUUAUGCAUCAAGAUAUAUAUCUUUUGUUUUAUAUGAUGAGGAAGUCAUCAUCACGUUUUUCCUUUGUCUUUUACAUACAAACUCUUAUGUAGCUUGAAUCUCGUCUUUUGUAUCAUCAGCUGUAUUUGUCUGUUUCUGUUAUUAAUAAGCCUGUAUUGAUGUUGCUGAGCCCUCCCUUCUACUGUAUUUGUGUAUUUCAUACAUUAUCUAAAAGCUAAAGUCUCUGAUUAUCUUGGUAUUUUGUCUUUUUUGCCACUUGUCUUGGUAUUUUGUCUUUAUAAAGUGUCUUAUGUAGCUCUCCAUUGCCACUUAUCAAAAGUCUCAUUAAAAUAUCAUUUUUGCUCUCAUACCAAGUUGAAAUCCAAAAAAAGAUUCAAAGAGAAAAAGAUUGAGAAAAAAAAUUAGGAUUUCUUAUUAUAAAUUCUCUUAAAAAUAACUCUAACACCAUUAGAAUUUAAAUAAACCUAAUAAAAGAAAAUAAAUAUUAUUUUACUCUUACUUCUAAAAAAAAAAAAAAAUUCUAAUGUUGUAACUAAAUAUAUAAUAACUAAAUAGUAUAUAAUUCUAAUAUAUUAACUAAAUAUAUUAGUAACUUCUAACACCUUUUACCAUUGGAUGUUGUGAACGGGCCAUUUUAAAUAAUAUUUCUUUGAUGUGAUAAUGAGUUUGAUAUUUUAGUAAAAUAUAGUCGGACUUAUUUUGGUUCUUUGAUUAUAAACUAACAUUUGGUGAUACUCCAAAUGCAAUAUUUGAGUGUAUUAUUUUUUGCUAUGAGUAUUUUAAAUUAUGGUUAGAUCUUAGAGGUCUUUUUCAUAAGUAUAAUUGAUUAUAAUAUUAUUGUAAGACAUUUGAUAAAACCUAAUACAUAAUACUUAAUGAUUUAAGAUGAGUUUAAGUUAAAUUAUAUUUAAGUUAUUAAAUUAAUAGAGCAAAUUAAUGUCUUCAAAUUAUUUUUAAUUUUAAGUUACAAUAUUUAUUAUGAUUAAUAAUUUAUGUGAUAAUUAGGUCUUUAAGAUAAUGUAUCUAAUAAAUUUCUUUUACUUAGAUAAUCUUAUGAGGAGCAAACCUUGGCAUUCACUCUCACCCUUUUACAAAGCUUUACUUUCUUGAUUUUCCAAGGGUGCUAUCGUUGAAACAUGACGGUUUUGGAGGCUAUGUUGUUGAAUGUCCCAAAACCAUAUUGGAUUAGUUUCACUAUCACUUAGAACCCUUGGGUUAGAGCCCAUUUGACCAUAUACUAUACUUAUUUUUAGAAAUUGUCUUGAAGUUAAAAAAAAAAUAUAGUUUUUAUUUUCUAAAAACAAUGGUGUUUAGCAACUUUGUUUUUAAAUACACUUUUAAAAAAAUAAAAAACAAAAAUUUGUUUGGAUUUUUUUUUUUAAUAUUCUGAUUUUAUAAAAAAAAAAAUCAUAGACUUAAUGUAUAUAAUAUUAAUUAAAUUUAAUUCAUGCCUUGGUAAAAAUAAAAAUAAUUUUGUACUUAGAAAUAAAUCAUAUACAUGUAUAGUUUUUAGUAAAAUAUGAGUAGUAAUAAUAUUAUAGUAAAAUUAUAAGUUAUAUUUUUUGGUAACAAAAUAUACUAUUUUAGUAUAUGUUAUAAAAUUAUGGACAUUAAUAUUUUCAUAAAAGCAUUUUUUUUUUCAAAAUAAAUAAUUUGUUUUUAUAUUAUUUGUUAAAUAUGGGUCACUAUUUGAAUUUCAAAUUAUUUUUAAAAGUUACUAAACUUAUUAAUAAAUUAAAUGGAAUAAGUCUUGGUUGAUUUGAAGUAUAUUUGUGUGAAAAAAAAUAGAAGGAAAUAUGAUUUUAUGAAGAAAAGAAAAAUGAGUUAUUAUGAAUUAAUUUUUGUCCAUAUAAUUCUUGUAUUAAUUGAAUCAUUAUUUGAGUUUUAAACUAUUUUUAAAAUUUUUGUACUCGUUGAUAAAUCCAAUACAUCAAGUUUUACUUGAUUUGAAGUUUAUUUGCCUACUAAACAGAUUUGAAAAAAUAUAAUUAUAUGUCAAAAAAAUAAAAAUAAAACUUAGGAAAGUUAUUCAAAAUUGGAUUAGCUUUUAGUUCCAAGAUUUUCUAAUAUUAUUGGUUUUUUAGUCUUGAAUUAUUUUUAAAAUUUUGAAAACACAAAAAUGUUUUAAAAUUACAUGGUCAAACAAACUAUUAGGCCCAAUUUGACUUUGUGAUUUAAAAAUAGAUAACUAUUUUUAAAAAUUCAUAGUAAUGUUUUGGUCAUUGUUUUUAUUUCCAAUUUUUAGAAACAAAAGAAAAUAGAGAAUAGUUUUAAAAAGAGAAGUAGAAGAUAUUUUUACUAGUUUUUAAAAACAAAGUAAAAACAUAAAGAUAUUUAAAGAAAAAAAUCAUAAAAAAAACAAAUAAAAUUAUAUAUAACAUCUUUCUUUCUCUCUAUGGAAAUUGAAAAUCUUCAAAUAUGAUAUUCCUUUGAAUUAUUUGUAUAAAAUUGUAUAUGAUACUUUUCCCAACCAUUCCACCCACUCUUUCUCUCUUGUUUAUACCCUUCACUGCCCCACAUCCUUCUCUUCCUCCCUUUUUCUCUCAUUCUUUUUGCUCACAUUUCUACUCUUCCUUUUUUUUUUCUUUUUUUCUUUUUUUUUUUUGUUUUCCAAAAAUCUAUCACUCCUCACCGCCACCGGCAGGACCACCAACCAAUCAUCGUCGAUGAGCCAUUGCCAGCAACCCCCUUCCCUUCUAUCACUUUCUCAUCUCACCCAUUUUCCCUUUUUAUUAUUCAUUUUAUUUUGUUUUCCUUUCUCUCUUUUUUUUUCUUCUUUCUUUCUUUCUCUCUUUAACUCCACUAUCGGCCACCCGCCGCCAUCUAACAAUUCCAGCAAGCCAUAGAUUCUUCAACAACAAAAAAAAAAUUGUGUAAGCCCAUUUAUGUAUUUCUUUAUUUUAUUUUUCUUAUUAUUGUCAUUUUUUUUUUUGUUUGUGAGAUUUGAAUUGUUGAAUCAAUAUGAAAUUUGGGCUUUGUUAAUUAAUAUAGAAUUUAGGUUGUGGAUAUAUUGCAUUUGUUGGUUAAUUUAAGAUAUUUGGAUUAGGCCAGUUGCAUAUUGUUUACCUUAUUUGGACUUGCGGCCCAUUGCUUAUUGGUUAUUUAUUUGGGCUUAUUGGAUUGGGCUUGAGACCUUAUUUCCUUUAGCCUUGUAUAUUAUUAAUGUGGGCUUGUUAAAUAAUAUGAAACUUGAGCUCAUUUGUUGUGGAUAAAAUUUGUUGGAUUGGAUGAUAAUUGAUAUGAGUUUUAUCCAUUUGAAAUAUUUAAUUUAGACAUGAGACAAUUAUGGUAUAUUUUGGAUAUUAUUUCGAGUUUACAUAUUAAAUUGGGCUCAAUUAUUUUGGAUUAUAGGAUAUUGAAUUUAGGUCUAAUGGAAUUUGUUUUAAUUAUCAAAUUUUUGGGUUUGGUUGAUUGUGCUUGUAUUUUGGUUAUUAAUUUGAAAAUUUUUUGCUAAGACCUAUAACAUAUGAGAUAUUUUUAUUGGGUUAUAUUUACUAAUUUGGGCUCAUUUUGAUUGAUGAAAUUUAUUGGACUAAUUUGAAGUCUAAAUUUGGGUUUGAAUAUUUGUUUGGAAUUUUGUACAUUUCUGGAUAUUUAUAUUUGAGCUAUUUUUGUUUUUGCAUAGACCCAUUCUUCAAUUUUAUUUUCCAUUUUUAUUUGAUUUAUUUUUAUUAGUUUUUGUAAAUGUUUGUUUGUAUAUACUUACUCAUUGUGUACAUAAUUGAAUAUCGAAAAAACAAAAAAAAAUUAUUUAAAUAAGAGGAACAAUUCAUUAAACAUGUUUUAAUAAAACAAUAGUUCAUAAAAUAUUUCUUUGAAUAAAAAUAAGUUUUCAAAAUGUUUUUAGGAAAAUUUAGAAAAUCGUUUUUAAUAAAAUAAAAAAAAUUGUUUUUAAUAAUAAUUGUCUCAAAAUUGUUUUGUAAAUAAAGUUAUCCCAAAAUUCAUUUUUAAUAAAAUUGUCCAAAAAUGUUUUUUUAAAUAAAUUAUAUUUCCUUAAUUAGAUAGGAUUAAAAGUAUUUUUUUAUAGAUAAGGGUCUUAAAUAAUUUUUUUAAUAAGAAUGAAAUUUGCAAAUCAAAGUUGUAGAAAUCAUUUUUUUUUAAUAAAAUUGGGUUGAAAAUAUUUUCAUAAACAAAGUUUGUAAAGAAAUUAAUUCCUUUUGUAAAUAAUGUUGUAAAAAAUCAUUCAUUUUUUUAAUAAAAGCAAAUAAAAAUAAUUUUUGUUGCCAAAUUGAAAUUUAUAAUAAAUUGUUCUGAAAAGAUAAAUGUAUACAACUUUCUUGAAAAGAAAAAUUGAAAACAAAUAAAGUUGAAUAAAAUCAUUUAUUGAAAAUGAAUAGAAACUUUUUUUGUAAAUAAUUAAAUUGAAAUCAUUAAUUCCAAAAUUGUUUUAAUAAAAUCCUUUAAAUCUUUUUUAAAAAAAAUCAUUUUUUUAAAUAUCCUUUUUUAAUCCAUUCAAUAAAUCAAUUUGUAUAAUUCUCUUAUCAUUUAUUUUGUAUAUUUUUUUAAUUAGAUUUCAUCAUUAUUUUUGUGUAUAUUGAUUUUCACUAUGACUUGUACAUACUCAUUUAUGUGAUUAUAUUUCUUGGUAUCCAUAAUUAAUUAAUUAAUUAAUUGUUACAAUUCUCUUUAUUCGUUUAGGAGAGACCGCAUGUAUAUAGGCUUAGAGGAGUGUUACAGCUCACCACCGUACCUUCCAAAUAGGUAACUUGACCCCCAAACCCAGACUCGGUUUUUCACAAACCUAUUUUUCCUUCAGGAGUCAUACUUAAGGUUUUUUUUUUUUUUCUUAUUUUGUUUUUCCCUUUAAAAAUAAAAUAAAAAUAAUUGACAACUCCAAGUCUUUUCUAAAAAUCAUAUUUUUCACCAACUGAAAAGCAAAUCUCAUCGUUGAGUGAGGAUGCACAUAAAAAAUGCAGGUCCACAGUGUUAUAUUCAUCAAGAAGUAUGAUAAUUUAAAAAAUAAAUUAAUUUGAAACUCAAAUGGUAACCAAUUAAUACAAAAUAUUUAUAGAUGAAAAUUCUUUCACAAAUACUCUAUUAUUUCUUUUUUUUUUUAACACAUAAUUAUAUUUUAAAAAAUUUUAUCAUUUGAUAAAUGAAUUUCAAAUCAAACAACACUUUGUAUUAAAUUUAUUAAUGAGUUUAAUAAUUUUUAAAAAUAAUUUAAAACUACAAAAAUUGAUAUAAUCACUAUAAAAAAUAAUAGACUAAAACUUAUGCAUAAUGAAUUAUGACUUUCCUUUUUCUCUUACAAACACAAUUAUAUUUUUUGAUUUUUUUUCGCCAGUUAAAAGCAUUCUAAAUUGAGAUAUAAUUAAUAAUGUAAAUUCUUUAAUGAAUUUUCUAAUUUUUAAAAAUAAUUAAGAAUUCAAAAGAUCGAUCUAAUUAAUUGCAUAUUAAAUCAAAGCACCAUAGAAAACUCCGUUCAAAAUUAAGUACAUAUGUGCAUGUAAUGAAAACUUUGCUCAUUCACAUGUUAAACAAGUUAAACUUUAUUUGUUUUGGAAUUUAUAUAUAUAUAUAUAUAUAUAUAUAUAUAUAUAUAUAUAUAUAUAUAUAUAUAUAUAUAUAUUAAUUUUGGGAUGAUAUUGCUAUUUAUAUUUUUACUAAAAACUAUUUAUUUGUAAUUAUAAAAUUAUUUUCAUUUUUAAUUACACAUCAAUUAAAUUCAAUUAAUAUAAUUAAUGUUAUGCAAAUUGAAUUUAUAAUAUUUUACAAAAAUCAAAAUAAAAAUUAUUUUUUAAAAAAAAAAAUUUGCCAAAUAUCCGUAUUUUUGUAAAAUACUUAAAAAAAUAAAAUAAAAUAAAAUCUAUUUUCUUUUUUUAAACUUAAAAACAGUUUUUUUUAAACCAAACAUUACAAAACAGGGUCACUCGGCGGGUCUUGAGGCCUCUAUCAACAUGUUUUGUUUAUUUUGUUGCCCAAUUUUUGUGUAAGCUCUAAAUAAUGCCACUUUCAAUCCUUUCCAAUUGCUCUGUUCCUGCACUUUUUUUAAAUGUUGCCAUGUAGACAACAGUAUAGUUCUUGAUCCCCCAAUCAAAGAAAACUCAAAAAUUAUACAUAAUUCUUUGCUCCACUACUAAUGCAUUACAUCAGUAUCUGUCAUUAAUCAACUCUACCACACAAAUUUUAUGCAGCAAUUGCCAUGAUUUUUGUACACUAAGUGUUGUGCCAGCGAAAGCUUUGAUGCCAACGAUGUUAGUUCAAGAACACAAAGAUAAAACAAUCACACAUACGGUACACGAGGUUUUAACGUGGUUCGGCCAACCAUGCCUACGUCCACGGAUGAGAGAGAAUAAUUCCACUAUACAAUAGAGAAUAUUACAGAGGAUAGAACCAGAUACAAUUAUUGGGUUCCCGAAACAUCCCAUGUUUCCCCACUCCUUGUAUCCAUACCUUAUUACGAGCCCUCUCGCUCCACCAGGUACCUCCCGUUCUUCCUCACAUCUCUAUCCACCUCGUAUAGUCUCUAUAGGCCCAUCUCCAUCUCAUAACUUUUUCCCCUCAUGACCUAGAAUAUUUAUAGAGAUAUUUCCAACAACCUUCCUUAUUCUAUAAGGAAGUCUAAUAUUACAAUAAUAUAUCCACCUAGAAAUAUUCUAUAUAAUAUUCUUUACAAAAAAAGGAAUCUAUACUAAUUAGGAAUUUGGGACACUUCCUAACAAUCUCCACCUUGGACCAAAUUACAUGAAGUUAAUCUUCAAUCUCUCCAUGACACAAACCUUUUUGUAUCAUAUCACCACGAAAUAGCAAUCAACUCCACCUUCAGUGAAAAUUCCUUUUGUUUUCAUCUUGUGUGCUUUGUGAUCUUUUACUCUUCCAGAAAUCUUCAACCCAAGCUCUGAUACCAAUUGUUGUGCCAGCGGAAGCUUUGAUGCUAACGAUGUUAGUUCAAGAACAUAAAGAUAAAACAAUCACACAUACGGUACACGAGGUUUUAACGUGGUUUGGCCAACCAUGCCUACGUCCACGGAGUUGCAGGGAUAUCACUAUUAUCAGGGAAGAAUACAGAGUACAACCUGGCGGCUACAAUAUUCUCUAUAUAUAUAUAGCACGGCAACCCUACCAUACUAAAAAACCCUAAUUACAAAAUGUGGUUCCACAAUGGGCUAAAUGGGCCCAACAGGCCUCAAUAAAUCUCCCAUUAAAAAAGCCAUGCAAUAUUAUUCGGGUCGGGUCAUCAAACCGGAUCAAACAAAACUAGGCUCCACAAAGCCCAACAAAUCUCCCACUUGGAGACUAGUCCAAUCACCAACAUCAAACCGCUAUCCUCCAAGAAACGAUCCCUUAUCCUUACAACUCAUCCUCCUGUCCUCAAGCUAGAAGACCAAUUGAAGCUGCGCACAGCUUCAACUUCUCAUANNNNNNNNNNNNNNNNNNNNNNNNNNNNNNNNNNNNNNNNNNNNNNNNNNNNNNNNNNNNNNNNNNNNNNNNNNNNNNNNNNNNNNNNNNNNNNNNNNNNCAUGACACAAANCUUUUGUAUCAUAUCNCACGAAAUAGCAAUCAACUCCACCUUCAGUGAAAAUUCCUUUGUUUUCAUCUUGUGUGCUUUGUGAUCUUUUACUCUUCCAGAAAUCUUCAACCCAAGCUCUGAUACCAAUUGUUGUGCCAGCGGAAGCUUUGAUGCUAACGAUGUUAGUUCAAGAACAUAAAGAUAAAACAAUCACACAUACGGUACACGAGGUUUUAACGUGGUUUGGCCAACCAUGCCUACGUCCACGGAGUUGCAGGGAUAUCACUAUUAUCAGGGAAGAAUACAGAGUACAACCUGGCGGCUACAAUAUUCUCUAUAUAUAUAUAGCACGGCAACCCUACCAUACUAAAAAACCCUAAUUACAAAAUGUGGUUCCACAAUGGGCUAAAUGGGCCCAACAGGCCUCAAUAAAUCUCCCAUUAAAAAAGCCAUGCAAUAUUAUUCGGGUCGGGUCAUCAAACCGGAUCAAACAAAACUAGGCUCCACAAAGCCCAACAAAUCUCCCACUUGGAGACUAGUCCAAUCACCAACAUCAAACCGCUAUCCUCCAAGAAACGAUCCCUUAUCCUUACAACUCAUCCUCCUGUCCUCAAGCUAGAAGACCAAUUGAAGCUGCGCACAGCUUCAACUUCUCAAUAGUGACACCCUUAGUCAACAUGUCUACAGGGUUCUUAGAUCCACAAAUCUUCUCAAGUAUUACCAGUUUAUCCUCAACAAGAUAACUGAUAAAGUGGUAUUUUGUUUGUAUAUGUUUCGACUUUGAAUGAAAAGCCGAAUUUUUGGCAAGAAAAAUUGCACUCUGACUGUCACUGUGUAGAAUGCCCAUCUCCUGCUUCUUACCCAAUUCAUCUAAGAAACCAUGUAGCCAAAUCAUCUCCUUUCCAGCUUCAAUUGCUGCAACAUACUCAGCUUCUGUAGUAGACAAAGUAACAAUCUUCUGUAGAUUUGAAGUCCAUGAUAUAGUUGUACCACCUAGAGUAAAAACAAACCCAGUAGUACUCUUUCUACUAUCAAUAUCACCAGCAAAAUCAGCAUCUACAUAACCCUGCAGUUUCNNNNNNNNNNNNNNNNNNNNNNNNNNNNNNNNNNNNNNNNNNNNNNNNNNNNNNNNNNNNNNNNNNNNNNNNNNNNNNNNNNNNNNNNNNNNNNNNNNNNCCCGUGAGAAACAAAAAAUAUUAGAGAAAAUACACGCCAAAGAAAAAACAAUCACACACAAGACAAUAUUUACGUGGUUCGGCAAUUUGCCUACGUCCACGGAGUUGCAGGGAUAUCACUAUUAUCAGGGAAGAAUACAGAGUACUACAUGGCGGCUACAAUAUUCUCUAUAUAUAUAUAGCACGACAACCCUACCAUACUAAAAAACCCUAAUUACAAAAGGUGGUUCCACAAUGGGCUAAACGAGCCCAACAGGCCUCAAUAAAUCUCCCAUUAAAAAAGCCAUGCAAUAUUAUUCGGGUCGGGUCGUCAAACCGGAUCAAACAAAACUAGGCUCCACAAAGCCCAACAAAUCUCCCACUUGGAGACUAGUCCAAUCACCAACAUCAAAUCGCUAUCCUCCAAGAAACAAUCCCUCAUCCCUACAACUCAUCCUCCUUUCCUCAAGCUAGAAGACCAAUUGAAGCUGCGCACAGCUUCAACUUCUCAAUAGUGACACCCUUAGUCAACAUGUCUGCAGGGUUCUUAGAUCCACAAAUCUUCUCAAGUAUUACCAGUUUAUCCUCAACAAGAUAACGGAUAAAGUGGUAUUUUGUUUGUAUAUGUUUCGACUUUGAAUGAAAAGCCGAGUUUUUGGCAAGAAAAAUUGCACUUUGACUGUCACUGUGUAGAAUGCCCAUCUCCUGCUUCUUACCCAAUUCAUCUAAGAAACCAUGUAGCCAAAUCAUCUCCUUUCCAGCUUCAGUUGCUGCAACAUACUCAGCUUCUGUAGUAGACAAAGUAACAAUCUUCUGUAGAUUUGAAGUCCAUGAUAUAGUUGUACCACCUAGAGUAAAAACAAACCCAGUAGUACUCUUUCUACUAUCAAUAUCACCAGCAAAAUCAGCAUCUACAUAACCCUGCAGUUUCAAACUUGCACCUGUGAAGCAAAGACAUGUAUCUAAUGAACCCUUCAGAUAUCUUAAAAUCCACUUGACUGCCUCCCAAUGCUGCUUUCCAGGCCUACUCAUGAAUCUGCUCACAACUCCCACUGCAUGUGCAAUGUCUGGCCUUGUACACACCAUAGCAUACAUCAAGCUGCCAAUAACUGAGGCAUAGGGCACCUUGCUCAUACACACCAAUGCUGCUUUAGUGACUGUUCUUUGCUUAGUUUGAAAUGACUACCCAAGGGUGUGCUCACUGGUUUAGCUUCAUUCAUGUUGAACCUGCUGAGAACUUUCUUCACAUACUCUGACUGUGAAAGCUUCAAUGUACCAUUAGCCUUGUCUCUAAUGAUUCUCAUACCAAGGAUUUGCUUUGCAGCUCCCAAAUCCUUCAUUGCAAACUGUUUGGACAAUUGCUUCUUCAGAUUAUUAAUCUUCUCAAUGUUAGACCCUGCAAUAAGCAUAUCAUCCACAUACAAUAGUAAUAUGAUAUAAGAAUUGUCAAAGGACUUAAAAUAGCAACAGUGAUCAGCUUCACAUUUCUUGAACCCAAUUCUAUGCAUAAAAUUGUCAAACUUCUUGUACCACUGUCUAGGAGCUUGUUUAAGGCCAUACAAGCUCUUUCUCAGUUUGCAGACUAGAUUCUCUUGUCCCUGAACAAUGAACCCUUUUGGUUAAAUCAUGUAAAGGUCUUCCUCCAAGUCACCAUGAAGGAAUGCUGUCUUCACAUCUAACUGCUCAAGAUGUAAGUUUUCUGCAGCCACCAUUCCAAGUACAAGUCUAAUUGUUGACAUCUUCACAACUGGAGAAAAUAUCUCUGUGUAGUCAAUGCCCUCCUUCUGCUGGAACCCUUUAACAACUAAUCUGGCCUUGUAACGUUUGCUACCAUCAUGCUCAUUCUUUAUUCUGUAUACCCACUUGUUGUGCAAAGCCUUCUUUCCUACUGGCAAUUCAGUCAGUUCCCACGUCUGAUUCCCCAAUAGGGAAUCCAUCUCAUCCUUCAUGGCUAACUCCCACUUGCUUGAAUUCUCAUCUUGCAAGGCUUCAUCAUAACACUCUGGCUCACCACCAUCAGUCAACAGGAGAUAAUUUAAAACAGGUGAAUAACGUUGCGGAGGUCUAAUGUUCCUGGAAGAUCUGCGAACUUCAGCUACAGGUGUACUCAAAUCUACCUGUGAAUUUACAUUCAUUCUCCUUAUCUUCUUCACCCCCUUUUUGGACAGUACUUUCAGUCAAUUCAUCUAAGUUGACAAACUCAGAUUUCUUUUGAUCUAUCUCUGUAACAUCUGACGUUACAGUUGACCUAUCCUUGUACAUAACCUGUUCAUUAAAUAUCACAUUUCUACUUCUGAUGAUUUUCCUGUUUUGUUCAUCCCAAAACCUAUAGCCAAAUUUCUCAUUGCCAUAGCCAAUGAAAAAACAUAUUUUUGACUUUGCAUCAAGUUUACUACGAGCAUCAGAAUCAAUAUGAACAUAAGAAACACAACCAAAAACUUUUAAAUGUGAAAACUUCACCUCUUUACCGCUCCAAACCUCCUCAGGAAGUCUGAACUCCAUGGGAACUGAUGGUCCUCGGUUUAUCAGGUAAGCUGCAGUGCUAACAGCAUCAGCCCAAAAAGUUUUUGGUAGUCCAGCAUGCAACCUCAUACUUCUAGCACGCUCAUUGAGAGUUCUAUUCAUGCGCUCAGCCACACCAUUUUGCUGUGGUGUCCCAGGAAUGGUCUUCUCCANNNNNNNNNNNNNNNNNNNNNNNNNNNNNNNNNNNNNNNNNNNNNNNNNNNNNNNNNNNNNNNNNNNNNNNNNNNNNNNNNNNNNNNNNNNNNNNNNNNNGGACCAAAUUACAUGAAGUUAAUCUUCAAUCUCUCCAUGACACAAACUUUUUGUAUCAUAUCACCACGAAAGAGCAAUCGACUCCACAUUCAGUGAAAAUUCCUUUUGUUUUCAUCUUGUGUGCUUUGUGAUCUUUUACUCUUCCAGAAAUCUUCAACCCAAGCUCUGAUACCAAUUGUUGUGCCAGCGGAAGCUUUGAUGCCAACGAUGUUAGUUCAAGAACACAAAGAUAAAACAAUCACACAUACGGUACACGAGGUUUUAACGUGGUUCGGCCAACCAUGCCUACGUCCACGGAUGAGAGAGAAUAAUUCCACUAUACAAUAGAGAAUAUUACAGAGGAUAGAACCAGAUACAAUUAUUGGGUUCCCGAAACAUCCCAUGUUUCCCCACUCCUUGUAUCCAUACCUUAUUACGAGCCCUCUCGCUCCACCAGGUACCUCCCGUUCUUUCUCACAUCUCUAUCCACCUCGUAUAGUCUCUAUAGGCCCAUCUCCAUCUCAUAACUUUUUCCCCUCAUGACCUAGAAUAUUUAUAGAGAUAUUUCCAACAACCUUCCUUAUUCUAUAAGGAAGUCUAAUAUUACAAUAAUAUAUCCACCUAGAAAUAUUCUAUAUAAUAUUCUUUACAAAAAAAGGAAUCUAUACUAAUUAGGAAUUUGGGACACUUCCUAACACUAAAAUCACAUACCAACCUCUGCACAUGCAUACACAACAUGAAUGCAUUUGCUUUUAUUGAGAGAAUAGUUUCACACAUUUGAAUGUGGCAACAUUGGGAAGCAUCUUCAUUGUUUCAUCGCUUCAAUAAAGGUUUUGAAAUUCUUGUAAGAAGAUCCGCCUUCGCUUACACUCUUUCUAGCCAUUUCCUUCAACUUCUUUGCAUUUGCUUUUAUACCAUCAUCAGAGACCAACUUUUCAAUCUUCAUCUUAAUCCCAUGCCUUGAUAUGAAUCCCUUUUCAUCUGGGUUCAACCCCAAGCCCACCUUCCAUUUUUUGCAUAUGUAACUCUGGUUAUGGAAUUGAUCUGCGAAGUAGGGCCAACAUAGGAAGGGAACUCCCAUGCUUAUGCUGUCCAUGGUUGAGUUCCAACCACAAUGGGAAAAGAAACAUGCAACAGAAGGGUGAGCUAAAACCUCUUCUUGGGGUGCCCAUGAUACAAUCUUUCCAUGGUCAGCUACUCUCUCAAUGAAACCAUCAGGGUAUUCAGCAACUGAUCCAUCGGUGAAGUCUGAUCGGACAACCCAUAAAAAUGGCCGGCCUACAAGUUCGAGACCAAGUGCUAGUUCAUUGAAUUGGCGCUGGUUGAAGAUUGCUAAGCUGCCAAAGGCAACAUAAAUGACUGAGCCAGCAGGUUGUUUAUCGAGCCAGCCUAUGCAGGUCGAAUCCUCAGGCCAAAAGUUUCCAGCAUAAUGACCCAGAUGAUGACUUGCAAGUAAUGGACCUAUUGAUAAUAUGUUAGGAAUCAACUCACAGGCAGAUGAGUCAAGUUCAUAAACAAAGUUGCUGAGAAGCCACUUGGAAAAAUCCAUUUUUUGAAUAAUUAUGAGAAGAGUUCGGAAAAUGGUCUCUUGUAUCUUUGGAUCAAUUGGGCAGCACCAGGGCAAUCUGUUGCUGCUAAAGACUGGGAUAUCCUUUGACAGGCAGAUCAACUCGUCAUUCAGAGGAGAUCCUGCAGAGAUAUUUGAAUUAUUUCCAUCAAAACAAAGAAAUUUCUCAAUACUUCCCUGGUAUCAACAACAAAUUAAUUUUAGAAAAAGUUGAAGCCUUAAUACCGUUAGUGCUAUGUAUGAUUCUGUUAGCAAGUAAAAUCUUUUUACAGUUUAUACUUUAAGUAAACAUUAAAUAAGUAUGUAAAUAAAAUAAAUGAAAUUACAGAACUUACUUUAAUUCUAUGAAUCCGAGCCCAAUGACAACACUGUUUCCUUAAGACAAUUUUAUUCCCUCUCUGGUGCUCAAGGUAGUGAAUAAAUGUCUCCCAAGAUAGAACGGAUAUUCAGUUCUACAAAAGCAGCACUUCAAUCUGUAGAACACCACGAACACAACUUGUGUUUUGUACUCGAACUGACAAAGGAUGCAAAGAAGAGAGAGAGAAAUAUGCAGGAAUUAAUUGAAUCAUUUAAUGCCGGGGUAGAAAAUCUAUUUAUAGACUUCUUGGUGUCUAUUUAGAAUAGGUAUAAACCUAUUCGGAAUAGACACGUACCUGUUUGGAAUAGUCAUUCAAGUGGGUGACUUUGGAGUCAAUUUUCUCAUUCAAUACUUAAUGGAUUUGAACAAAUAAAUAUACCACGUUAUACUCCUCGCGGAAGAGAACGCGUUGGUGUGUGGUCCCGACAUUUUCAGAGUGUGGGUCACACUUUUAAUUAAGCCCCAAGUUGCUCAAUUAUUAUUUUUUUCAAACUCAUUUCCAACAAUCCCCCACAUGAAUGUAAAAUUGGCUUUACAACAUGCAAAAUGAAUACGCAGACACUAGUUCGAGUACAAAUGAAAAGUUACUGCUUCAGACUAAGUGACCAUUGGUCUUGAACUUGCCCUAGUGAAGACUAUCGGAUUUACUUGGCCAGUCAAUAGACGUUGUCUUUGAAUUGCCAGUCGUUGGUGUAAACCAAGACAAUAGAAUCACACAGUACCAUUUCUAACACAGUUGGUUCUCACGUUUGUGUUCAUUUUGGCCUUGAACACCUCUUGGUUCCGUGAGUAUGUUAGAGAAUUUAGCCUUUCAUAAUUCUCAUAGAAGUGGCCCCCUUCUUACUCACGUAGGUGAUUUCUAUUAAGAAUAUCCUGCAAUAUCCCACUUAUGACACAAUUUCAUAAGCUAUAGAAAUCAUUAAAAUCGUAUCUUAUCCUGAUUCUCGCGGCAGAUAUGCACUGUCUCAUCAUAGGAAUGGUUUGGAGUAAGUAUCUCCACAGUGCGUUCUGAGUUCUACAUAGUUCGGUUUGCCCUUUGAACCUAGAUCUUGGGAUCUCCUGUCAGCUAGGUUGGGUUGCCACUAUGAUGACCCUUGGUUUAUUUCAUAGGCUUUAGACCCAUUCCCUUUGAUGAACUUUCUACUUGCUCUCUAGUUAAACCUUUUGUAAGCGGAUCUGCAAUAUUAUCUUUUGACCUUACGUAGUCAAUUGAGAUAAUUCCAUUUGAGAGCAAUUGCCUAACGGUAUUAUGUCGACGUCGUAUGUGACGUGACUUACCGUUAUAGUUAUGACUCUGUGCUCUUCCAAUUGCUGAUUGGCUAUCACAAUGGAUGCAAAUAGCAGGCACAAGUUUUGACCAAUUUGGAAUAUCCUCUAAGAAAUUUCGUAGCCAUUCGGCUUCUUCUCCAGCUUUAUCUAUUGCAAUGAAUUCUGAUUCCAUUGUAGAUCGAGCUAUACAAGUUUGUUUUGAGGAUUUCCAAGACACGGUUGCACCUCCAAGUGUAAACACAUAUCCACUUGUGGAUUUUGAGUCUUUUGAGUCAGAUAUCCAAUUAGCAUCGCUGUAUCCUUCAAGUACAGCUGGAUAUCUUGUGAAAUGCAGUCCAUAAUUUUGAGUAUAUUUAAGGUAUCCCAAAACUCGUAUUAUUGAUUUCCAAUGAUUUUCUCCGGGAUUACUCGUAAAUCGACUUAGCUUACUAACGGAGUAUGCUAUAUCAGGUCGAGUGCAGUUCAUCACAUACAUUAGACUGCCAAUUAUACGAGAAUAUUCUAAUUGAGAUUUUCCUAUGCCAGUAUUCUUAAAAAGAUGAAGAUUUACAUCCAUAGGUGUCUUCUUUGGUCUUAUAUCGUACUUCUUGAAUUUCUCAAGUAUUUUCUCAAUGUAAUGAGAUUGAGAAAGUAUAAGACCAUCAGAAGUUUUUGAGACCUUAAUUCCCAAAAUUAUAUCUGCCACACCUAGAUCUUUCAUAUCAAAUCUACUGGAUAGCAUUUGUUUAGUCAUUUUUAUCAUAUUAGUAUCACUACCAAUAAUUAACAUGUCAUCAACAUAUAGACAUACAAUGACAUAUCCUUUUUGAGUGUUUUUGACAUAAACGCAUUUAUCACAUUCAUUAAUUUUGAAUCCAUUUGAUAUCAUUGCAUUGUCAAAUUUCUCAUGCCAUUGUUUAGGUGCUUGCUUUAAUCCAUAUAAGGAUUUAACAAGCUUACACACUUUCCUCUCUUGUCCAAGAGCUAUAAACCCUUCAGGUUGAUCCAUAUAUAUUUCUUCAUCUAAUUCACCGUUCAAAAAUUCCGUUUUAACAUCCAUUUGAUGUAUUUCAAGAUUGUUUAUUGCUGCUAUAGCAAUUAACAUACGGAUAGAAGUUAUUCGGCUAACUGGUGAAUAAGUGUCAAAAUAAUCCAAUCCUUCCCUUUGCUUGUACCCUUUGGCAACAAGUCUUGCUUUGUAUUUAUCAAUUGAACCAUCUGCCUUCAUUUUCUUUUUGAAAAUCCACUUACAUCCCAAUGUUUUGGUACCUGGUGGAAGAGCCACUAGUUCCCAAGUAUGGUUUUGCAGAAUAGAUUCAAUUUCACUAUUAAUUGCUUCUUUCCAAUAUGAAGCUUCAGGGGAGGACAUAGCUUCUUUGAACGUUUGAGGAUCAUUUUCUAACAAAUAUGUUAGAAAAUCUGGGCCAAACGAAGUUGACUUUCUUGCCCUUUUUCCAUGUCUAGGUUCUUCGUCAACUUGUUUUUCUUUUGAUUCUUGAUUUACUUCUAAUUGAUUAUUACCAAAAGUAAUAUCAUGAGUCCUCUUUUGUGUACUUGUUUCAGAUGACUUGUUAUAUGGAAAAAUAGUUUCAAAGAAUGUAGCAUUCCUUGAUUGUAUAAUUGUAUUAACAUGCACAUCAGGAAUCUCGGACUUAUAAACAAGAAAACGAUAUGCACUACUAUUAUUAGCAUAACCAAUGAAUAUACAAUCAAUGGUUUUAGGUCCUAUUUUAACCUUUUUAGGUUUAAGAACCCCCACCUUUGCCAAACACCCCCACACUUUUAGAUAUUUAUAGCAAGGCUUGUGACCUUUCCAUAAAUCAUAAGGUGUUUUAAGUGUUUUCUUAUGAGGCAUUUUGUUAAGAAUAUAAUUGGCGGAAAGCAAAGCUUCCCCCCACAAAUUCUGGGGUAAACCAGAACUUAACAACAUAGCAUUCAUCAUUUCUUUCAAUGUUCUAUUUUUGCGUUCAGCAAUCCCAUUAGAUUGAGGAGAAUAUGGAGCGGUAGUUUGGUGAAUGAUUCCAUGUUCUAAACAGAACUCCUCGAAAGGGGAUUCAUAUUCACCACCUCUAUCGCUUCUUAUUGCCUUAAUCUUUUUGCUAAGUUGAUUCUCAACUUCAUUUUUAUAAUGUUUAAACAUUUCAAUUGCCUCAUCUUUGCUUUUAAGCAAAUAUACAUAACAAUAUCUAGUGCAAUCAUCGAUAAAAGUAAUAAAAUACUUUUUCCCACCUCUCGUUUGCACAAACUUUAAAUCACAAAUAUCACUGUGAAUUAAGUCUAGAGGUUCAGUACUUCUUUCAACUGAAUGAAAAGGUACUUUUGUUAAUUUAGAUUCUACACAAGUUUCACAUUUAUGAUUAGGAUCAAUAUUAAAUUUAGGUAGAUAAUCUAAGUGAAUUAAUCUACGUAGAGUAUCAUAAUUAACAUGUCCUAAUCUACCAUGCCAAAUAUUAGAAGACUCAAGCAAGUAAGCAGAAGAAUCAAUCUUAUUAUUAUUAAUAGACUUAGGUACAACAGUCAUUACAUUCAUCUUAAAGAGCCCAUCACUAAGAUAGCCCUUUCCUACAAACAUCUCAUUCUUUGUAAGUACAAACUUAUCAGACACAAACACUAAUUUGAAACUAUUUUUGCUAAGCAAAGAUCCAGAAACCAAGUUCUUGCGAAUGUCUGGCAUAUGAAGCACAUCAUUUAAAGUGAGUUCUUUGCCAGAAGUCAUUUUCAAAAUCACCUUCCCACGGCCUUCAACUUUGGAACUAGAAGAGUUACCCAUGAAUAAUUCUUCAUUUUGCUCUACGAGUUUGUAAGUUGAAAACAUCCACUUGUUGGAACAUAUGUGACGAGUAGCCCCAGUGUCCACCCACCAUUCCUUGGUGUUUCCUACAAUAUUGCAUUCGGAUACAACAGCGGAAAGAUUCAUCUCGAAGACAUCAUUUGAAAGUUUAUCAAAUUCUGUCACAUUUGCUUGGGGUUUCUUUUCCUUCUUUGGCUUACGGCAAUCAUUAGACUUGUGACCAGUUUUGCCACAAUUAUAACAUUUGCCUUUGAAUUUCUUCGCCGCAUUUGAUCCUUGAUUCUGAUUUUGAUCACCAUGCUUUCGUUUCUUGUUAGUUUUUGGUCCUUGUUCAAUAACAUUGGCUUUAGCCUCCAUUGAAUUAUUUCUCUUCUUUUCAGAUUUUCGGUUGUCCUCCUCAAUCCUUAACCUCACAAUUAAUUCUUCAAGAUUCAUCUCUUUGCGUUUGUGCUUGAGAUAAUUCUUGAAGUCCUUCCAUAGUGGUGGUAAUUUUUCAAUCACAGCAGCCACUUGAAAUGAGUCACUAAGACUCAUUCCUUUAGAAUGGAUUUCAUGAAGAAUUACUUGCAGUUCUUGAACUUGACUUAUAACUAUUUUGGAAUCGAUCAUUUUGAAAUCAAGAAAUUUGCCGACUAUGAAUUUCUUCAUGCCAGCAUCCUCGGUUUUGUAUUUCUUGUCAAGUGAAUCCCAUAGUUCCUUUGCUGUCUUGAGUGAACAAUACACAUUGUAAAGUGUAUUGUCUAAGCCAUUAAGCACAUAAUUUCUGCAUAAGAAAUCAGAAUGCUUCCAUGCAUCCACGGCAGCAACCUUUUCCUUGUUGGUUUCUCCUUCUUCAAGUAUGGGACAUUCUUCAUGAAGGAACCUUGCCAAGUUCAAUGUGGUGAGGUAGAAGAGCAUCUUUUGUUGCCAACGUUUGAACUCAUUCCCAUUGAAUUUCUCUGGUUUUUCUCCAUGAGUCAAAUUCAUUGUAGGAACAUUGCUUGAAGAUGCCAUUUGAUUUCUGUUACAAAAACAGAAAUGCAGAAAAUUCAGAAUACAAAAUUCUGAUUUAAAAAAAAAAUAAUAGAUGAAUAGAAUAUUUAAGUUUCCAAAUGCAGAAACACAAUCUGAUUUGAAACUUAAGAAUAUAAUAUUUACUGAAGUAUAAACUACAAAAAGUUUUUUUUUUAUUUAAUAAAGUUGUCUUAAGAUUGUUAGCAAGUAAAAUCUUUUUACAGUUUAUACUUUAAGUAAACAUUAAAUAAGUAUGUAAAUAAAAUAAAUGAAAUUACAGAACUUACUUUAAUUCUAUGAAUCCGAGCCCAGUGACAACACUGUUUCCUUAAGACAAUUUUAUUCCCUCUCUGGUGCUCAAGGUAGUGAAUAAAUGUCUCCCAAGAUAGAACAGAUAUUCAGUUCUACAAAAGCAGCACUUCAAUCUGUAGAACACCACGAACACAACUUGUGUUUUGUACUCGAACUGACAAAGGAUGCAAAGAAGAGAGAGAGAAAUAUGCAGGAAUUAAUUGAAUCAUUUAAUGCCGGGGUAGAAAAUCUAUUUAUAGACUUCUUGGUGUCUAUUUAGAAUAGGUAUAAACCUAUUCGGAAUAGACACGUACCUGUUUGGAAUAGUCAUUCAAGUGGGUGACUUUGGAGUCAAUUUUCUCAUUCAAUACUUAAUGGAUUUGAACAAAUAAAUAUACCACGUUAUACUCCUCGCGGAGGAGAACGCGUUGGUGCGUGGUCCCGACAUUUUCAGAGUGUGGGUCACACUUUUAAUUAAGCCCCAAGUUGCUCAAUUAUUAUUUUUUCAAACUCAUUUCCAACAGAUUCUUGCCUCAAUUAGCUUGGGAAUGUGAAGUGCCAAAGCCAAGAUUUCUGGUCCAGAAGGAAAAAAGGGGACCCCCAGGAUUCCCAUCUUCUCUGCCACCUCCAUUGCCCACCACCCAAGUGUUAUGUCAGCAACAACACAAAUGAUUUGCUCAUCAUCAUUCGAGCGGUUAACUUUCUCAAUCAAAUCCUUCAAAUGGCUCGGCAUGACUCUUGAAAUGCUUUCUGUUAACUUGGGUAGAUCUUUCCGAUCGUCCCCUGGAUCCAGACCAUCUGGGAUAGAGGCUAGCCCUAUCCCACUCCGAGCCUCAGCCUCAUGUGGGAGUGCAGCCAGCAGUUUUGCAUGUAUGAAGUCAGAGUUAACAAAGGUGACCUUGAUCCCAUGAUCAGAAAUCCGGUGUGCAAGCUUCAUAAGAGGAGCAACAUGUCCUUGCGCUGGGAG
rnacentral:lncRNA from 1 species